rnacentral:lncRNA from 1 species
GAAGACCUAUGUUUAUCAGAAAAUAUAAGUUUAUUCAAUUAUUGGCAUCAGUAUACAUCAUUGCAUUGCAUAAGCUGAGAAACUUUGUGGCUCUCAUUUUAAUAUGGAACCGAACUGUCUACAGCAACACUGAAGAUGAUGGUGGUUGGUUUCACAUUCCAAUUGAUAAGGUGGGCGAAAGCCUCUUUCUAAGCAGUCACUCUGGCACGACACAUCAGUGCAACCCGCUAAAUCUCUGCAUAAGCGUCGUUGAACUACAAUGCAAUACAUCACAUAAGAAAAAAUUUAGUAAUACAGUCCAUAAAACUAAAAUAUUUGCUGACAGAUUAAUUAAUUUCAACUUUUGGAAACUGCAUGUAAAAUAUAAGUAAUGUUGCUUACUCGCUUGGCAGGAAGGCAACGUUGAGAACAUGAACACAGUGACCAAUAAAGCAACAACUAUGUUGUACAUGACCAUCCUUGUGUUUCUCUUGAUGAGUGCCAUGAGGAAAUGUGACUUAUGUUCGGUGUUUGUUUUUCACUUCCAAGCUCCUUUACAGGUGUUUAUAUAGACACACAAUAAAAUCUUAGAUAUCAAUCUGUUGAUUUCAUGUAUUUAUGUACCUCCCCUAAUUAGUAUCAGAGUAUCUUGCUAGUUUUACAUAAAUACCAAAGAUUUUAUUUUACAUAAAAUUAUAUAUUUCAUCAUUAUGGUAUUUAAUGUUGAAGAUAACAUAUUGAGCCAAAAUAAAAUCUUUAGGUAUCGACACUGCAUUUAUGUCUCCAUUCUAAAAUAGUACCCAUAUCAAUCUUGUUGGCUAUUUUGUAUCAUCCACACUUAUGUAAGUAUAUCUUACAUUUAUUUCGCAUUAUUUUUUGUGUGGUAUAUUGUUGUAGUAUAUACAGAGGCUUGCACAAUCAAAUCUUAUGCAUUGAUGAAUCUUGCAUAUACAUGAUCUCAAAAAUAAAUAUUGCUGGAGUACCCCAUACUCAUGAAUAUUAGGUAUGAGUAUUGCACUUUUUUUGCUAAAUUAAUGUUGAUGUAUCUUACCGAAUCUUAAUAAAUUCAUGCAAUCAUUUGUAUAUGUUUUCAUUAUUGAUGUUGUUGUUUUGCGGCAUUUAUUGACCUCUAUUAUAUGGUGGAAUGCAUAAUUAUUGAUAUUGCUUCUUUUCGCUUCAUUUGUAUUAUACAUUGUUAUAAACUUUGCAUUUAUAUUCUAUCAACAAUAAAUAAAUGCUUGGACAAACGUAAGCUUGUACUUACUGACGAGUAUGCAGCCCGUCAGAGGUAUACUGGUGGUUCUUAAAACCAUCAUGUUGGGGAAUGGGUAGGCUAAGCUAGUAGUAUGAAAUGAUUGUAAAUUUCUUAUUUGACCUUUUUUCAUAGGAUAAUUGAGUACUUCGGAUUAAGAAAUAUUGGUUCUUAAUGUCUUUAUUUGUCUUGGUAGAUUUGGCAAAUCAGUGGAAGCUAGUAGGUAUGUUUUGUUUCUUGGAUUCAUAAUUUUGUUUACUUGACUGAAUCAAUCAAAGGAAGUUUUAAAUUGUCGUUUUUCUGAACGCAGUCCCCUAGGGCCCGAUUCAUUAAAAAGGCCAAUGAGAGUUGUCCAGUUAAUUAACGAAAAACCAAACGAAAACCAUCACAUCAUGCCUGCAAAACCAAGGCACACAGGGCGACAUGGCAACCCACACAAGAACGCACACAAGACGUCGAGGAGAAAAGUGUCGUCGAUGUUGCAGCCCAGUGUCAUCAUCAUGACGCCUCCGCUAGGGCGACUCCGACUCCAGCAUCGAUGUCCACCGAUUAGCUCUCACUACAAACAUGCAUGUGCAGAGGCCUACGUCGCUGAUGCCAAACAGUGAACCGCACGUGCCGACGACCAGGCAACUCAGACUUUGUCAACGAGCAUUGUAGGAGAAAAGCGUUGGGCUUGCGUCGAGCCAGUGGCAAAACUGACCACCGUCUCGUGUCAUCGUCACUGCAAGGGCCCUGCUACCUCUUGAGCAUGCGUUGGUUUUCCCUUGAAGAGGAAAGGGUGAUGCAGCAAAGUAGCGAAAGUAUUUCCCUCAGUUUUUGAGAACAAAGGCAUCAAUCAAGUAGGAGAUUACACGCAAGUCGCCUAGUAACUGCACAAACAAUCAAGAACCUUGCAACCAACGCGAUAAAGGGGUUGUCAAUCCCUUCCCGACCACUUGCAAAAGUGAGAUCUGAUAAAGAUAAUAAGAUACAUAUUUUUUGUAUUUUUGUUGUAUAGAUUGGAAAGUAAAGAUUGCAAAAUAAACGGCGACAGAAAUAGCUAGUUGACGGGGAACAAAUAUGAUGUAAAAUAGACCCGGGGGCCAUAGGUUUCACUAGUGGCUUCUCUCAUGAUAGCAAAUAUUACGGUGGGUGAACAAAUUACUGCCGAGCAAUUCAUAGAAAAGCACAUUGUUAUGAGAAUAUCUAAGCAUGAUCAUGAACAUAGGUAUCACGGCCAUGUCAAUUAGACCGAAACGAUUCUGCAUCUACUACUAUUACUCCACACAUCGACCGCUAUCCAUCAUGCAUCUAGAGUAUUAAGUUCAUAAGAACAGAGUAACGCAUUAGGCAAGAUGACAUGAUGUAGAGGGAUAAACUCAAGCAAUAUGAUAUAAACCCCAUCUUUUUAUCCUCGAUGGCAACAAUACAAUACGUGUCGGUUCCCUUUCUGUCACUGGGAUCAAGCACCGCAAGAUUGAACCCAAAGCUAAGCACUUCUCCCAUUGCAAGAAAGAUCAAUCUAGUACGCCAAGCUAAACUGAUAAUUCGAAGAGACUUGCAAAGAUAUCAAAUGAUACAUAUAAGAAUUCAGAGAAGAAUCAAAUAUUGUUCAGAGAUAAGCUUGAUCAUAAACCCACAAUUCAUCGAAUCUCGGCAAACACACCGCAAAAAGUAUUACAUCGAGUAGAUCUCCAAGAACAUUGAGGAGAACUUUGUAUUGAGAAAUAAAGAGAGGGAAGAAGACAUCUACCUAAUAACUAUAGACCCGAAGGUCUGUGGUAAACUACUCACACAUCAUCGGAGAGGCUAUGGUGUUGAUGUAGAAGCCCUCCGUGACCGAAUCCCCCUCCGACAGAUCACCGGAAAAGGCCCCAAGAUAGGAUCUCACCGAUACAGAAGGUUGCGGCGGUGGAAAAGUGGUUUCGUGGCUCCCCUGAAUGUUUUCAGGGUAUAAGAGUAUAUAUAGGCGAAAGAAGUAGGUCAGUGGAGCUACGAGGGUCCCAUGAGGGUGGGUGGCACGCCUACCCCCUAGGCACACCCACCUGCCUCGUGGCUGCCUCGUUGCGUAUCUGAUUUCCACUCCAAGUCUCCUGGAUUGCGUUUGUUCAAAUAAAGAUCCUCGCAAAGGUUUCGUUCCGUUUGGAUUCUGUUUGAUAUUCUUUUUCCGCGAAACACUGAAAUAGGCCAAAAACAACAACUGGCACUGGGCCUCCGGUUAAUAGGUUAGUCCCAAAAAUAAUAUAAAAGAGCAUAUUAAAGCCCAUUAAACAUCCAAAAUAGAUAAUAUAAUUGCAUGGAACAAUAAAAAAUUAUAUAUACGUUGGAGACAUAUCAGCAUCCCCAAGCUUAAUUCCUGCUCGUCCUCGAGUAGGUAAAUGAUAAAAACAGAAUUUUUGAUGUGGAAUGCUACCUAACAUAAUUUUCAAUAAUUUUAUUUAUUGUGGCAUGAAAGUUCAUAUCCUAAAGAUUCAAGACAAAAGUUUAAUAUUGACAUAAAAAUAAUAAUACUUCAAGCAUAGUAACUGUAGCGACCCGACCUCAGACGGUCAAGUCUAUGUGCCUCAGUGUCAUCCCUGGAUCGGUAAUGCUGACACACACAGUACUCGAAGGAUUUAUAAUAGAGUAGCAAUCACACACUUAUUACAUCGAAUGUCUCCAAAGAGAACUUAUUAAAAUAAGUAUGGCUUAAGGCCAUCUAAAUAAGAUAACAGCGGAAGGCUUGGAAGAUAAAGUGAGUCCAUCAACUCCAACAGCAUAGCUGAGUGCAUGACAACGACUUAUCGCACCUUUACUCGUUGUCAGAAAAGUCUGCAACAUAAUACGUUGCAGCCUGAAAACGGGUCAGCACAUGGAAUAUCACUAGUAGAAAAAGGGUCAAAUGUGAGAAACAUUAGUCUCGGUUUGUAAUAGAACCUUAACUAAUGUGUCUAUUAGUGCCGGUUCCAACGGCUAGGUGGGAGGAGAUCUUUAGUACCGGUUCAUGGUGAACCUUUAGCACCGGUUCGUGCCACGAACCGGUACUAAAGAAAGUGGUGGCAGGAUGUUGUCAGACUAGGGCCCUUCCAGCACCUUUAGUACCAGUUUGUGGCACGAACCGGUACUAAUGGUCGUCCUAUAUAAACCCUUCAUCCACUCGCACUCUGUUCUUCCCCCUUUCCCCUCUCCCACUCCUCUGUUCUUCCCUUCUUCCUCUCGAGUUCAUCACAAAAUUUGCCCCAAAUUUGUCAAGAUUUGCAGGGCCCCAUCCAUUCAAAUGAUCACAAAGGUUAGCAACUUUGUCCUUUCAUCUCUCAUUGGUAGAUUAGCUCUUGCAUUGGUUUAUAUAGUGAUUAAUUGUGGGUUUUAGUAAUUUGGGAGGAAUUAUAUGUGGUAGUAUUUGAUUUAUAUGCAAUUUGAGGUCAAAAUAACACUUAGUUUGCAUAUGUAGGUGUGGUUUACUUAGUGCCGUCUAAAUCUCCGUCGUAACCACCGUCGAUUGCCCGCACCGUCCCGUUGCUGGCACCACCUUGUGGUGAGCCUCUUGUUCAUGAAAUUUUAUAUAAAAAUUGAUGUUUGUGUGAUUUGGAUAUAUAGUUACUCGUAUAAUUAUCUUACCCGUACGUUGUUUGUCAUACAUAGUGCCAUGGUUUUGAUAUCUGUCCCCGUCGGCCCCCGUCCUUGUUAUGAUUCGUAUAUGGUAUAUUCUCUUUUAAAACUAUUUGUUGCAUUUCGUGUUUAUGACAAAUUAUGCCCAUCAAGUUAACAUAGAUAUUUUUAUCUAGGAGUUAUGUGAACCGGAAAUUCCAACCGACCCUAUUGUCGAGAGGUUAAAUUUAGUUGAAAGAGAAAACAAGUAUUUAAAAGAAAAAUUGAAAAGAAUUGAGGGGGAGAAGAUGGAAUUGGAGUUGCAUGUUGCCGAUGUCGUUGAUGAUCACAAGAUCAAGAUGGAGAAAAUGCGCUUGAAGAUUAGAAAUAUUAGAAAAUAUGCCAUUGAUAGUGAGGCUUGGUAUCAUUAUGUUGUUGGAUCAAUUGUUACCUUAGUUGCGAUCUUGAUCGCAUUUGUUGUUGCAUUUAAAUGCUUUAGCUAGAGAGUUAUUUGUUUGUUGCAUUUAAGUGUUGUAUGAACUUUAUGUAUGAACUUUAUGUAUUGUAUUAAUUUGGUCUUUUCGGUGUUGUGUAAUGAAGAUGAGCCAGCAAUGGAUGUACGAUGACCGAUGCUCUCCUGAGUUCGUGCAAACUUUUCUGCUUGCGGCUGAGGCAAACAAGCGGGCGAAUAGUUUUAUGCCUUGUCCAUGUGCUGGCUGUAAGAAUGAAUUAAAUUACUCUAAGUCAAGAACCAUUCACGUCCACCUAUUUAAGUCCGGUUUCGUGCCCCACUAUAAUGUUUGGACCAAGCAUGUAGAAAGAGGGGUUAUGAUGGAAGACAAUGAAGAAGAAGAGGACGACAACAACUAUCCUGGCCAUGGGUUCCCUGAAUACGAUGAUACAACAAUAGGGGAAGAAGCUGAGCCGGUAAUGCGGGAAGAAGCUGAGCCGGCAAUGCGGGAAGAAGCUGAAGAAGAGGCAUCAGAUGAGCCCAUUGAUGAUCUAGGUCGGGCCAUUGCCGAUGCAAAGAGAAACUGCGCAAGUGAUUUGGAGAAGAAGAAGUUGCAGCGCAUGUUAGAGGAUCACAAAAAAUUGUUGUACCCAAAUUGCAUAGGUGACAAGAAAAAGUUGGGCACCACACUGGAAUUGCUGUAAUGGAAGGCAGAGAAUGGUGUAUCUGACAAGGGAUUUGGAAAGUUGCUGGUAAUGAUAAAGAAUAUGCUUCCAAAGGCCAACGAAUUUCCCGAGAGUACGUACGAGGCAAAGAAGGUUGUCUGCCCUCUAGGGUUAGAGGUGGAGAAGAUACAUGCAUGCCCUAAUGAUUGCAUCCUCUACCGCGGUGAGUACAAGGAUUUGAACGCUUGUCCGGUAUGCGGUGCAUUGCGCUAUAAGAUCAGCCGCGAUUACCCUGGUGAUGUCGAGGGCGAGCGCCCCAGGAAGAGGAUUCCUUCCAAGGUGAUGUGGUAUGCUCCUAUAAUACCACGGUUGAAACAUUUGUUCCAAAAGAAAGAGCAUGCCAAGGAGAUGCGAUGGCACAGAGAAGACCGUAAGAAAGAAGGAAAGUUGAGAGUACCCGCUGACGGGUCACAGUGGAGAAAAAUCAAAAGAAAGUACGGGAAGGAGUUUGCAGAUGAUGCAAGGAAUGUAUCGUUUGGUCUAAGCGCAGAUGGCAUUAAUCCUUUUGGGGAGCAGAGCAGCAACCAUAGCACCUGGCCUGUGACUCUAUGUUUGUAUAACCUUCCUCCUUGGUUGUGCAUGAAGCGGAAGUUCAUUAUGAUGCCAGUGCUCAUCCAAGGCCCUAAGCAACCCAGCAACGACAUUGAUGUGUACCUAAGGCCAUUAGUUGAAGAACUCUUACAACUGUGGAAUGGAACAGGUGUACGUGUGUGGGAUGAGCACAAACAGGAAGAAUUUGACCUAAAGGUGUUGCUGUUCGUGACCAUCAAUGAUUGGCCUGCUCUCAGUAACCUUUCAGGACAGACAAACAAGGGAUACCGUGCAUGCACGCACUGUUUGGAUGAUACCGACAAUAUAUAUUUGGACAAUUGUAGGAAGAAUGUGUACCUGGGACAUCGUCGAUUUCUUCCGAGCAGGCAUCCCGUAAGAAAGAAAGGCAAGCAUUUCAAAGGUGAGGCGGAUCACCGGACGAAGCCUCACCACCGUACUAGAGCUGAUGUACAUGAUAUGGUCAAGGAUUUGAAGGUAGUCUUUGGAAAGGGUCCUGGUGGACAACCUGUUCCGAAUGACGCUGAUGGACGUGCACCCAUGUGGAAGAAGAAAUGUAUAUUUUGGGACCUGCCCUAUUGGAAAGACCUAGAGGUCCGCUCUGCAAUCGACGUGAUGCACGUGACGAAGAAUCUUUGUGUGACCUUAUUUGUCUUCUUGGGCGUGUAUGGGAAGACAAAAGAUACACCCGAGGCACGGGAGGACCAACAACGUAUGCACGGAAAAUAUGGCAUACAUCAGGGUCAUGCAAGCUACGCUCUUACCAAAGAAGAGAAGGAAAUCUUCUUUGAAUGCCUGCUCAGUAUUAAGGUACCGUCUGGCUUCUCGUCGAAUAUAAAGGGAAUAAUAAACAUGGCAGAGAAAAAUUUCAAGAACCUAAAGUCUCAUGACUGCCACGUGAUUAUGACGCAACUGCUUCCGGUUGCAUUGAGGGGGCUUCUACCAGAAAACAUUCGAUUAGCCAUUGUGAAGCUAUGUGCAUUCCUCAAUGCAAUCUCUCAGAAGGUAGUCGAUUCAUAAAUCAUACCAAGGUUAGAGAAUGAUUUGGUGCAAUGUCUUGUCAGUUUCGAGUUGGUGUUCCCACCAUCCUUCUUCAACAUCGUGAUGCAAAUCCUAGUUCACCUAUGCGAAGAGAUUAACGUUUUGGGUCCUGUAUUUCUACACAAUAUGUUCCCCUUUGAGAGGUUCAUGGGAGUCUUAAAGAAAUAUGUUCAUAACUGUGCUAGGCCAGAAGGAAGCAUCUCCAACGGCCAUGAAAAUGAGGAGGUCAUUGAGUUUUGUAUUGACUUUAUUCCUGACCUUAAGCCGAUUGGUGUUCCUGAAACACGGCAUAAGGGCAGACUGGAUGGAAAAGGCACACUAGGAGGGGAUCAAAUAAUAUGUAUGGAUGGACAUUCUCUCACUGAAGCACACUACACAGUUCUACAGAAUUCUGCCUUGGUGGCUCCGUAUAUGGACGAACACAAGAAUUUUCUAUGCUCCAAACACCCGGAGUGGUCUGAUGACUUGAUUACACGUGAACAAACUAGGAGUUUCGUCGGCUGGUUGCAAACACGUACCAUGCAUGACGCCUCUAUUGAAGAUGACAUGUACUUGCUGUCCCAGCUACCAUCUUAGAAUAUAAUGACUUACAAAGGGUACGAGAUAAAUGGUAAUACAUUUUACACGAUCGCCCAAGAUAAGAAGAGCACCAACCAAAACAGUGGUGUCCGCUUCGAUGUAACAACCAAGACGGGAAAGGAAACAUAUUAUGGCUACAUAGAGGACAUAUGGGAACUUAACUAUUGAGGUGGUUUGAAGGUCCCUUUGUUGCGGUGCAAAUGGGUCAAUAUGACACGAGGCUGGGUAACGGAAGACCCGCAGUAUGGAAUGACAAUAGUGGAUCCAACAAUCUUGCGUAUGCAGACGAACCAUUUUUCCUAGCCAAUGAUGUGGCACAUGUUUUCUAUGUGAAGGACAUGUCUACCAAGCCAAAAAAAAAGAAAAGAUAAGGAAGCGAAUGCAUCAUAUGAUGAGCCAAAGCGGCACAUAGUUCUUUCUAGGAAGAGAAACAUCGUGGGAGUGGAUGACAAGACAGACAUGUCAGAAGAUUAUGAAAAGUUUGAUGAAAUUGCUCCAUUCACAGUGAAUAUUGACCCGAGCAUCUCGUUAAAUGAUGUAGAUUUUCCAUGGUUACAGCACAAAGGGACACACGCGAAGAAAAAGUUUCACACCCAAAGAUCUGGGAUGUGAUCGGCUUCACUAUCAUCACUUUCUUCUAUGUUUCACACCCAGGAGGGAAUCUCUAUAAUAGUUAGGGUAGUUAUGUGUUUUGGCAUUUGAAACGCGAAGAAAUUUUAUGUGCAAACAAAUUCUUUCAUGCAUUUACUGAUUUUUUUCAGCUAAAUUGAAAAACACUUCAAAUGAACUCCGAAAAGGUUGAAAGUUGGCAUGGUAUCAUAAUUUCACCCACAUAGCAUGCGCAAAAAAGUAGAGAGGGUUACGGCAAAAACUGGAUGCAUUUCGUGUACCAAAUGGACAAUCUCUAUCGAACUAUCAGGGUUUCGGACGAAAACUCAUAUGUUACAAAGACAUUUCAUUUUUAAAUUAACCUAAGCAUUACCAAAUUGAAUAUAAUGAUAAAACACACUAAUAUUAAACAUAAUAAAAAAUAAUCACUGAAAAAUGUAUUUUUAAAGUUAAGUUAUUCACAAACUAGUGAUUCAGACAAAUUUCAAAUGAUUCAAAAUUUAAACUAUUCAAAUUUGAAAACUACCGGCACUAACUGGAAGUUUCUAAUUUUUUUGUACCUAAAGCAAAAAUAUUCACAAAGAAAUACAGCAAAAAACAACUAAAAAUAAAUAAAGCAGAAAAGAAGAAACUAAAUGAAAAAAAGCCCACCUACUGGGCCACAGCGGCCUGCAUACGACUAGAAACCCAAAUUCUAAUUGGGCCAGGAUGCAGGCCCGCUAGUCCAAUAGGCCCAUCAGGGCAUAGCAGCAGAUGUAGGCCCGGAAGGCCUGCUUAAGAGAGGAGCUCGAGAGAGCUACCACACUGGGCUUAUAAACCAGUGCGGGCGCCCUUCGGCUAGCGAGGUGGGACUAAACUUGCCGCACCGCACCUACGCCAGUGCACCACCUUUAGUACUGGUUGGUGGCUGGAACCGGUACUAAAGGGUGGUGUUGAGGAUAUAACUACUGAGUAUAAACCGCCCAGGAGGGGCCGGUUCAUGCUCAACCAUACUGAAGUCCUUGAAGACAAGAAGAUGGCGCUUUACUGAUGAAGCUUAGAGGCCCAAGCCCAGAGGCGGAUUAGGGCCCAUAGCGGUAAACUGACAUAGUUGUUUACUUGUAUUGUAAGCUAGGGAAAGGAAGAGACCGAGCCGAAUGCUUGUAUGAGUCGGCCUCGGGACUCUAUAAACCGGCCGGGCGUCAACCUGUGUAUAUAAAGGGACGACCCGGCGGCGGUCCAGGGACAACAGACAACAACUCGAGACCCAGGCUAGCGUGUUUGCUCCCUGGUCAUCGAAACCCCAAUAAUCCCAUCACAAACUGGACGUAGGCUUUUACGGACCGAACUAGUAUAAACUCUCGUGUCCCUUGUCCGGUUUAACCCCUUCAGGCUAACCUCGUUGCGAUGGCUCCACGACUAAGUCCUUCUGCUAGGACAUCUGACGUGAUAUUUCCACGACAGUUGGCGCCCACCAUGGGGCUAUUGCACGAUGGUUUCGAGUUCUUGAAGGGCAGGUUUGAAGGACUCAAGGGGUACGUGGUUGGCCAGAUGACCAAGAGUCGUCGCGGCAAGCUCUACAUCGACGACGCAGGAUGGGCCCCCGAGGUCGGCUCAAUCGAGUACGGGUACCGGGUCUCCUUUGGCGGAAUUCACGUUUUCAUCGGCAAGAUCGGGGAACUGGGCCCUAAACCGGACAUCUCCACCGACCUCAUCGAGACGGCUCAGCAUGCAAGUCCUUCCCGGGUUCGGCCUGCCAUGAAACGUGCAAUCGUAGGAUUCAUCCAUGGCGCGGAAUCUGAACCGGUGUCCAACGGUGAGACGGCCGUCUACUCAGAUGGUGAAUCGUCCACUGGCGAAACCGAGUCGCUAUACCAAUUGCACGAUGGCCGGUUCAAGGGAUACACCGAUGGCGACAGUAUUCCGGAUCCCCUUGAACCGCCAAACCGGGUCGCGAUCUUUAUGGCUGGUACGCAGCCCACCGUGCAAUCUUCCUCUACAGCAGCAAUGGUCUCCGGAUCGGUAGCCGCGGCAGGAGGCCCGGUGCGCCGGCCGGCUCAAGUUCUUGCCGGUUUACUAGAUGAUUGGACGGCACUGUUGACCACAACGGUAACUCCGGAGACUCAGGUUCAGCACAAUGCGGAUGUUGCGAAGUUAAAGGAUCAGAUAGUUCAGGAUAAGCCGGACCUGGCGGCUGAGGAGGCCAGGAUGGAUGAAGAACGGGCCGCUUUAGAUGCCCGAUCAUAGGAAAUCCAAGUGCAGAAUUACUGGCUUAUGUUGGAUCAGAACGCAUCAAACGAGGUUAUGAGAAGGAAGUACCGGUCUCGACUGCCGCAAAUUUACGAGAGUCUGAAUCUCUUCAGCACACCAGGAGCUGGGCCUAGCAAUCCGGUAGGAGUAAACCAGGCCGAGGCAUCGGGGGCAGCGCCGGAUCAGCCACGGGCGAUGGACCCGCCUCGACGGACGGACAACCCGCCACAGUAUGUCACAACACCGCGGGUUCACUUUUCCAGUCCUUUGGAUAACAUGAUUGCAGUAGCGUCAUGUUUGGCGGCUAUUUCGAUGGAGGGUGACUCCUUAGCAGCAAUCGAGACUCGACGGGCUAGGGAUCUUCUUCAAACAACCAUUGUUCAGCAACAGGCUUAUUCCUACAACCGAGACAUAAUACAUUCAACCCCCCGUCCGAGCAAGAGUUAUAGCAGGCACAUGGAUGAGCCAGCCGUGUCAAGUUCUGCGCAGCGUCGAGAUGCGCCUUGAGGGGCUAAUCCGGCGAAUGGUGGUCGGAAUGCUUAGGACGUAGUGGAUAAUGGCAGAGCGCGAAGGGAGGCCGCUUUAGCGGCACUGUACACGGGUCAUCAUCAGCCCGCCCCGGUUCAGCCAACAGCAUCAAUAGAGCGAGGGACAGGGCUUGCCUUCAGCUCUUGGGGAGUGUCGUGUCUCAUCCCGGCUCUCCGUAAUGUGCGGCUGCCCAAGGAUUUCAAAGGGUCGCGCAAGGUGCCUAAUUACACCGCUGAUCAGCCCCUCGAGGCGUGGGUUGAAAGUUAUGAGAUGGCAAUGGAGAUGCUGGAUGUAGAUGAUGCGGCAUGUGCAAAAUACUUCACCAUGAUGUUGGAAGGAAUGGCCCGCACUUGGUUAAAAAGCUUGCCCGCCAACUCCAUUGGAUCAUGGGACCAAUUGAAGGCCAAGUUCAAAGCAAACUUCAAAUAUACAUGCAAACAACCUAUGUCCAUUGUGGAUUUAGAUGCCUGUGUCCAAGGAGAGAACAAGUCAACAACUCAUUGGGUGCGCUGGGUUUCGGAAGUUUGCAUUCGUCAGACCAUAUCAAUGCUGACAUGGAAAUCGUAACGUUGGAGCGUAAUUGCCGGUUUAAGUCAUUGAAAAUGAAGUUGGGACGACUCAAGCGCCACUGCAAUGAUAUGGGAACACUUAUGGUGGCUCUGGUUAAGUAUGCUGAUUCUGAUAACACCAAAGACCCUGAUUCCGAUGAAGAGAAACAAGAGAAGGGAAAGAAGAAUGUUGGUUCAAAAGGAUAGCAUAAUGAGGCGAGCCAGGGAAACAGUGGUAAGCGUAAGGCGGAUAAUUCCGAUUUUGUGGCUAACACCAACGUGCAGGGUAAUAUGCAGCGUCGUAGGGGUAAACUUCCCUAGCACGAUGGAGGAAUGAAUCUGGAAUGCCUGUUAAACCAGCCCUGCCCGAAGCACGGGACAAAGGAGGCUCCGGCCACACACCUUUGGAAGGAUUGCCACAUCAUGAGGGAGUUCAAAAAUUCUGAUAUUUUUCGGUAUGGCCAGGGUCCGUCUGGUGGUUAUGGUCCAGGAUUCCAUGGGCCGGGUUACGGUGGUGGCGGUUCAAGCUCAGGGUUUCAGAAUAAUUAGGGUAAUCAGAACAACCAAGGUGGUAACCAUCAACAGGGCAAUCGGGGGAAUCAACAACAGUCGGGUUAUCAGAGCAACCCAAAGCAGUUAAACGGUGGACAGUAUCAUGUCUUCACUACUAGCUUGUGCAAGCGCGAUCAGAAGCUCCAUAAAAGGGCAGUGAACUCUGUUGAACCGGUGGUGCCCUGUUAUCUACGCUGGUCUAAGCAGCCUAUUGUCUGGAGCAGGGAGGAUCACCCACCCCGGGUUGACAAUCUGGGUCACCUAGCUUUGAUGGUUGGACCUCAGGUGGGAGGUUAUAAGUUUACCAAGAUACUCAUGGACUGAGGGAGCAGUAUCAAUAUUUUGUACUAUGAAACCUUCUAGCGUAUCGGCUUGACAGAUAAGAAUCUUAGACUGUCAAACACCAUUUUUCACGGAGUGGUGCCUGGUAAAUCAGCUUAUCCAGUUGGUAAGAUAGCUCUGGAGGUAGUUUUUGGAGAUGAUCAUGACUCACGGUCCGAGACACUGACGUUUGAAGUAGUGAAAAUCAGAAGUCCAUACCAUGCUUUAUUUGGACGGCCGGUUUAUGCUAAGUUCAUGGAAAGGCCGUGUUAUGUUUAUCUGUAGCUCAAGAUGCCGGGUCACAAGGGGACCAUUACGGUUCAUGGCAGCCAUAAUAUUGCUCUGGAGUGUGAGGAAGGAGAUGCGGCAUAUGCUGAAUCGGUUUGUGCAACGGAGGAGUUAAAGUUCUAUAAGGAUAAUGUUGAUCCGACAGACAUGACUUCCUUAAAGAAGCCCUCUACAAAACAUGAUCCGACCCUGAAGUUCAAACCGGCUGAUGAAACUAAACUUGUUGAUUUCGUUCCUGGUGAUUCAUCCAAGCAGUUUAGUAUCAGCACAAAUCUGGAUCCAAAAUAGGAAAGCGCGCUCAUCGAGUUCAUCCGUGUUUUGCGUGGAAGCCCUGACAUGCCAGGUGUACCGAGGGAACUCGCUGAGCACACUCUCAAUAUUGAUCCCAAGUUUAAACCGGUCAAAUAGUUCCUUCAUUGCUUCAACGAGGAACGACGCAAGGCCAUCGGAGAAGAGGUAGCCCGGCUCCUGGCAGCAGGGUUUAUCGUGGAAGUGUUUCACCCAGAGUGGUUGGCUAAUCCGGUGCUGGUGCUUAAGAAAAACGGCACUUGGCGUAUGUGUGUGGAUUACACAGAUUUGAAUAAAGAUUGCCCAGCUGAUCCCUUCUCCCACCCUCGUAUUGAUCAAAUCAUUGAUGCUACGGCGGGUUGUGAGCGUUUGAGUUUUCUGGAUGCUUAUUCUGGUUAUCAUCAGAUCAAGAUGGCAGUUAAGGACCAGGAGAAGACAACUUUCAUUACUCCCUUUGGAGCCUUUUGCUAUGUAUCCAUGCCCUUUGGGCUCAAGAGUGCCCAGGCAACUUAUCAACGUUGCGUGUAGAAUUGUCUUCAUACUCAGAUUGGGCACAAUGUUCAUGCUUAUGUGGACGAUAUUGUGGUCAAGUCCAGGAAAGCAGAGACACUCAUAUCUGAUUUGCGAGAAACCUUUGAUAAUCUAAGAGUCUAUAAAAUGAUGCUCAAUCCGGCUAAAUGUGUUUUUGGUGUUCCGACAGGCAAGCUCUUAGGCUUUCUGGUGUCUAACAGAGGCAUUGAGGCUAAUCCGGAAAAGAUCAAGGCAAUUACAUCCUUGGCUAAACCGGCGUGUAUCAAUGAUGUUCAGCGGCUUGCAGGUUGUAUUGCGGCUUUGAGCCGGUUUAUCAGCCGUUUGGGAGAGAAGGCAAUUCCUCUGUAUCAGAUGUUGAAGAAAAUCGACAAUUUUGUUUGGAGUGAUGCAGCUGAUGCGGCGUUAGAGGACUUGAAGCGGCAGUUAGCUGAACCGCCAGUUCUUGCUGCUCCCAUUGAUAAGGAGCCACUAUUGUUGUAUGUGGCUGCUAAUGCCCGUUCUGUCAGUGUUGCCAUUGUGGUGGAGCGCAAGGAGGCUGGGAAGGAGUACCCGGUUCAAAGGCCGGUUUACUAUAUCAGCGAAGUGAUCAUUGAGUCAAAGCAAAGGUAUCUGCAUUGGUAGAAGCUGGUGUAUGGGGUGUUUAUGGCAAGUCGGAAACUUAAGCAGUACUUUCAAGGUCAUCCCAUCAGAGUGGUCAGUUCUGCUCCUUUGGGAGAUAUAAUUCAGAACAGGGAUUCAACUAGCCGGGUUGCUAAGUGGGCUAUUGAGCUUGGGCCACACGGUGUGAAGUAUAUGCCUCGCACAGCCAUCAAAUCCCCGGCCCUUGUGGAUUUCAUCAAUGACUGGACCGAGUUGCAUGCACUAGAAGACAAACCGGACAGUACAUACUGGACUAUUCACUUUGACGGGUCCAGGCAGUUGGAGGGCUCGGGGGCUGGAGUUGUCCUUACUUCCCCUCAGGGUGAUAAAAUUCAUUAUGUUCUUUGCUUAAUGUUCCCUUGUACUAACAAUGCACCUGAAUAUGAGGCUUUACUCCAUGGUCUUCGAGUGGCUAAGGAGAUGAACUUAAGCCGUGUACGGUGUUUCGGUGAUUCAGAUCUGGUAGCCCAGCAAGUUUCAGGUACUUGGGUUUCCAAGGAUCCGCUCAUGGUGGCUUACUGGCGCAAGGUGGACAUUGUGGCUAGUCACUUUAAGGGAUAUCAAGUGGAGCACAUUGAUCGGCGCAAAAACGAGGCAGCUGACGCUUUAAGCUGGCUAGGAUCUCAGCGUAAACCGGUGCCACCCAAUACCUUUUUGGACGUCUUGCAUAACCCGUCGGUUCAACUACCUACAGAGGAGGACCUCGCUAUUCCUGAUCCGGAGGCACAGUUGGUGGCCGCUUUACAUAUCAUUCCGGACUGGACGGUUCCAUACCUGGCAUAUCUGAAUCGAGGCGAGUUACCAGAUGAUGAAAUUUUGGCCAGACAGAUAGUCCGGCGGUCCAAGUCCAUGGUUGUUCACAACGGCGAGUUACACCACUGUAGUGUUUCUAGUGCGUUCCAGCGCUGUGUUUCUCCUGAAGAAGGCCAUGAGAUUUAAUGUGAGAUCCACGAAGGAGACUGUGGUCAUCACGCCGGUUCAAAAUCCUUGGUUUCCAAAGCUUUUCGUCAUGGCUUUUAUUGGUUGACGGCUCACGCUGAUGCUGAGGACUUGGUCAGACGGUGCGACGGCUGUCAGAAAUUCUCAAGGCGAGCUCACGUUCUGGCUCAGGAGCUACGGAUGAUUCCUAUCACCUGGUCAUUUGCCACAUGGGGGCUUGACAUGGUAGGGCCUUUCAAGCGAUCAAAAGAUAAGAAGACCCACCUGUUGGUGGUGGUUGACAAGUUCACUAAAUGGGUUGAAGCGGAGCAAGUAACCAAGUGUGAUGGAGCCACGGCGGUUUAGUUCAUCAAAAAGGUGAUCUUCCAUUUCGGUUUUCCACAUAGCAUUAUUACAGAUAAUGGCGCGAACCUAUCUAAAGGCGAGAUGGAGGAUUUUUUUCAACGAGAGGACAUCCGGCUUGAUGUAGCAUCUGUGGCUCAUCCCCAAUCCAAUGGUCAAGCUGAGCGAGCUAAUCAGGAAAUUCUAAAGGGUACAAAGCCCCGGCUUAUGGUCCCUUUGAAGUGGACGCCGGGUUGCUGGAUGGAAGAACUACCAUUUGUGUUAUGGAGCAUAAACACCACCCCAAACCGAUCUACAGGUUAUAUGCCUUUCUUCAUGGUUUAUGGAGCAGAGGCGGUACUUCCCAGUGAUAUUCGUCAUGACUCGCCUCAGGUUGCCAAUUAUGUUGAAGCGGACAACGAGCAAGCACGUCAAGAAGCACUGGACCUGUUAGAUGAGAAGCGAGAUAUGGCUUUGACUCGUUCGGCGGUUUACCAACAAGACCUGCGGCGUUAUCACAGCUGGGUGGUUAAAACAAGAACCUUUCAAGAAGGCGACUUAGUGCUCCGGCUCAUCUAGGAUCAGACCGAUAUGCACAAGUUAUCCCCACCUUGGGAAGGGCCCUUUGUGGUCAGCAAGAAUCUGCACAAUGGAUCAUACUACCUCAUUGACGUUUGAGAAGACUCACGCACUUCUGAGGAGGAGACCCGGUGGCCGUGGAACAUAGCUCUCCUUCGGCCUUACUACACUUGAGUUAUAGGCUCUUCUUAUGUACAUAUUAUGACAAUGUAUGUAUUAUGAUCAAUAUAAUAAACUGGCAUCCUUGCUACAAGCAGGGCCUCUUCCGUUCUUCCAAUAUUUCUUGGUUACAAGGGGGCUUCUGCUUUCAAAGCAAUGACUCAUAUUGUCCAUUAAACCGGCUAUUAUGCCAUCAUACAGCUUGGGAGCUUCACACCCAAGGGGCCAAAGAGAGAUCUGUUGCUACUAGCACGACUCAAACAUAGGCACCCAUUGAGCACAACUCACAAAGUUAAUUGGGGGCUCUUUGUGUAAUGUAACAAAGAGUUUGAAAGUACCCUUGUAACCGGGUAUCGACCCACGGCUUGGAAGCCUGGUGUAUUCACCUAAAACCCCGGGUUAACCUGCCUUCAUCAAGUAAGCCACUCCUAUCCAGGUAAUCCUGGCAUGACCCGCCGAACGUUGGACAGUUACUCUCAUUGAAACCCUGAACUUGUCAAAGUUAAAACGACGAUUGGUUAGUUGAAGGCCCAUCUUAAAAGGCUUUGUCAAAUGGUUUAACUCAGCAGCCUGGCAGCCCACGAAAAGUCUCGAAUUUGGGCCUGACAGCCCUCGAAAGCCUCGACUACAAGUUUUUAUUUGCUUUGUUUUUGCAAGUUUUAUCCUUAUUUGGUCACCUUUUAAGGUAAACCAGCAUCUCUUGAUCCGGCCAGGCUAUAUGUCUUCAUCUCAACCCGGUGUUUCUUAACCUGGUGUGGCUUACAGUUUUCAUCUGUUAAAGCAUAUAAUCAAUGGUGAACCGGCAUCUUUCAAUCCGGUCGGGCUUUGACUACACACUAGUAGAAAAAGGACCUAAUGUGAGACACAUUAGUCCUGGUUCGAUUUUGGCCCGGUACUAAUGAUACCAUUAGUGCCGGUUCGAACGGCUAUGCAUUAAUGCUGGUUCGUUUUGAACCUUUAGUACCGGUUCGUGCCACGAACCGGUACUAAAGGGGUGGUCACAGGCUGGCAUGAGACCGGGCCCCGCGAUCACCUUCAGUACCGGUUCGUGGCACAAACCGGUACUAAAGGGCUAACCUUUAGUACCGGUUCGUGCCACGAACCGGUACUAAAGGGGGUUGACCUAUAGUACCGGUUCGUGGCACAAACCGGUACUAAAGAGCAAUUUUCAAUCUCUACCCCCCCCCUGUAUAUCGCCAUUUCAGUUUUGAAAAAUAUAAAAGAAAAUGAUAAAAAAUUGAAAAAAUAAAAUUCUUCGAGAUGUAGUCAUAUUACUACAUCUACUAGUUAGGAAAAUUAAAAAACUUAAAUUUGGACAUGUUUUGCAAAAAGUGUAGGGAAAAUGUAAAACGGCUACAACUUUUGCAUACGAUGUCGGAAAACAACGUAUAAUAUAUCAAAAAAUUUAGCACAAAAAUCCGCAUCCGAUUUUGACGGCCUACGGCCUAUUUGCAAUUUUUUAGAAUCCUCAAAUUCUAAAAGGAGAAAAAGAUAUGCUCAAAUUUAAGUUUUUUUUUAAUUUUGGUUAAAUCUGGUCAAACUAUGGUCAAACUACUUAUUCAAGAAGUAUUAAUGUUACUACAUACUUAUUCAAGAAUAUUAGUGUUACUAAAUAAUUAUUUCAAUUUUUUGAAUUUUGGUCAAAUCUGGUCAAACUAUGGUUAAACUUAUUUAAGAAAUAUUAGUGUUACUAAAUAAUUACUGUUUUUUAGAAUAAUAGUUUCAAACUCAAACGGUGAAAUGUGUGACCUAAUGCUCAAGCUAAAUUGCUGAGGGUUAAUAGGAUUUACAUCUUACAUUUGUUAGGAAAACGACAAGUGUAGACUUGGAAAGUAGGGGGAAUAGAACUCCGAAGUUAAGCGUGCUCAGGCUGGGGGAGUGAGAGGAUGGGUGACCGGUCGGGAAGUUAGACGAUUUGGAAUGAGUGAUCCACACUUGAGUAGUUAAGAUGGGCGAUUAGAGACUAAAUCAUCAAAUAAUUCAGAAAAUUGGAAAUCGAAAAAAAAUCAAUUUUUUUAAAAAAAAAAUCAAAAAAAUACCUUUAGUACCGGUUGGUAACACCAACCGGUAUUAAAGGUCCCCCAUACCAUGACGCGAGCUCACGCCACGUGGUGGGCCUUUAGUGGCGGUUCGUGCCGAACCGGUACUAAAGGGGGGGGGGCUUUAGUCUCCACUCUUUAGUGCCGGUUGCAGAACCGGUAUUAAAGGCCCUUAUGAACCGGUAUUAAAGCCCCAUUUUCUACUAGUGACAUGUCACCCGUAUGAUCUUUGGUGUUCAUCACAACCUGGUUUUACUUCAUACAUACCUGCACUGCAUGGUGGAAGUUGGGUAUUCACCCUUACUACAAAUAAGUUGGUAACCCAAUAGCAUAAUUUCAUAUCACAUAUCUUUUUAUGCAGACACAGGGAUUGCAUAAUAUUAUGAAGGUAUAUACGCCAGCACUGACAUUCUCAUGGCGGAUCAAACCAAGUCAUAUCUCAAUGCACGAUGGCAGCAGAUCAAAGUAUUUCAACUAGCCUAUUACAAGGCGCUUUAAAGCCCAAAAUAAGGGAUUGUUCUUUCCACAGAACAAAGUUUAUGAAACAUCAACCCGAUUGCCAGAUUAAGACUGAUCACCAUGUUGACGUGAAGUUGAUGGAUCAUCUGGCGUCGGUUCAGCCUCCUCCUCCCCAUCCAGUGGUUGGAAGUCAACGGUGGUCCAGUCAAUCCAGGUUAAAGCUUGAAAGACAGCCUCUUCACUUAUAAGUUUGGACGGAUCAACGUCAGGGGCGUAAGUGUGCUUACGGAUUGGCGGGAUAAGAUUUUGCACUUCCUUCACGGUAGUGUCAAUCCGUUGGUUGUUGGCAUCAUAGAAGGACAGGUGAAUAGUCAAGUUAGCUUCUUCCGCCAAUUGACUUGCCAGAGGACGCAUCUCCCUUGUCACAACUUUGAGGGCUUCGUUAUCAAACUCUGCCCUGUUUUCCUGUUCACUAGGAAAGCCUUUGGCAAUAUCAACCGGAUCCAGGUCAGCUAUCCAUGCUUUGGCUCGGGUAAGUGCCAACAAAGCGCCAGCCCUGUGUCACAUCCCUAGUUCUGACAAUGCCUAGUGCAUGCAUUAGAGUGUUGCUUCAUGUUUAAAUUUCAUUAAAACCUGAAAUGGGGAUUGACUAAACCCUAGCACCAAAUGAAUUCAACUAGGGUCAAAAUAAAAUCUUUUUCAUUAAACCCAAAAUGCCCUCUAAAAAUGUUCAACAUUUCUGGUUUGAGGUGAAAGCAUCUUCCAAAAUGAGUUAUAUCUUUGCAGGACAUAUUGGGCUCCGAAUUACACCAUAUUGUAUUUGACUUUGGGCAUUUAAAUACUAUAAAUAAUUUAAAUGUUCAAAUAAAUGUUGGAAAAUUGUUAGGGGUCACUGAAAUAAUUCAGAAAACACCCAUAACUGUUUCCAGGAUUUUAUAAAAUGAUUUGAUAUUUAAAUCAAAUCAAAAACAAAUUGCAGAAAAUAGAAAAGAUAAAACAGAACAGAGUUAUAAAAGAGAGAGAGAAACAUUACCUGCAGCCACCUGGGCCACUUACCUGGCCCAUCUCCCCCGGCCGGCCCAGCCCACUUCCUCCCCUUUGUCUUCUUCCUCCCCUCGCACCGAAGCAGCUCGGUGGCGAGCGCCGAUGCCGCCUCGGCCACCUCCUGCCUCCCUGCUUGCCUCCGCUACUCCCUGGAGACGCCACGCGGCUCCCUCAGGCCUCUCUCAACUCCCUCCCGUGCUCAUCCCCUUCUCCUGCUCUCCCUCUCGCUCCGCACCUCGGACCCGAACGGAGCCGUCGCCACCGACGCCGUUCGCCGCGGCCACCAUCCCCCUCUCGCCUCCCCGACGCCUCCCAGAGCUCCGCAGUGCCUCCCUCGACCUCCUCGACGUCUCACGCGACCAGAAGGGCCCCGAGCAACCGCCAUCGUCAUCAUCCCCAAGCUUCGGCCCCGGCGCCGUUCUCCGUCGAAUUAGGCCACUCCGGCGCGCCCCCGAGCUCGCUGACCCUCCCUGCACGAUCCCCGUGAGUCCCUGCUCCGUUUCCCCCUAACCCCAAGUUCGAUUUCGAGCUCUAGCCGCCCCUCUACCAGAGCCGAGACGCUCCGCCGCACGGACUCGUCGCCGGCGAAGCCCCGGUGACCAAAUGGCCCCGCACGUGCGUCCGUUGCACUCGCAACGACCCGUGGAGCAACGCUAGCGUGGCAGCUAGCUUGUUUGCAAGCCGCAGCACUAACCCCGCACCCACCUGAGCUCCGGCCGCCGCCUCGGGCUCCAUUCCGGCGAACCCCGGCCACCCCCCGCACCUCCCGUUGGCCCCCCUAGAUGCGCACGAGCACGGGCUACGCCCCGGUGGUCUCCGCGAGUCCAGCCGCCGCCUGUAGCUCAAGUCCGGCGAGCUCCCGCCGCAGUUUUGGUCAUCGCCGGCCGAACUCCNNNNNNNNNNNNNNNNNNNNNNNNNNNNNNNNNNNNNNNNNNNNNNNNNNNNNNNNNNNNNNNNNNNNNNNNNNNNNNNNNNNNNNNNNNNNNNNNNNNNNNNNNNNNNNNNNNNNNNNNNNNNNNNNNNNNNNNNNNNNNNNNNNNNNNNNNNNNNNNNNNNNNNNNNNNNNNNNNNNNNNNNNNNNNNNNNNNNNNNNNNNNNNNNNNNNNNNNNNNNNNNNNNNNNNNNNNNNNNNNNNNNNNNNNNNNNNNNNNNNNNNNNNNNNNNNNNNNNNNNNNNNNNNNNNNNNNNNNNNNNNNNNNNNNNNNNNNNNNNNNNNNNNNNNNNNNNNNNNNNNNNNNNNNNNNNNNNNNNNNNNNNNNNNNNNNNNNNNNNNNNNNNNNNNNNNNNNNNNNNNNNNNNNNNNNNNNNNNNNNNNNNNNNNNNNNNNNNNNNNNNNNNNNNNNNNNNNNNNNNNNNNNNNNNNNNNNNNNNNNNNNNNNNNNNNNNNNNNNNNNNNNNNNNCCACAGUAAAUAGAUGAAACCCACUAGCAUGAGUAGGAGUUGUUUGAGCCCUGAUGUGCCUACUCAUUCAUGCUUGUUCGUCAUGCCUGCUACUGCUUAGAGUUGAGUCAGGUCUGAUUCAUCGGGGAUGAAUCAGAGGCGUGUGAACAUGUCCUACUGUGUGUGAGCUAAGUGUGUGAACACGAUUUGGUAAAGGUAGCGGUGAGAGGCCAUGUAGGAGUGCAUGGUGGGUUGUCUCAUUGCAGCCGUCCUUAGGAACUGAGUUCUGUGUUUGUGAUCCAUGACCAGCUACUACCACACAUUGGAAUGCUUAAGUGCCCCUCUCGACUUAUUAAUCAACAUGAUCUCUGUCCAGGAGUUGCAACUAGUUUCUGGUGUUUGUAGGUAGUGUUAGUAGUCUACCAAGUGGCACCCGGUACAGGUGGGCUUGGGACAGACUAGGCACCGUGGCACGGUGUACCAAGUGGCACCCAGUUGGUGGGCUUGGGAACCCUGCUCACAUCGUUUGGGGCCGUGAGCGACACCCCGGCCGGAUCUCCUUGCGGAUGGAACCCGAAUAGGCGAUAAACCUGGACCAGAGACUUGUUCGGUUAGUCAGGUCGUGGCCGACUCCCUCGCCCGGUUUCCGCUUGAAGGUUGCCGAGGUACAUGACGUGUACAUGGCGGUAAGUGGCGGGAGCGUGUGUGAAGAAGUACACCCCUGCAGGGUUAUCAUUAUCUAUUCGAAUAGCCGGAUUCCUUGGAUAUGGAAACUUGGACCCCUUGCAUAGUUCAGAGACAAGUGAAAGUGGAUACUCUAAAAUACGCAAGAUAAGCGUGAGUGCUAUGGAUGGCGUUCUCGUAGGGAGACGGGAGCGGAUCCAUAGUGGUGUAUUGGUUGGUGAAUAUGUGGACUCGUGUGCGCCACCUCAAAAGAGUUACAUUGCAGUCGUAGUUCAGGAUAGCCACUGAGUCAAAGCUGGCUUGCUGCAGUCAAACUCCACCAUCCCCUUUGUUGAUAAUAAUGCAUAUGUAGAUAGAUCUGAUGUAAGUCUUGCUGGGUACAUUUGUACUCACGUUUGCCCAUUUUAUGUUUUGCAGAGAAACUUCAGUCUCACUAGUAGUUCCGCGUGGACUUUGACGUUUAGCUUGAUACCUCAGCUACGAUCUUGUGCCCUCGGCAGGAGCUGAUAAAUAGUCAGGCUUCUCAGCCCUUUUCAUUUAUAGAUGUCUGUACUCAGACAUGAUAGCUUCCGUUUGUGCUUUGACUUGUAUGCUCUGACUGUUGGGUCAUGAGACCCCUGUUUGUAAUAUCUCGCUCCUCGGAGCCUAUUGAAUAAAUUACUUGAGUCGUAGAGUCAUGUUGUGAUGCCAUGUUGUAUUUGCACAUAUCGAGCAUAUUGUGUGUAUGUUAUUGAAAUGCUUGGUAUGUGUGGGAUCUGACCAUCUAGUUGUUUAUCUUUAGUAGCCUCUCUUACGGGGAAAUGUCUCCUAGUGUUUCCACCGAGCCAUGGUAGCUUGCUACUGCUCCGGAACACUUAGGCUGGCCGGCAUGUGUCCUUCUUCGUUCCUGUGUCUGUCCCUUCGGGGAAAUGUCACGCGAUGAAUACCGGAGUCCUGUUAGCCCGCUACAGCCCGGUUCACCGGAGUCCUGCUAGCCCAGUGCUACAGCCUGGUUUCACUCGCUGAUGACCGACACGUUCGAUGCUGGGUCAUGGAUGCCUGUCCCUGUAAGUCUGUGCCACUUUGGGUUUACGACUAGUCAUGUCAGCCCAGGCUCCUUAUCAUAUGGAUGCUAGCGACACUAUCAUAUACGUGAGCCAAAAGGCGCAAACGGUCCCGGGCAAAGGUAAGGCGACACCCGUGGGGAUACCGUGCGUGAGGCCGCAAAGUGAUAUGAGGUGUUACCGGCUAGAUCGAUGUGACAUCGAGUCGGGGUCCUGACACCCUGGCAGCAGAUCGCUUCAUCUCUUCUAUCUGUGUCAGCGUCAUGGAUAACCUUUCUAGAGUGUCCUUGAUCAAUGCUGGGGCCGGAUUGUUGUAUGAGGCUGCACAGAUAACCCAUUGGGCACCGGUAUACAGUUGCUCUAUCAGAGUAUAUGCUGCCUUCAGCUUCAUCUGCAUGUCAGAGCCAGAUGAGCAAUGCGGCCACCUACAACAGUUUAAGAUUUUGAUGUUAAACCGGCAAAUUUCACAGAUGGUUAUUCAAGAAAUCUUGGCAAGAGUAUUUACCAAAUAUUGCAGAAGUCAUGGCAUUUACUUGGCGCUUCAACCCAGUUAACUCUUCCGCCACCGGUGUAAGGGCUGACUUGGCGUCUUCAACCCGCUUCAAUAGUGCAGUCUUUUCAGUUUCCUAGUUGGCAUGCUCAGUCUUGAAAUUGUCCUUCAGCUGUUCCAUGGGUGUUAAAGAGCCUUUCAGCUCCUCUUUAGCCUUGGAGGUAUCUGCUUGUUGAGACUUGAUAUUCUCUUGAAGAUCAGCAAUUUGAGAUCCUUGGUGAUUUAUAUCAGCCUGCCACAAUCAGAUGAGGAGCAUGUUAAAUAUUUGAAGUCCCAAGCAUAUAACCAGUUAUACACUUGGCACUUGGGGGCUAAUGCGGAUUGCUUCUCUACUACUGAUUGUUUGAAGUCCCAAGGAUCAAUACAAGUUUUAAUCUUGGCACUUGGGGGCUAAUGUGUACUUGAUCAGAAAAUACACAGGCAAGGGAAGUUAACAAAAUACAGUAUGGAACAUGAAAGUCCCGGUUUAUCUUCAAGAGAUAAACCAGCCCUUGGGGGCUACUCAGUCGAAGUGUUCUUUAUCUUUAAAGUCCCAGUUUGUCUUCAAGAAACAAACCGGCCCUUGGGUGCUACAACGCAGUGAAUAUACAGAACAAGGAUGAAAGUAUUUGCAAGAUUAGCUCAUAGCCCUCUUUCAUCAGAUUCACCAAACCGGCCUCGUAAUCUCGACUUGUGUACAACCGGUUCAAAAAUCCGGAAUGAAGCUCCUGAGCAGAAAGAUUGACAUAGCUUGACAAAUCGGUCUUCCCUUUCCCCUUGCCCAUAAUAGCAAAUUCCUCCUUGGUAGUAUGUUUCGAUAAAGCAACUAGAUUGCCUGGGGCGGUAUAAGCAGUGCCAGUGAUAAUAACGUCAUCGACACCUUUUGACAGACUUGGCGGAUUGACGGUAUCUCUGGUUGGGCUCGGCGGAUUAGCAGCUGGGCUCGGCAGAUUAGCACCUGGGCUCGGCGGAUCAGCAGAUGGGCUUGGAGGCGUAGCAUGCGGACUUGAUGGAUCAACAUGCAUGGCCGGAUCAGCUUCCGGCAGAUUAGCAUCAGUGGCUGGGUCUUGCGGGGCAGAGUCAUCCAUGACAACAUCAGUAUCUUUACCAGCAUUUUCUGGGGUCUUCUCCGGGUCAACAUCGUCAGUGGGGCCGCUUGUCUUGGCUUUCUUGCUCAAUCGGGCCUUGGCACUACAACAUCAAAAUAAAGAUUAGUAUGAUAAACCGAUGCAUGAAGAAACAAACCGAAAAGCAGUACACUUACCCAGCGACGGUCUUGAGGGGAGGCAAUUGCAUGGUCGAUGAGUCGCCAGAUGAGGAGUUAGAAGUUACCUGAUAAUUUGAAUCAGAUGGAUUAAGUGGGUAGCGGAAGCAACCCGCCAAGGGACAAGGUUUAUUAAAAGAAGAAGAGACCUUCGGACGACGCUUCUAGGGUGGAGUGUCUGGUAAACCGGAGGAAGUGACCUAUUGACCACUGUGCCGGGUUGUGCGACGACCUUCUUGUUGCUGUGUCUUCAAAGAAAAUUGUGGAUCCAAAUGAGCAAGUGGGUGAGAUCGUUUUACUUUCCGAACUGCACGGCGAAAUUUCUGAACCGACACGUGAUCUGAACCGGAGGAAAGGGAGAUUACCUCAACACGAUCAGCGCGGUUAUCUUCUGCAUCAUCCUUGUAAUAGUCAUUGUUAAUAAGGUGUAGGAAAAAGGAGCCAAGGGAGUCAAGUUCUAACUCCUGGUCUGAUUCUUCAAUAUCUUCGGGCGGAUCAGUAGAUUCGUCGGUCUUCUUCUUGGCUGCUUUCUUUAUAACUUUGCUCUUGGCACGAGGAGCCCUUGCCGGUUUGUCUGAAGGUUUCCUCUUCUAGAAGGAGCUAUUGUCCUAUAAAAUUAAACAAAGGUUUAUUAGAACAAUGUUAAAGCGUAGGCGGAUCAAGAAAGCACAAGGUUAAAAUCUUUACCGCUGGCGGUUUGUUGGAGGUGUAAAAGGGGGCCAGCCGGUUUGGCUGCAUGCAGCGAUCGGUUCGUCUAACAUCUUCUUCACAGAUUCAGUGACUUCAUCAUCAGACAUUUCUAUCUCAUUAAAUCGUUGAGGAUCCUUGGCAUUGCCGGUAUACUCAUGCAUUAAUCCGGAGCGGCGGCUUAAAGGAAGAACAUGCCAUGCAACCCAACAGUGAACGAGGUCAACACCAGUGAAACCAUUGGCUAGGAGAGCCUGGUGCUUGGCGAGUUGAGGUGCACAAGCCUGUCGUUCCUUGGCGGUGAGACGUUGAGGCAGUGGAUGUCCAUUGCUGAGCCGGUGAGCUCGGUAACCCAGCAAAGGAUUUUCUCCAGCAGGAGCAGUGUUUUGACAAUAGAACCAGGUUAGAUUCCAGUCUUUCGGAUGGCUAUGAUGUUCGGCAUGAGGAAAAUCAACUUAUUUUCUCUUCUGAAUUGACACGCCACCAAGUUCAGUAUUGGGGCCGUCAGAGAACUCGGUUCGGCGGUUUAAGUGGAAGAAAUCCCGGAAGAGCUCAACAGUUGGUUCCUCUUGAAGGUAAACUUCACAGAACACUUAGAAGUUGCGUAUGUUGGACACAGAAUUUGGUCCAAUGUCCUGAGGAUGGAGUUGAAAACUAGCAAGGACAUCCCAGAAGAACUUUGAUCCGGGAGGGAUGAAUCCCCGGUGUAAGUGCUGCAUAAAUACAAUCACUUCUCCGUCUUGAGGUUUAGGAGGGCACUCAGGGCCAGGGACUCGCCAAUGAAGAACAUUCUUUGAGGCUAAAGCGCCAGUUACAACGUAUCCAUUGAUUUGAGUCUUUGUGAUCUGGGAAGGAGCCCAAUUGCAAGCUGAGAAUUUCUUAGUCAUUUUGGAGGAUAAAAUUGUAAAAGAAAUGCAAAGGCCGGUUUAAGAUUCAAGGUCGAGGUGCUCUAAGCCGGUGUUGAACCGGCAAAAUUAAAAAGGACAUAUUUGAAAGUUGAACCGGAUAUGGAUAUUCAAGUCGGAAUGGCAGUUUAAGUGAGGGCUAAUGGUAUCCGGUGGAUUACUAACUAUUAAAGGUUAAACCACCCUUAAACAGAAGAGGCAGAGCCGAAAUCUACUAAGUGUUUACAGAAACAGGUUUCACAAUAUGAUAGUAUAAUUUUGGAUCUACAUUGGUUUGAUAAAGAAAAUUUUUCUAAGCCCUAUAAUGGCCCUAAGAGGAACAGAGAAGGUCCAGAUGCAGUUUUUCUAUGAACAGUAAGGCAUUAUGGUAUGGCAGACUAAAGUUACGGAUCUAGCCGCAAAAGAAACAACCAGGUAUAGCUAGAUUCAGUAAAAGGCUAAGGGAAAGGUAGAGAAGCGCUGAUGAACAUCGAUGAACACAUAUGAACUUGAAGCCCUAAUGGAGAUCUAGGGUUAGGGGAAGGAAGAUUUACCAAGGCCACACAGUGGCGGCGGAGUAUUGCAGGAGCUCUGGUACAAACAGGGUGAUGCAGCGGCCAAGGUUGGUGUAGAUUCGAGGACCGACGGCGGCGGCGGCGGCGCUGGAGUUCUUCGGGUCACGAGGAGGAAGACGAGAGGCAAGGGGGGGGGGAAUGGAAAGACCCCCCCCCACCCGGCCUUAUUUAUAAAGAAAAGGGGACAAACGGCAGGCGCGAAAAUCGACGUGCCUAAAGCAGCGAAAGGGGGCGUAGCUGUCGCCUCAAUCUUCGGGAUAUAAUUAAUGAAGGAUAUCUUUUUCUGCAGAAGAUGACAUCAUGACGAUUUGCUGUAGUGACAGAAGAUGACGUCACGGCGGUUCACCAAAAUUUAUAGGGAAAUGGCAACAUGGCGGUUUACAAGAAUCAUCAGAAGAUGCCCGUGGAAUUUGUUUAAGUGUUGAAGAUCGACCUGAACAGGUUCAAAUCAAUCUGGGGCCUAAUGUUGAGGAUAUAACUAUUGAGUAUAAACCGCCCAGGAGGGGCCGGUUCACGCUCAACCAUACUGAAGUCCUUGAAGACAAGAAGAUGGCGCUUUACUGAUGAAGCUUAGAGGCCCAAGCCCAGAGGCAGAUUAGGGCCCAUAGCGGUAAACAGCCAUAGUUGUUUACUUGUAUUGUAAGCUAGGGAAAGGAAGAGACCGAGCCGAAUGCUUGUAUGAGUCGGCCUAGGGUCUCUAUAAACCGGUCGGGCAUCAACCUGUGUAUAUAAAGGGACGACCCGGCGGCGGUUCUGGGACAACAGCCAACAACUCGAGACCCAGGCUAGCGUGUUUGCUCCCUGGUCAUCGAAACCCCAAUAAUCCCAUCACAAACUAGACGUAGGCUUUUACCUUCAUCGAAGGGGCCGAACUAGUAUAAACUCUCGUGUCCCUUGUCCGGUUUAACCCCUUCAGGCUAACCUCAUUGUGAUGGCUCCACGAGUAAGUCCUUCUGCUAGGACAUCUGACGUGAUAUUUCCACGACAGGUGGGUCUUUAGUACCGGUUCCAGCCACCACCCGGUACUAAAGGUGUGCUCUCCCACCGCUUGGCCUGGCCAAAUUUGACCUUUAGUACCAGUUGGUGGCUCCAACCGGUACUAAAGGCUCCUCCUAUAUAUAUAGCACUUACGAAAAUUUCGUCAGUUUCCUCCCACUUCUCUCUGCUUCAUCGUCGCCGCCCCGUCCUGCGCCAUCACCGCCGCCGUCGCGCCAUCCCCGUCGACUCCGCGCCGCCCCCGUCCUCGUCGUGUUGCCCCCGUCGUGCCAUCCGCAUCGCUGGCCCGUCCCUGUCCGUGCACCGUCCCGCGUCCCCGUCGCCGCGCCGGCCCACGUCGCCGUCGCUGUCGCCGCCGUCGUCGCCUCGACCUCGCCCACUCUGUGAGCCUCAGUCCCCCCCUCUCCUCCCUCUAAUUGAAGCCGCCGCACGAGCCGCCGGCACCGUCGAUCACCUUGGCUCACCGUCGUGGGCGUCCCCGUCCCCGCACCGCCGCCUGCACACACAACACAUACACACACAUGCACACACACAUACAAAAUUUUUGUUCUGUUUUUAGUUUUUUAUUUUUUUUAUUUUUAGUUUUUAGUUUUCUUUUAUUAAUUAUUACUUAUUAGUUUUUCUGUAUUAAUUUUAUAGAAAUGUUAGUUAUAUAUAGAAAUGGUAGUUAUAUAUAGAAAUGUAAUUUUUUUCUGUAUUAAUGUUAUAGAAAUGUUGGAAAUGUUAAAGAAAAAAUUUGUUAUAGAAAUGUUAGAAAUGUUAGUUUUAGAUAUGGUCAAUGUUUUUUUAGUUUAUUAUAUUUUUAGUUAUAAAAUUUAGAAUUUGCAUAUAUGAAAUCACAAUCCAUCAUUUAAAAAACUGUUACUUUACUUUUGCGGCAUAUAGUAUUUGUUGUCGAUGGGUCCUCUGAAGCAGCACGUCGAGCGAAUGGGUUGACGGCGAGGAUGCGGGAUGGCACUGGGAGGUGCUACCUUCAGGGGCGCGACGCUUGGUGAGGAACCCGGCCUUGGGUCCCGUCGUCGACCUUGAUCUCCUUUGGUGGCGUUCGCGUGUGCCACUUUCGGUGCGGAGGGAGCCGGCCCCGCCGGAGGUGGUACGUCGCCGUGUCAGGGAGGAGAACGAGCACGUCCAUCGCUACAUGGCUGUUAUGGACGUCAGGUUCUCCAAUACCUGGCAGGUUCUUUGGGGAGAUCACCCGAGCUAUGAUCAAGUGAUGGUUCCUUCACUUUGGUUGUCCACCGCCCGUGCCUCAGGAACCGCGAGUGGCCUAGAUUACUCUUUAGUGUUCGUUCUUUAUAAGCUAGCUAGCUAGCUAGAGAUGUAUUCGAUAUAUAAUAUUCGAGAUAAUUUAUUCGAGAUUAUAUAUAUAUUAUUCGAGACGAUGUAUUCGAGAUUAUAUCUAUUAUUCGAGAUGAUGUAUUCGAGAUUAUAUUCGAUGAUGCUUAUUAUGUACUAUGAUUGAUUCAGUUUUUCCUUAUUAAUUGAUUUCAUCCAUGCAUUGUAAUUUGACUACUAAAUUGUUUUAUAUUUCUUUUGGAUUAGUUAAAUUAAAUCUAUGGCGGACAAUACUAGCAGAGAGGGAGAAGAUGCCCUGUUCGAUAUCAUACGCCAUCCUCGCGGGCCAGAUGAUGAUCAGAAUGAAAAAGAUUAUGACGGCUCCGAAUUUCUAAACAAUACCGUGGAGGGUGAUAUGAUAUUCGAUCACGGCGACCGAAUUGAUGAAGUCAUGAACUAUGAUUAUGAUGAUGACGAAGAAAAUGUUGAUCUUGAAACAACAAAGACUGGCGAGGUAUAUUUAUAUAAGCAGGCAUCUGGUGAUCAUCACAUGUUUUAAAUGACUUGAAGAUAUAUUAACGAAUCGAUCUUUCUUCUUUCAGCCAUCCGGAUCGAGCAAAUCUUCAGGCAGCAGGACAGUACGAGGCCCGAACAAAAAGUUGAAGGAGGGCGUAAAGUACAAUAUCGAGGCCAUCAAACCUAAUGGCGAACCAUUAGCGCCUAAGAAGAUUGCGGACAAGUUCAUUCGUCAGUGCGGAGUUCUUGUGAAGGACCAACUCUCGAUCUCCCUUCAAGAAUGGAGAGAGCCAGCAAAGCCACGUCCAGAUCUUACUUUUAUCGACGACAGACAAAAAGUUCUGCUUUGGGAAACACUCAUGGAACAUUUCACCCUCUAGAUCAUUUCACAGAUGCAAAUGUGGAGAAAGUCAAGGACGCUGCUCUUAGGAAGAUGGCGGUUGUAUUCAACAACCACAAGAAACGUGUAUGGGACAAGUACGUCAAGGGAGGAAGGAAGACUCCAGUAUUCAUGGGAACACUAGAGAAGCAAAGUGCUCAUUGGGACGAUUUCGUGAAAUUCAAGGAAUCGAAAUUAUCUAAGGAACGGUCGAGAAUAAACAAGGCCAAUGCCACAAAAAAGGAUAAGUUCCAUAAGCUGGGGCCAGGUGGAUAUGCAGUGGCAAUGCCUAAGUGGGAUAAGUCUGAGAAAGAGAUGGAGGAUGUAGGUGUCACCCCAGUUACAUUUAGCUGGCCCCCCAGGUGCAGGACUUGGUUCUAUGCGCAUGGGGAGGAGUUGGGCCUGAAGACAGGCAAAGUUUCGAAGAAGGCAUGUCUGAACGGAGCCGAAGAUAAGAUACUUGUUGCAAUAGAAGAGGCUCGAUCGGGGGUGUUCCAUCCCAACAGAGAGAACGACGAGCUUACGCGUGCCCUGGGAAAUCCUGAACACCCGGGAAGAACACGAGGCAAGGGCGUUAUUCCGUGGUAUGAGGGGUUUUUGGACUGGAACGCCGACUACAGAAGCCGUGCGAGAAGGAAGAUUGCGGAGGAGAAGAAGAGGAAGAUGGAGGAGGAGCAGAGAACGCUGGACUAUGAACGCCUUCAAGGCCUAGAAUCAGCGCACACGGACUUGGCAGUCAAAUUCCAGCGGCAGCAGGAGCAGAUCGACUCACUUAGCCAGCAAAGGGGGUCUCAGUAGCGGCAGCAGCUAGCAGAUGAUCCAACAUUGGAUAGCACCGUCCCAUCCAUGCCGAGAAGCAGCGUGGGUUUCGCCCCGGGCGACGCAAUGCUAGAUAGAUACCCCGUGGAUGACAUCAUGGAGAACAUUAACUGCGAGCUACACUUCAAAAUGAAGAACAUGUCCAUGAAGGUGGCGGACGUCGUUGCUUUUACAAAUCCCCCCGAGGCAACCUUCCAUUGCAACCCGAUUUUAGUGGGCUAUGCUUGAGUCUUGGUUGAUGAGGUGGUGGACCAACAUUCGGGGCUAGAGCUUGACAUUCCUGGAGGUGACGAGGAGCACACACUGGGAGAGGCCAAACAUCAUAUAAACCUAUGGAGAAAGGAUUGUAUCAUCUUUCAAAGGCCACCGACACCGCGUCAGCCGACUCCUCGUCGAAGUCCGCUACCGAGUCAGCAGACUCCCGCUCCUCCAAGUCCACCAAUGCGUCAGGCCACUCCUCCUCCUCCAAGUCCGACAAAGCGUCAGGCCACUCCUCCUCCAAGUCCGACACAGCGCCAGACCACUCCUCCUCCAAGUCUGACACAACUUCAGGCCACUCCUCCUCCAAGUUCGGCAUAGCUUCAUGCCACUCCUCCUCCUCCAACUCAGCCACGUCAGCCGUCUCCGCCGCCUCAGCAAUCACGGAAGAGAGCCGCCGCAGCUAUGGUGCGUAGCAGUACAAGUCGAGGUAGUACGGGAGGUACAGGAGGAGGCAAGCGAUUUCAGUAUGGUCCAAGCCUCGGGCCUCUUUUGCAGAGGCCUUACGACAAGUCCGAGGAGGAAAAUACAGCCAUAGUGAAGGCCCAGGUGGAAGCCCAUUUUGCACCAAAACCGCCACCGCCGCCAACAGAGAAAGUGCCUGAGGAAAAGAUUGACCACUUCAUUCGUAUGGCUAGAGCACCAACUCCCAAGCCUAUUGACACAGACUAUGAUCGCCACCUCAGGAAGUUAAAUCGAGCACGUCUACAGAAUGAGGCGAGCUCGAUCUCGAGCAAAUCAGCUGGCAAAAAAUGUGGUAAAACCGUUCCCCAGCCGGGAGAACAGGCGGCGCAAUCAAUCCCCCGCUUGUUUUGCCAACAACACAUAAGAGUACGCGUGCCCAAUAUUAUUAUGGGCAAACCAUUAAUGUUCCCCAGCUGGGCGAUGUGGUAAUAACUGAGGAGCAUAUAAUGCAGGCUGAAAUCCUCAAGAUCACUGUUGGACAACUCCUCGAGAUCGAGCCCAUGUCUCCGCUUAGAGAGGAGGAAAUAAAAUGGGAAUAUGUCUGGGGCCAACCUUUGGUCGAGCCAAACGAGGUCAAGAAGCUCCCAACAAGAACGUAUGAAUUGCAUCAAUGGUACAUGAACAUUACCAAGAUUUCCAAUUGAGAGUCCCUCAUGGUGAAUGUCAAGAAGGAUCAUUACUUCCAUGAGAAAGUUGUGUCCAUUGAGUAUUCAGAACUAUUUCAGUUAUACAAUCAAGACGCACUCGACAAAUCUAUCGUCAGUUGCUAUUGUUUGUAAGUGAUUGCUUUCUGUAAUUUAAGUCUCAAGCUAGAUGUAGUGAUCAUUUUGAUCAAUCAUUACCUGUAAUUAUCCUCACUAUAUUCUUUUCUGUGGUCUUAUGCAGGAUGAAGAUGUAUGAAAUGAAAAAAGGUGGACGCUAUGGCAUUGGGUUCAUUUACCCAAAUACCAUUAAUGAAUACACAUGGAAAUUAGAUGCAUAUUAUCAAGCAAGUGUAGAGGAAAGCAUGCUAGAGUUCUUCAAGCGCCUCAAUACCAAUGAAGACAUACUGCUUCCUUACAACUUCCUGUGAGUCACACUGUCUUGUACUACAAAUUCUGUUUUUGCCUACUAGCUAGCUACAUGUUUUUGCUUACAUAUGCCCGCUUAAUUAAGACAUGCAAAUGUGUGUGCAUGCAGUUUUCACUGGAUCUUGUUAAUCAUUAAAGUUGAUGAAGGAACAAUUGAAGUACUGGACUCACUACUUAAGAAAGAAAGUGACUACAGCAUCAUGAAGGUGAUAGUCGACAGGUAAUUUCAAUCAUUAUUAACUAUAUCUCGGCCUAUUUAAUUAGUUUGUCAUUUCCUGAUAACAACUAUUUAAUAACCCCUUUAUUCAUUUUCUUUGUCGGCGGGCAGGGCUUGGGCAAAGUUCAUCAACGUCACUCCAGGCCAAUGGAAACAAAAGCUGAAAUGGUAUCGACCCAAGGUAAGUAAUUAAGUAGUACUAGCUAGCUAGCUGCUAUCUCUUUAAUUAUCAAGCUUGAUUAAUUAUUGUCUGAUCAAAUUCCAUUCUCGUAAAGGCCCUGAAGCAGGCGCCGGGGAAUGAUCUAUGUGCAUACUAUGUUUGUGAGAACAUUCACAUGAUGGCGUUCGAAAGGAGCAGAUCUCAAAGACAGGACUGGGUACGUUUGUCAGAACACUAUUCACAAUUUUUACACCAUUAUCGAUAUCUAGUCUCACAACUAAUACACAUGCAUAUUGAUCUCCUUCUUAACAGUUUAGAGAGGUGCGGGAGAAGCUCCUAGCAACGGAGCGCAUACAGGCAAUUCAAAAGGAAAUAGCGGGAUUUUUGCUCGACCAGGUCAUAGAUCCCAAAGGAGAAUACUAUUACCCGCUACCGCCCCCAUGAACCACUUCCAACUGUCAUCGUGCUCCGAAGGCACCAAUUAGGAGAAAUUGUAUAUAGCUAGCUAAUUGUAUAUAUAUAUAUAUAUAUAUAUAUACAUGUGUGUACACUACAAAAAAAUACACUUCCGUGAUGAUACAUGUUUGUCACAGUAGGUCGCGUUUUUUGUCAUGCAUGUACAUCCAUGACAAAUUUAUGACGGAAUCAAGAUAGUCAUACCUGUGCUGUCGUAGAAGUGUUCCAUGACAUUAACAAAAUUAUCAUCACGGAAGUGUCCACUUCCAUGACGAUAAAUCGCGCGUCACAGAAGUGCUUUUGUCAAGGGUAACUGACACGUGGCAUCCACCGUAACGGAACACCAUUAAGCUAUCGGGUCGGGUUUUGGAUCCGAUAACCCAUUAACAGCCCCGACCAAUGGGAAAUUUCCACGUGUAAAAUUCUUCUUGGCCGGACGAAACACGUGUCAGCUCGUCAAUGGGUCAGAUAGGCGCCUAUGAUAUGUCGACACGUGCCACGACCCACCACUGGCCCAUUUAGCUUACAAAGCCGGCCCGUUUGACUUGGUCAAAAGUUAACGGGCUGGCCCAUGAAAAGCCUGUUAAUGGUCUCUUCACAAAUAGCCCAUUUUACGGCCCGUUAGGCACUAAAGGAAAUCGGCCCAACAACGUCAUGUCGCCCGUCGAAUAUAACACCAUCCCAUUUCACUUUCGGCCCAUGUAUGGCCCACGAUGUCUUUUGGCCCAUAUGAGGCCUUUGUAUCUUUCGGCCCUUUACAGGCCCACUGUUACUCUAGCCCAUAAUGAACAGUAAUUUCUUUGUACCCGUUAACGGCCCGUGAUUUACAUGGGCCGUUUCCAGCCCGCGUUAGCUUUCGGCCUAUUGACGGCCCAUACGUUCUUGGGCUCCUUUUCGGCCCUCGAUUACUUCCGGCCCGUUACGGGCCUGUUCCCCUAAUGGGCCAAAUUCGGCCCAUGGCAAGAGUUGGCCCGUUAUUGGCAUGUUCCCCAAAUGGGCCAAAUUCGGCCCAUGGCAAGAGUUGGCCCAUUACUGGCCUGUCACCCUAAUGGGCCAAACUCGGCCCAUGGCAAGACUCUGCCCAUUUUUGGCCAGCCCGUCCUAUAUUCUGGCACAUUAACGACCCGUUAUGCCUGUGACAGAAUUAAGCUUUUGCAGUCCUACGGCCUGUUAACGGCCCGUUACCGUGCUGGGCCGAUACCAAUUAUGCCCGAGGCCCACCGAUUACAGGCCCAUUUAUCGAUGGCCCGAGGCCCACCGAUUACAGGCCCAUUUAUCGACGGCCCGUAGGAGACCCAUGGAUCCUAUGGCCCGUAUAUGGCCAUGGGUAGUUGCGGACACUGGCAAACCAGGGAAAAAGAAGACUAGGGAAUAAAUAAGGCCCAAACUAAUGCUAGGCUAUUAAGGCGAUUGCACAUAUUACAUCCACUAGGCAUCAAAGAUCGCCAGCAGUGCAAAUAUAGGGAACACCCUACACUAUACAAAAAUGGCUUGCUGUUUUCUUCAGCCGGUGGCUGCACGUUAAGAAUAAAUUUUGUAUCACACCAAAACAAAGUACAACUAUAUAACAAAAGGAAGGUUGGCAUAAAACUUAACAGUCUAGCAGAUAAAUGCACCACCAGAAGUUCAGAAGCUCGGUUCAUUUGACCUGACUGUUAUGUUUUCAUGUUGUAUUGUCCGAUGGAACACCAUAACCCUCGCCUUCAUUUCCUCUAGGCUCCUGAACAACAUAGAAAAUGUCUGAUAGUCUGGUUUCAAAACCAUGCAUAUCUUGACGACAUUGAGCAAUGUUUCUCCUUGUUUCACAAAGGGCCUCUGUUGGGGAAUGGACUUGUGUCUGGAGCACAGAUACAACAUUGCUUUGAGCUUGCAUAUCUUGAUCAUGAGGCAGUUUGGACGAUAUUGCCUUAACAACCAACCCAGUAUUACGCAGGAACGUGCUUUUGGCACUGUUAGUGGACAGGUACUGACCCACUGCAGCAAGAGCUGACAUUGCGGUUAUAGUUUCCUCGCCACCUUCAGAAGGUGGCGGUUCCACCAUUUUUUCGUAGCUCGCUGAAAAGUUGAGGUUUUACAUUAGUAGUACCAGAACAGAAGAUAUUAAGGAGGCAGCAAAACCAAACAAAAUAGCUUUGGUCUAUAUACAGAACUUAUUCUGGUGAACCGAUGUAAAAUAUUAGUUGUAUUUUAUUGCAAAGUACAUAAUAAAACCAGGUUCCAAACGUAUGACCAUGUACCAUCGCUAAUGUAUUGUCUAUUUCUUCACAUUGUAUUGAGGGCUAAGGAUAAAGAGACGAAGUUUAUAAUACGGUAAGCAUAGUAUGACAUCAUUCAUAUCACAAAACAACUAAGAACAGACAAACAUGCAAUUGUAACGUUGUGUGGGCAAGUCUAGCAUGGAACUAGAUUACGGGUCAAGAUCAAAGGAACAUCACUCCUCCCUUUUAAACCUUGUAAGGUGCAAUGAUACGCUAAGACAAUUGUGUAUAAAAUUGAAAAGAGUAAUAGACAUUGGCUGCAAACCAUGCAGUUCAAGGCAUAAGUCAGAGUAAGUAGUAGUUAAAAGGCAUGAGGAUUAAGGACUUACAACAGCGGCUUUGACUGGUGUAGUCAUGCUGUUAUUCUUGCUGGUGUGACAGUCCUUGAAGAUUUCCACAGCAUUUGGUUCAGGUACUUUUUGGUCCUUGCGGGCUUUCCUCUACAUUUCAAACAUGUCAAUAUAGAUCUGAUAAUAUGGUACAACAAAAAGAGUGAAACAUCAGCUAAUUACAAGAGCCUCGCAGUGUGCAAUAUAGCUACGAGAUCCUGUCGUCUGUUGGAAUUUCACUUUCGUACGAUUGGCCUUGUUCUUUGAACAGUUCACCUACAAGAAGAUAGAUUUGUGUGGAACAUGCGUCAAUAGGAAUUCAACAUGUGAUCUGAUCACAUAUAUAUAUAAUGUACCUGAUACUUCAGAUUAGACCAGUGUUUAACAAGGCCCCUCCAGUCUUCAUCCGAUAUAUUUUCCACUGGAGAUGUUUGGGAAAGUUCACUGUUAGCCUUGCCUUCAAAGUGAGUUUUCCUCAAGUUAUACCGAUACUGUUGUAGAGCAGACUUGAAAACAUGGGUGCAAGCUUGUCUGGUUGCAUCAUCUCGGCUAUCCAACUUGAACCUCAUCUGUUGAAAAUUAUGGGAGUCUCAUAUCAGCAACCUAGAAAGUAUGGGACACAGCAAGGUGAUAUUACUAGUUUCCAUACAUAACCAUACUUACAGAUAAAUGGUCAAGGAAGGUGUUGAACUGGGUUUCAUCUUUGUCAUUCCUGUACUGAAUCCAUGUUGGGAGGAUACGUACAUGACACCUAAUGGCAACCACUUCCUCUGAUACUAACUUGGCUAACUCUGUAGCAUCACAUGGCCUUUUUAAACCUGCCUCAAAACGGAUCUCCAUUCUUCCUCUAGAUUUAGUUAACCUAUCGAGCAUUAUCCCUGAUGUUUGUUUCCUCUUGGCCUAGGUGCUAGUCCAACAACAAACAUAGGAAGUGUUAGUGUACAUCAAACUGUGAGACUACAUAUAAAGAAGCAUGCAACUGUAACUUGACUCCAGCAACUACCUUCUUGCUGUUGAAGCUCACAAGGUUCAUCUGAUAUUGCCAACUCGUCUUGUGUGAAGAGUGCUUGGGAAGUAGUGUCAGGUGGCAAGGGAGCUUGGGAACGUGCUGCUAGCUCAGUUGACGCACGAGUAUGUCGUGCAGCUGGUAGUACUAUGGUAGGUGUUGCAAGAACUAGGGUUGUCUCUGCUUGUUAGGUGGCAGCUAUUUGUUUUUGUUUGGCUUUUUUUGCAGCUCGUGUAGCAUGGGAUGCCGUGUUUGUAGAAUUUUCGGCUGGACUUUCACCUUCUAUUGCACCAUCAGUACCAGCAGAAUCUGCAGGAUUCAUCCGCUUCUCAUUCCCUGCCAUUAUCUGUUUCUUCCUCUUUCUCUGUGCCAUGUUAAGUCAAGCCGACAAGAAAAACGAAUAACAAUUUAGUUCUUCAGAACAAAUUGAUGUGUGAUGUAGACGAAUAAAACUUUGAUGUUAGACAACCACAUGAUAGGAGGAUGUAAUAUGUAUGAAAAACAGGACGGAAUAGAUAACCAGAACUAUGAUGUGUAAACUAAGAAGAAGACAUUUCACCAAAUUAGAAGCAAUGCAAUGGAAGGUAGACACCAUAUGAAAGAUGCUACAAAUAUCGCUCUGCCAAGUUAACAGUGUCUCAGCAUAAAUGGCGUCUAAACAAAUGUGAAGCAGUACAAGAAAUAAAUCAUAUGCAAGAUGCAAACAACAUCACACUACCAUGUUAGAGGUCUCUCGUCAUUAGUGCCAUUGCAUAUUCACAGCUUAUGAUGUGUAAACUAAGGAGAAGGCAUUUCAACAAAUUUGAAGCAAUGAAAGCUAGACACCAUAUGAAAGAUGCAAAUAAUAUCACUGUACCAAGUUAAAACUGUCUCGUCAUAAGUGCCAUUUCAACAAAUUAGUAGAACAAGCUAGAAAAGAAUAUGAGAUGUAACCUAUAUCACACUCCGAAGUCAAAUGUGUCUUAUGAUAAGUGAUUGUUGUAGGUUACACAACAGUAGUAAUUUGAUGUAAGAACAUGGUGUGAUAGACAGAUAUUGUAUGUUCUAGAAACAGGAACACGUGUCUUAUUCAAGUAUAAUGUGUAAAGUAAGCAGAUGGAAUUCAACAAAAUUAGAAGCAAUACAAGCUAGACGUCACACAUAACAUGCAACCACAUAUAACAGUGCCAAGUUAGAGGGAGCACCAGUGAUGCUGCACUAGGGGAGACGUGCUCAUCAUAAACACAGCUUUGUUGAGUGUCUAUGCAUGUGUUGUCUUGGAAAUCAUCUUGGGGGUGUGGAGGAGUAGAAACUGUAGAGGCCCUCCGUUUGGAAGGAGCACCUUUAUCCGCUGCCUUGCUAACUUCCUUCCGCUUUAUUGAUUUUGAAUUGUCAAGUAAAACCGACUAGAAAAAGCAAUCAAAUUCUCUCUUCAGAACUCAUUCAUGCAUGAUACUGACAAUCACUACUUUGAUGUAAGGCAAACACAUGAUACCAGGAUGGAAUAUGUACGAAAAACAUGACAGCAUGGCAUGUUCACAACUGUUUGUGUAAACUAAGCAGAAACCAUUCCAGCAAAUAAGAAGCAAUGCAAGCUGGACACCACAUGAAAGAUGCAACCAAUAUGACUACCAAGUUAAAAGCGUCCCAUCAUAAAUGGAAUUUCAACAAAUUAGAAGCAGUGCAUGCUAUAAAUCAUAUGAAAGAUGCAACUAAUAUCGCACUACAUAUACUAAAGGUGUCUCGUCAUAUUGAUUGAUGCGGGAUACAAAAAAACAAUAGUUUUAUGUAAGGACAUGCUUAAUAGACAGAUGUACUAUGUACUAAAUAUAGGAAGGCAUGUCACAUUAACAGGCAUAAUGUCACAUUUACAGGAGUAUAAGCUAAGCAGACUAGCACAUGCAGUUUAACCAGAUUGGAAGAAUUACAAUCUAGACACCAUAUGCAACAUGCAACCACAUAUCACACUGCCAAGUUAGAGCAAGCACCUACAAUGCUAGUGUAGGGGAAAUCCUGUAAUCAACUACAGAGCUACGUUUACUAUCUUCAUCUAGCAUUUAUGUUUCAUGAGAAUCAUGUCGGGAGGCUGACGAUGCAUUCUUUAAAUGAGGAGUAGUCCCCUUGCCUGCCUGCCUCGUCAUAAGUGACUGAUGAGGGAUACACAAGAAUAUUAGUUUGAUGUAAGAACAUGGUUAAUACACAGAUGUACUAGUAUGUACCAAAAACAGAAAGGCAUGUCAUAUUCAAAGGUAUAAUGUGUAAGCUAAGAAGAUGCAAUUUAACCAAAUUGGAAGCAAUACAAGCUAGACAUCCGGCUGGAGUGGUGAACAUGAUCAUCUAGGACCUGAGAGCCUGGUGGGAGGCGGGAUGCUUCGCCACCAUCGCGGCUUUUUAGUUGGCUUCCAGGUGAUGCCUAUCUUUGCUGGGCUUGUAACUGGCUCGGCCAGUGCCCUGACUAGCUAUUUGUCUUCUGGUGCUCACGGGAUGGUGGUUCAUGUAAAAAAUAUCUUUUCUUAUCUUAAUAAAGACCGACUUCGGCCUUUCGAAUACAAGCUAGACACCAUAUGGAACAUGCAACCACAUAUGACACCGCGAAGUUAAAGCAAGCACCUGGGAUGGUGGUUCAUUGCGAGCGAGGUCAUCAACUCCAGAGCAACGUUUAUCGUCUCCAUCUACUAACACUGCACCCUUUAAAGCGCUAUAACGUGCCGCACCUAGACGCGUCGAAAGCUGGCACGACUUGUCUCUUUUCUUUUUUGCUUCGCUUUCGGCAGACUAUGAAAUACCCUUGCAUAAAAACACAAUAGUGAGAGUAUGGGUGAAGUGUGUGCAGAACUAGUGCACUGUAAAAGUAGCAGAUAGCAGGUGGCUGAAAAAUAAAUGACAGGAGACAUAUGAUAGCUCUACAACAUUGCAUGGCAAACAAAAUUAGAUUCUACUCCGUAUGAUUUUGUAAUAUAUGAGCACAGGAAAUGCAGGUACUCCUCCAGCACAGCACCACAUGUGGUCAUAUCUAAGAUAACAGUUGACUGAAAUUAAAUAGGUCAAUUGAUUUUUUUUAAUGAACCGUCCGAUCUAUAAGGAACGGGCAUAUGGCCUUCGUCUACCUACCGCUAGUCACUGUUGACGAUCUUUCUCGAACCGCCAGCGACCACCGGCCCAGAACCAUGCCUCCGCCGCCCCGCCCUCCCAUCGACCUCACACCACCGCUGUGCUUGGCAGUGCCCCCAAGCCAUCCCUUUAAUCCCGGGCGACCUCCAGAUCGGGCGCUAGUAGCUCUAGGCCGCAGACGCCCCUAAGAUAAACACCAAGGCGCUAUUUCCCCGGUGUAAUAGUCGUACUAGCGCCUGUUACGCCGGGGAAUGCUUCCGUUAAUUGGGAAUCAACUGGCCAGAAAUUGAAAUUCAGGGGGGUGACAGACCUCUAGCUAAGGUGAAAUAGUAUAUGAGGAGAAACCUUGUGCAUCGCGAGUUACUAGGAACAUCUAGUAUCAAGAAGAAGCGGUCAACUAGUGUCUUCUGUGGGAUGAAUACCGUGCAAGCAGAGAUGUAAGAUUUGCAUGAAUAAGGGAAGAGGAGUACCUUCUUCGGUUGCCGGUGUGGUCACCUCGACAUGUCAUCCCGAUCUUCUUGUUUUUACCGGGGAAACCGAUGUUCUGGAGGGUGCAGGCUUCGACGAACCCAUGGCCAAAUUGUUGACUAUGUUGCCGUGGCUGUAUAUCGGCAAAGGGGAAGCAGAUCCGAGGCGGCGAAGGACGGCAUAGCAGGAACAGCUCCGGUGCGGUGGAGGGUGGCGAAGUUGGAGCGGCAGUGGUGAGGCACAGGACGGCGUGGUUGAACUGGCUCGGGUACGGAUGGCUCGGCCUCGGCUUUAACUACUAGCCGUGGAGGGCUUUGCGGUUGAGGUUGCGGUGGACGACGACGUCGGGGUAUCGGCUCCGGCGUGAUGGAGGAGGGCGACGGUUGAUGGGUGGGAUGGGGUGGCGGAUGAAGGACGCCGGGGUUUCGCGGCUGGUGGAGAGGUAGUUUUGGCGCCCACAGAGUACGAAUGGGGAAUCGGACGGGUGGGGGGGAACCAUGUUUCGGUCUGGGACGCGCUUGUUUUUGGCUUUUUUGAACAGAAGAUGGGACGCGCUUGUUUGAAAUUUGGGGAAAGUACAAAUUGUGCCCCCCUCUUAAAUUUCGGACCUACUGUGGGUCGGGGGUAGGAUGGUAAUCCCAGGUGUCCCAAAUAGUGGGCGGGAGCGAUUUCGGCCGCGCGCAUGUGUGCUUAGGCGGCCAUUGUGUAUGAAUGUUUUUCGGAGGCGGUUGUGUGGCGUCUAGAGGAAGCUACAAACCUACCCCGGUUUAGACCUUUGGACAUCGGGCCGGUAGGUUUCACAGGUCGGAGUUAUUAGAAAAGUAAUUUCCUUGUACUACCAAACAUUGGUCUCACGCGGUUUCGGGCGAAUAGAGGCUCUUUUGGCGCUUCGUUUGAAAUAUUGAAACACAAGCAUUCACAUUUAGAGUACUCUUGAACUAUGAGGAUUGACCUAAAUAGACAACGUUAUAUUUGACCUUGUAUGUUUGAAAACCUCAUUAAAUUAUCCGCUUCCUUUUAAAAUUUUGACACUUAAAAAUCCUAUAACUACGAUUAUUUUGGAAUGGAGGAGCUAAAUUUGAAUCUAUUUUGUACACGACUACAUAUGCUAUUAUGUACAAAAUCAGAGCAAAGAUUGGUACCCCCAUAGUUUAGGUAUGGUUUACAAAUGCCAUGAUAUCAAAUUCAAAUAAUUGAAUGGACUUCAUGUUGAAUUCGAUUUUUUUAAACCACCUUAGGUUGAAUUCAAAUGUAUGCUAGUUCAUAGGUAGCUAUUUAUAAAUGUCCAUUGUGUAACUUUUGUAUGUAUAAUGUGCUUUACACACACAACAUGAACUAUACUCACGUUUAUAUUCGAUUGCUAAAGUGAUGCAUUGUCUGGAGUUCAAAAUACUAACUAUGUGGAUCAAUUGUGUCGAAUAAUAACAUAGACAUGCUCAAAUUUGAUAGAAUCUAGAUGUCUGAUGGAUCAAUGACCGCUCUUUACGCGAAUUGCAAAUAUCAUGAUCCCAUCCUAAUAUUUGGAUACAAUAUAUAUCUUUAAGCAAUGUGUAGAGCAGUCUUUUACGUGUAGUUUCACUCUCCAUCGGUGGUCUCUCACACAUGCUCACACACUCUCUCCCGAUGUGUCUUUCUCGCACACAUUCUCUAGAUAUAACCCUCCCUCCCUCUCGUAACCAUUUACAACUGUUUUCACUAACCUUUAUCACAAGCACUCUUCCUCUCGCAAACAUACACACGCACAAUCCUCAUCGACCCUUUCUAUAUACAUGGACCUACCUACGUGUCUCAUGUAUGCACAUUAUCUUUACGCCUAUCUCUCAUGCAUUAUCUCACACCUCUCUUCCUAAUCGAUGAGUAUGAUUCUAGCAGAGCAUUCUGUAGGAUGCCCCUUAAAGUUAGGGUAGAUGAAUAGUAAUAUUAGAGAUAAAGGGGUUACCUUAGUCCAAGAACCUAGGGUUACAAAUCCUAGCCAGCUUUGUCAGUGGACACAGAGUCCUUCAGAAUUCCUCUAUCUUUGUCUUGUACGACUAGUCAUCCAUGGGUCUUCCUAAAUGUGUCAUGGGCCGACCAAUGUGGCGCAGGAUGGAACCGAACGAAGGGCCUCACCUCGACCCACUGGACCUCACGCGGUGACACACCCUCUGCCCCCACGUCUCAUUAUCUUCUCACACCCACGCAUACCAACACAAACACCACACACACAGGAAAUUUCUCAUGGUGCCUCUAUUCCCUCCCCCUUGCAUAUACACACUCAAGGGAAUGGAAUCUCUUGUCGUGACGUCAUAUUCGCAUUUCUCUCUCUAGACCACCCUCAUUUCUCGUGCUNNNNNNNNNNNNNNNNNNNNNNNNNNNNNNNNNNNNNNNNNNNNNNNNNNNNNNNNNNNNNNNNNNNNNNNNNNNNNNNNNNNNNNNNNNNNNNNNNNNNNNNNNNNNNNNNNNNNNNNNNNNNNNNNNNNNNNNNNNNNNNNNNNNNNNNNNNNNNNNNNNNNNNNNNNNNNNNNNNNNNNNNNNNNNNNNNNNNNNNNNNNNNNNNNNNNNNNNNNNNNNNNNNNNNNNNNNNNNNNNNNNNNNNNNNAUACGUAAUACACACAUACAUCUCUAGGCCCCGCCAAAUGCAUCAACUACACAUUCAAACACGUUACAUCACGUACCCCAUUGAUCUAAAAAGCCCUCUCUUCACGUUUAUUUCGCAUACAACAUUCCUUUUGAAUAAAGUGUGGCCAAAAAAAUAUUUUAGAGUUUCUACAUAUAUACAACAUUACAAAGUUAUAUGGAGGAGUACGAAUGCUAAUUUGCAUUGCAUUGUGCCCACAAUGAUAUUUAUUCCGCACUGUGAAUUUGUAUAUUUUUAUACUAUAUACAAAGUUAGUCAUAAUAAAGAGAAAUGAAGAGCACCUCUCUCUCCAUCGCAUACCCCCCUGUACGCCCCUUUCACGUAUGCACACAAAACUAUCUCCAGGUCCUCUAAAUGUAAGCCCCCAGAAAAUUCACGCGUGUUUCAUCUUUCUCUCGCGAUAUAUGCAAUGAUGAUCAUUGUAUUUGAAGCAAAAGCACGAUACAUACAUUGGACUUCAUAAUCCACUCAUUACGGUCACCGUUUAUGUUUAGUGGUUAUUAUACAUUCACGGGCUCAGCGUACAAUUUUGUAUUUGCUCAUGACAUGACUAGUUGACCAGUUGAACGCUCCACAUGGCACCUCUAGUGUUGCAUCACAUUAUCUCACUAACAUCGUGCCCACCUGUCGACUUGUAUCUACUCUACAUCUACACUAUUAUAAAAUACAUAAAAUACACUCUUAUAAAAAACAGAGUUGGUGAUGAUGGUGUGCCUGCCAUCCUGCAAUAUAGGUUGUCCGAUUUAUAUCUGACGGAUAGGAAAGAAACUAUGACAAUUUUGCAAAAAGGUACCCACACACCUCUCCACAUUUGCAAAUAAGGCCUUUUCUCGUUCAUCCUUUUCUCUCACAAGAUAAACAAGUCAUACAAAUGCAUCUCGAUGUUACGUGCAACGCACGGGCAUCUUGCUAGUAAGAAUGAAAACAAACGACAAAAAAAUAUUUUGACGGUGGUGCGAAGUCAUGACCGCGGGCACAGCGGACAAGGUGGCCUUCUAUUGGUAUGCUGAGCAAUCUGUUUUAACACACAGGAGCUGGUGUGGUGAUUAUACACACACACACGCAUGCACACGAACUCCAUCCACGCAACACUCACACAAACACAUGCACCCACGCACGCACGCAACACUCACACGUACACACGCAGCCACGCACGCACGCAACACUCACACGCACACACGCACGCAUGCAUGCACACACCAGUACACCACACGACCAACACACACUCUCACGCUCAAGUGCUCAACCUACACGUGCAUGCGCACACAUCAGGCCGUGACAGACACAUACACAACCAGGUGAUUCCCGUGCACGGGUCGGAGCUUUGUCGCGCCUGCGUAAAUUUGUGUUUAUCUGACCUUUUCCCUAUGUGAACUGACCGUUGGGACCCACAAGGAACAUGGUCAAUUUAACUAGUCAACAUGGCCCCAUGCAGACUAUUUGGCCGGUCAACAGAGUGUAAUCCGAUGCUGAACUGUGAGCAAGUGACCGGAUAAUCACCGCAAAACGUAUAUAGUGACCGUAAUCAGCUUAUUCUGAAGUUCGGUGACCGUAUUACGCUUUUCUCUCUGUAGGCCCUCCAAAACUACAUCUCUACACGUUCUGGCAUGUUACAUCUAAUAACUGUGCAAUACAUCACUACUACUACUACACUGUAACACAAUAAAUCAUAUGUGUUUUUAGUUUUACUAGAUAUCAUAUUGUUCCUUAUAAUUAUUCAGUUUGCAUACAUUAAAAUUGCCUUUGAAAUGUAUGGCCAGUAUCAUCUACUGUGCGGGGAAAAUCCCGCCCUUUCCUGUUUAAUCGGGUUUGUAUCGAUGGAUCGUGCGAAACAGCAAAACUAUAGUACUAUACAGUACAAGUGACAGUUCAUUGGGCCAUCGUGUCAUCCACUCCUCCGUCGUAAGAGUGGAGCGCUUGCUUUCAUAAAUCUUCUAGUCCCUUUCGCCGACAUGUGGGACAUCAAGCUACCGGGUCCACGUGCCAUACCGGAAUACAGUGUAGAGCAGCCAUGGUGAAGCACCCCAGUCAUGACGUCGGCGUAGUAAUGAGCAACUAGGCGUCAAAUCACAAAGCUGCACCUUUCCCGCAGUUAAGUUGGAGGGACGAAGCAACCAUCAUUUCACUCGUUGUUGAAUCCGCUUCUCCCUCAUCUUCUUCAACUUAACCACGUGUUGCUUCUGCCGUUGUUCUGCCUCAUAUGGGACGCGGAUCAGCUUGGUAAAGCACUGACACAUGGGACCGCAUGUUAGCAAACCGCCAGGAUAACGUCCUCCGAAAAUAAGAAACCUCCCCCGCCAUCCGCGUGGCAAAAUCACCUCCUUUUUACUAAUCUUUGAUUCUAUAAUUUUUUAGACCAAUAUAAUUCAGAUUUGUAUAGAUAGCACACAGGAGCAAAACCAAGUGGUACGGUUAAGGGCAUCCACAAUGUGUAGCCAAAUGUGAAAAUAGCUUUUGGCAUCGUGGGAACCAUUGUGGACAGUGUUGCCAAAGCCAAAAAGAUGGAACCGAAGCUCCCUGAUUGAUUGAUUGAAGGAAUUGAAAAAUGCAACGUCUCUCCUCUUUAUCCCAUGCUUGGAUGUAUGUAGGAGUAGUACAGUAUAGAGCACAGAGUCUACUCCCCUGUCCCUUCUGUCACAAAUCACAAAGCAGUGAGGCGUCAAGUCACAAAGCACGGACGAAGCAACUAUCAUUUCACUCUUCGCUGACUCUGCUUCUCCAUUGUCUUCUUCGAGAAACCAUCUCACCACACUAGUACUCCUAGUAGUGGUACUAGUAAAGGACUUCCUGGAUGCAAAUAAGGCGGUUGUCUUGGCUUGCAGGCAGCACUUGCGAACGACUUACCAUGGACUCCCUCAAUGGUGUUCUCCGUCGAACGCACUUCGCCAAACCACAAAAAAAAGUCGUCGACGUCACCGCAAUGGGCAAGGAAUUCAAAUAUAGUUACUACCUCCAUUUUUUGUACACAAGGCCAGUAUAUCAAAAUUACAAUUUGCAAAGGGCCACUAACACUAAUCGAGGCAAAAUUGAUGGGGUUAGCAACCAAGGACAUUAAUAUCCCCUGCAUGCAUGCGGAAGUGAGAAGGUUCGUUUGCAUGGCACUGCAUUAAUCAAGCGAUGAGGAGUGAGAUGGUUAGCUCUUUGGUCUUUCGAGAAAAAAAUACGCAUUAAUUGACACGUGAAACGAGGAUUUGUAUCGAAGGAAAACCCCGCCUUUCUUUUUUAACACUAGUACUCCUAGUACGUACGUACUUAUCCUGUUUGGGUCUAGGCCUUGCAUUGCCAAACUUCGCCACACAUUUUUGCCAAGCUUGCCUAAAGGUUUCAAAAUGAAAAGGAGGUACACUUGUGCACGGCUGUCGCGGUUGCACCGCACCCUCACACGGCCGCUCCUGCACGCCGCGGUCGCAUCGCACCCUCACACAGUCGCUCCUGCAUGCCGCAAACCCAACCAAGGGAACGCACCCUCACUGACAUGUGCUGUCGCAUGUGAACAAACCAAACUCAGCCAUCCUAUCGCUGACACAUAAUUUUCAUUCAUAGAGUAUGUUUAUCUAACCGGAGUAUCCGUACGACCCGUGCGGUGGUCUGUUGGGGAAGAAGAAGAGGUGAGGAAGAAGGAAAGAAGGGUUAGGAGACGUAGGUUAUUCAUCCAACCACCUGAAAUGGUAGACUGACCCAAGUCAGGCGACCUGCAUAACAAAUAGUAUGUUUUUACACAGCAAAAGAUCCAUAAUAAUAAAAACAACAACAUAAAGAAAAACUAUCAAUGCUCGUGGAAAGAGACGGCCUCGUCAUCUUUGGCUGCCGGCGCGAACCAGCCGUCGCUGGCGACGUGUGUCUCCGCACCGUGGUUGUCCUCGGCCUCCAGCUUUUUACUCGUUCAAGCGGAGCAUGCGGGCGCCCUGCACGGAUGAGAGCACAACCCGGUUCAAGUCGAGGACGUCCGGUUCUGCCUGCAGGAGGGCCUCGAUGGCAGCGGCAUCCGCGCGCUCCGCGUCGAGUCGAGCCUCCGCCACCCAGUUCAAGUCUAGGACUUCCGGUUCCGCCUGCAGGAGGGCGUCGAUGAGAGUGGCAUUCGCGUGCUCCGUGUCGAGUUGAGCCUCCGCUGCCCGGUUCAAGUCCAAGACUUCCGGUUCCGCCCGUAGGAGGGCAUCGAUGAGAGCGGCAUCCGUGCGCUCUGCGUCGAGUCAAGCCUCUGCCGCCCGGUUCAUGUCCAGGACGUCCGGUUCCGCCUGCAGGAGGGCCUCGAUGGCAGCGGCAUCCGCGUGCUCCGCCUCAAGUUGAGCCUCCACCCCCCGGUUCACAUCCACGACAUCUGGUUCUGCUUGCAGGAUAGCCUCGAUGGCAGCGGCAUGCGCGCGCUCUGUGUCGAGUUGAGCCUCUGCCUCCCGGUCCUCCUUUAGUAUCGCUAUGUUGAACCACUGGUCCACCUGCACCAUGGGGGACUCGCAUGCCGGCACAAAGUCGACGUCCAUCGUCUCAUACCCAUCGGGGGCCUUCUGCGCCGCAACCUCCGCAGUGAACAUUGGAUCGGCUUCCUCCUCCUCGUAGCUUGGCUCCAGAGAACUCGGGGAUUCGCCCGCUGCAAAGCGAGCUUGGGAACGGACGUCUCUGGCGCUGACCGCCGCUGCGAUUUCUGUGCGGCGCUCCGGCGUCAGCAUCUUGUAGUAAGUGAUCUUGUGGCACCAUGGCUUUCCGGCGAACUAGGGGACGCUUGAUGCGGGCUAGGGGAUCGAAAGGUGGGGGAAUCUGCUGGAGAUUUGGUGUGGUUUUAGGGCAGUGGCUGGCGUAGGCCGAGCAUCAAAGGUUCUGGUGUGAAUAGUGGUUUUGGUGACGACCAGUCAAUCAGUUUUGAUUGUACAUCGCUCUUGUCGUGUUCGCGUUGCAGCCCGACAUGCUGGACCCUCCACGUCGCUCAUGUAAUGGAAUGCGCUUCGUCUUGCGUUUUCGCUCGCUUGUGGGACCGCAGUUGAGAGCAAACCGACAUCCCUCCCCCUCCCCCGCGUCAUUUAUUAUACCACCACUCCAUCCGUUUUAUGUGGAGUAAAUAAAAAUAGAGGGAGUAUACUACGGAUGAGGAUCCCCUGAUGUGGCCGAACCCAUUGAGUAACUAACAUGCGGGGCCUAGCAAGCAUGGGGUCUGCCAGUAAGUGACCGAAAGGGAGGGUAAGGCAGGGAUACCUAUGCCAUAGGAUCCACUUCCACUAUACUACUUUGACCAAAUGUUAGAGUAAUAAUAUAUGACAUGCAACUUACACAAAUGUUAGAGUAAUAAUAUAUGACAUGCAACUUACACAAAGCAUACAGGGUCUAAUGCGUUUUUUGAGGCUAACUUUGACCAAAUGUUAGAGUAAUAAUAUAUGACAUGCAACUUACACAAAGCAUAUGGUCAAUUUCGUAUGUGAAAGGAGUUUCCAAUGAUAUAAUUUUCACAUUAUACAUCUCAUGUACUCCCUCCGUCUAGGUGUGUAAGUCAUCUUACAAAAACCAAAUAAUCCCAAAACACAUAGCCGCGGUGCAUUAACUUCUACCUCGUUUCUUGUUUCUUGACAUAUGAACCAAUAAGAGAUGAGGGUGUGCAUGCUUUUAAUGAUCUGAGACUAUCAAACAUGACAUGCAGUGGUUAGUUCAUUGCAUGCAAUACUAUUAAUUAGCAAAUAAACAUUAAUGUCUCUCGUUUUCCCCUCCUCCUUGGUCACGGUGCACAGCCUAAGAUGACUUACUCACCUAUGUGAAAGGAGUACUAUUAAUCUUGUCAAUAGUCAAAUUGGAAACCAUCUCGAGUACAAAUCUAGGAGUACAUACGAAUCUAACAAUAUUGAUUGGGCGUUGUUGAAUGUUGAUACCUUUUUUACCAUAGUAGAGAUACUUUGACUACACAUAAAACUUAUAUGUAAAGUAGAAAGGAUAGGGGGGAGUAUAUUGUAUGUUCAAAAAUGAAACGAACAUUGAAUACCAUUUAUAUAUGAUUUGCGGAUGCUAUGAUCACCGGUUCAAAAUUUUGAAUCCGCCUUAGGUAUCACGUGCCCCCACUCGUUCCCUCUCGAUUUCAUCUCGGGGUCCGGUGAUCUAUUGAAAGAGGACUAGGGUGGGUACAUGCGAAUGAUACUCGACGGAAUGUUCAAAUGAGGCAUGCGAGAGGAUGGACUCGACUGGAGGGCGACAUGAUCGAUGGAGAAGAGGGUUGGAGAGGAAUGAGAAAUAAGCAAACACCACAUGAUUACACUUGAACGGCUCAAAUAAACAAUAAGUUGUCUCGCUUGGCCUACAUAGUGAAAGGCCUAAUGCGCAACGCGGAGCACUGACGCUCGAAUAUGCCCGGGAAAACAGGGAAACCGACAUGUGGGGCACACCCGUCGGGACGACGUAGCGCAGACUAGUCCAAUGGAGGAGCUGGCCCACGACCUCCUCGCCACCGACAACCGUUCAUGUGGGUCGCUGGGGCCAACAACGGGGCACAGCUCCAGCACCGCCUCUAGACACGGUGACCAUGGUGAGCGACACACUCAUAUCAUUGAUAGACACGGUCGAUUUCAGUGUGCCGAGGGUGGCGUUUGUGCUGUGGCACGACCAACGAUAUGUUUGGUUUGUGCCCAAGGUUGCCCCAUCAAAGCAUUGGGUAGCCAAAAUUUUGGCUGAGGUAUUGGUUGCCCAUGAUUUGGCCGACAUUGGCAAGAAAAAUGAACUAGAGUUGGCUAGAGUUCAUUGGCAUGCCAAAGAAAUGGCAACCAUCCAAACAAAGACCAAUCUUUGGGUCAUGACCAAAAUUUUGGUAAGGUGCACUUUGGCCACAAUCCAAACACACCCUAACACCCGGCUCGUCGAGGAUGCACGGGAUGCCGCGACGCGUCUGCGGAGUGGUGUAGCGCGGCCAACUGCAUCCUCUGGACCUGAGACCAUGCCGGGUCGUCUUGCUUUUUCAAUGACAUGCGGGGAUCGCAUUUGAGCAAAGGGCAUCUCCAACGUUGCCACGAGCGCAGCUGACUACCCCAGCACACCAAAGCCCUCGUCCCUCGCACCAUUGCACGGUGCGUUCUCAGCCGGUGCCAGCUGCCCGCAUUCAUGCCGUCCGUUCGUAUGUCGUCGUUAAGAGGCUCGGUGCUUGAGGAACCAACUCCGGCGACUUAAUGACGCACCCGGACGCUUGGCCUCACUGGAAUGCGCUACUUAAAGCGGCAACGCCCAGCUAACCUCCACACCAUAGCGCAUCGUCCUCCUACCUGGCACCACAUCCUCCAUGACCGCAAGUGCGAACGCUCUGCGGGAGAGCUUGUCUUCGGGGAUGAAGCUUGAGGUCGCCGCCGUCGCUCAAGUCGCCUCUCGCGAUGCAAUAGCGGCGUAGCCAGACGCGAACGCGACCACACAAGCGGUGGCCAUGCUGGAGGCCGACGACGGGAGCACCGUCAGCCACGCGUCCUACUUGCCGCCGUCCAACGUCCGGCAGUGCCGAGGUCGGGGACUCCUCCGAGGAUGAGUAGGGCAUGGGAGGCGGCAAGGCAUGGUGUGCCAACUGGCCGGUCCGUAUCCCGUGUUCUACUCUUCCUUGCCGGAGACCGCACCUUCACUUCACGGGUCUUGAACCCCACCCCCGUACAUAGAGAUCGCAGAUGGAGGACGUCGGUCACCGCCGUAGAAUAGGUUUAGGGUCAGGUUUCUUUUAUUUUUCUGUCUUAUAAAAGUUUGAAAUGUAAUGAAAAUCUGCCGUGUUUGCAUUAAUCUCGGCCGGUGUAUAUGAACUUUCACAAUAAUAUACAUAUUGUAGGAGUACUAGCGAGAUGCCCGUGCGUUGAACGGAAGAUCAAGAUCUUGUGGGAGAAAAGGAUGAACGAGGGAAAGCCUUAUCUACAAAUGUGGAGAGGAGUGUGGGUAAAUUGUCAUAGUUUCCUUCCUAUCCGUUAGAUAUAGAUCGAACGGCCUAUAUUGCAGGAUGACAGGCACACCAUCAUCACCAAAUCUGCUUUUUAUUUGAACCGAGACAAGUCUAAAAAACCCAACUAAGAUAACCUCCUAGCAUAUCGCGCGGGAAAAGACCCGGCUGCGCCGUUUAGUCAGGAUUACCGGAUUACUAGUAGUAGCACCGAUGGAUCGCGCGAAGCAACAUUUUUUUGAUGGGGCGAAGCACCUAGUUUAAAAGGAAAAAAGGCGGUACACCCACAACACUCCUGUCGCGGUCGCAUUGCACCCCACACACGUUCGGUCCUGCACACGGCUCACGCAAACGGAACGCGCUUCGGCUUGCCUCUUCACAGACAUGUGGGACUGCACUUGGAGAAACCGACCAUGCGCCAAACUCCCCCCCGCCCNNNNNNNNNNNNNNNNNNNNNNNNNNNNNNNNNNNNNNNNNNNNNNNNNNNNNNNNNNNNNNNNNNNNNNNNNNNNNNNNNNNNNNNNNNNNNNNNNNNNNNNNNNNNNNNNNNNNNNNNNNNNNNNNNNNNNNNNNNNNNNNNNNNNNNNNNNNNNNNNNNNNNNNNNNNNNNNNNNNNNNNNNNNNNNNNNNNNNNNNNNNNNNNNNNNNNNNNNNNNNNNNNNNNNNNNNNNNNNNNNNNNNNNNNNNNNNNNNNNNNNNNNNNNNNNNNNNNNNNNNNNNNNNNNNNNNNNNNNNNNNNNNNNNNNNNNNNNNNNNNNNNNNNNNNNNNNNNNNNNNNNNNNNNNNNNNNNNNNNNNNNNNNNNNNNNNNNNNNNNNNNNNNNNNNNNNNNNNGGCCAAAUAUUCCCCAAAGCCCCCUCGCCCCGUCCCCCCUCCACUCCAUUCACUCCGCCAAAGCCGCCUUCCCCGCCGCGCCGAUAUGUCAACGCCGCGGUUCAUCAAGGGGACGCACGGCGAUCCUCUCGCUCCCAUAGUACGCUCUCGUAGACUGCCGUCCUCUAGCCGCGCCGCCACCUCUCGCUACGUUCUUGUGGAGGCGCACUGCAGUCAGCGCCGCCACCACUGGCGAUGUUCGUGUGGAGACACACGGCGGUCAGCUUCUCCCACGGUAUGCGCAUUCUAGACUGAGGCCCCGUUCAUGCCGGUGUAGCGUUGAAUGUUAGCUGAUACACGCUGUUAAUCUCACUGUUUGCCGAAGUAGUUUACUGUCAAUAUGCUCUGCUUAAGAAGCUUCCUAGCCCUGUUCUGCACUCAAUCUGCUUAUCUGAGAUGGCAUGCCUAGGCCGAUUAGUUGCUAAAAUAUCCUGCCAUAUAUUUAUUAUGACGUAGAUUGCCAUGGUCUAGUAGCCAAUCGGUUAGGUGAAAUAGCUCUACAGCGUUUUAUACUCGAUCUUUGUUGCUGCGAUGGCCUUCGAUAGUUUGAUGGAUGUGUGCUCGGCCUCAUUGACUGCUGAAACGGCCUGCCAUAAUUUAGCAUUCAAAUCUGUUUGCUGAAUUAGCUUUACAUAUAUUUCGUUACUUAGAUCUGCUCGUCCAAAUAUCUUGCCAUAGCUUUAGACAUCAACCUAGGUAUUUUUUUCUGGACUUCAUAAAAAAGCAUAUAUGUUUUCCUGUAAUAUCUAGUAGAAGAACUAAUUUGUAUGUCUAACAGAUGGACAGGACUUGGAUAACUUCUGCUCAAAGAUUCUCUGCUGCAUAUGUCGAGGGGGUUGAGCACUUCAUGAACUUUAUCAGAGCUGAGUACGGUGGUCCCAAAUCAGAUGUGCUUUGCCCGUGUAGCAGUUGUAUGAAUUCAGUUACAAGACCCCAGUCAACUGUGCAAAAUCAUCUACACUUGUAUGGGAUGUCGGUCACAUAUACUAGGUGGGUUCAUCAUGGUGAAGUUGUGAACGUCAAUGUUAUUGACUACGUGGAAGCAACAGAUCACCAUCUUGAUCUGCCUGAUGCUCAGGUGGAAGAGGAGGAGGACGUGGUGGUGGCGGAGCCAGUGAGUUUGACCAACAUUGAAACAAUGCUAAGAAAUGCUCAUGCAUUCCGUGAACUUUCACAUGCAGAAGAAAAACGGGGGGCUUGCAUGUUGGAACAAUGCAACGUUGCUCUCACCCCAGGAAAUAAGCUGUAAGUAUUCUCAGCUAUGGUCACCUUUCUUCAGGUGAAGACAUCUGAGCGGAUGACCAACAAAUCAUUCGAUGCAAUGUUGGCUGCUUUCUGCAAAUCUUUCUCAGAUGUGUCUGAGCUGCCACACACCUACAGUAAAAUGAAGAAUUUCCUUCGUGCAGUUGGAAUUGGAUAUGAUAUGAUCCAUGUUUGUAAGAAUAAUUGUGUUCUGUUCCGGAAGGAUUAUGCCAACUUAAGUGAAUGCCCGAAAUGCAAAUCAUCAAGAUGGAAAGAUGGCGAUCCUGUGAAGAGGGUUCCUCAUAAUGUUCUGAGACAUUUUCCAAUUACACCAAGAUUGCAGAGGUUGUUUCAUGAUGAUGAAACAGGAGAGGAUGUACUGUGGCAUUCUAGGAACCAGGAGUAUAGAGAUCAGAAUGUAAUGAGCCAUCCAUCUCAUGGUAGUGAGUGGAAAAGCUUCAAUGAUAAACACAAAGAGUUUGCUGCUGACCCGAGAAACAUUAGACUUGGCUUAGCUUCAGAUGGAUUUAACCCAUUUGGCCACCAGAGCGCCACAUAUAGCAUGUGGCCAGUGCUUGUUAUCCCUUACAACAUGCCUCCAAAUGUCUGCACCAAAGAAUCAAACUACAUGAUGGCCUUGCUCAUCCCAGGUCCAAAAAUUCCUAGAAAGGAUUAUGAUUUGUUCAUGGAGCCUCUUGUGGAGGAACUUCAACAGCUAUGGAAGGGUGUUCUCACUCGAGACCUAUAUAGCAGCCCACCAGCUGAUUUCUUUCUGCGUGCUGUUGUAAUUUGGUGCAUCCAUGAUUAUCCGGCUUUGGGCACUAUGCCAGGGUGAAUGACACAUGGUUACAAUGCAUGUGUUCGCUGUGACAGGAAUCCUCUAUCAUACACAAUACUUAGCAAGAUAUGUUACAUUGGACACUGCCAUUUCCUUGCCAAGGACAAGCCGCAUCCUAGAAAAUACCGAAUACAUGUGUUCAAUGCAAAGCAUGAAAACCGUGAUGCGCCAAAGAGGCUCGCCGCUGAUGAGUUGCAAGUGGAAUUAGAGAAGGUCAGGCAUAUUACACCAGGAAACCAUCAUGGUAAUGGUAGCGGGAAAAGGAAGCAUGGCACGGUAGAAGAGAGAUUAUUGUUUACCCGCAGGUCCACUUUGUGGGACUUGGAGUAUUGGAAAGAUUUGGAUUUGUGGCGUAAUCUUGAUGUGAUGCACAUCGAGAAAAAUAUAUGUGACAGCAUUAUCGGCACACUUCUUAACAUUGAAGGCAAGACGAAAGAUACCUUAAAAUCUAUGAUUGAUUUGACACACCUGAGUAUUAGAAAGGAUUUGCAGGUGCAAGAUGAAGGUAAACCACGGGAUAUGGCACCAGUUGUGUACGUCUUGGACAAGGUAAAAAGAAAAGAAUUCUGCGAGGUCCUAUCACGUGUGAGAUUCCCACAUGGAUUUGCUUCCAACCCUGAAAGGAGAGUCAGUGCAGAUGGAAACAAGGUACAAGGGUUGAAACCUCAUGACUGCCACGUCCUACUUCAAAGGGUUUUACCUGUUAUCCUUAGAGGAUUGGGCCGCCCUGACUUAUACAGAGCAAUUGCAGAGUUGGGACAAUUCUUCCGGGAACUCUGUAGUAGAAAUAUCAGGAUAGAUGCUUUGGAGCGUCUUAGAGACAAGAUACCAACUAUCAUAUGCGACCUUGAGAAGAUAUAUCCUCUAGCCUUCUUUGAUGCGAUGGUGCAUUUGGUUGUUCAUCUACCUGAUGAGGCACUACUUAGAGGUCCAGUACAGUAUGGCUGGAUGUACCCUAUUGAAAGGCGGCUAGGCACUUUCAAGUGCUAUGUUAGGAACAGAGCUAGACCCAAGGGUUCCAUUGCAGAGGCCUACAUUGCUACAGAAGCGUUGACAUUCUUCUCAAAAUACAUUGAAACAGCUGAUCAGCUUAGCAAAGAGGUGGGUGAAGACAAUCCCGGGCUCAAUGUUUUCGAUUAUUCUAUUCGAGUUAUAGGGAAGAGUCGACAAGAGGACAAACCUAAAGAUUUCGACAAAAUGGUUUGGUAUGCGUUGAAUAACUGUCCUGGGUACUACCUUAUAUCAAGUAAGUGCAGUACUGCAGCUUAUACAUCGUAAUCUGCUAAACUUGUAACACAUUCUUAUGUAUUUAGAUGUUUGACGCGAUCACUAUGUUGUGCAGCAUCUACAAAGAGGAGUUACUGCCGCAAAAUCCAAGAAACAUUGACAAACUGGUUAUGGCAGGAUUUGCGAAAUGGUUCAAGAACAAUGUAAGCUUUUGAAGUGCACUGUCAAUUUUUUUAAUAUAUUGAGUACGUAAGAUGAUCAACUUGUCUAUUUUCUAACCAUAGGUUAAGAAGAUGCGGGAGGAUAGGCAGGCAGUUGAUGAUGCCCUUUACUCACUAGCAAUGGGUCUUGAUACUUGGGUAAGAAAUUAUGAAUCUUGCGUUGUUGGAGAUGUGCGCUACAACACCCUUGCAUGAGAUGAAGGCAGGAAGACAGAAAACAGUGCCAUCAUGAGCACGAAUACGUAUGACAAAGAGACAACUGAAAUGUAUGCUAACAUAACAGACAUUGUUCAGUUGCAGUAUAUCUCCAGUUUCGAGGAUCAUCGGUGUGUGGUUCUGUUGUGCUGUCGUUGGUAUAACCUGUUUUCCAGGAUCGCAAAACCUAGAGCUGAUGAUUAUUUCAAAUCCAUCAAUGUCAAGGCAGCGUACCAGACCAACGAGCCUUUUAUUUUGGCAAAUCAAGCAACACAGAUAUUUUUCUUGGAAGACACAUUUGCACGUAGUGAUGACUGGAGAGUAUUGCAAAGGUUUGAGCAGAGGAAUUCGUUUAAUGAAGUUGCACAACAAGAUGAUGCUUACACUGCUCCUGAUGUACAAGAUAACACAGAUGUUCCUAAUAUCUUUGAGAACCAUCACGUCAAUGACGCCGGCUAAAAGAUUGCCUGUCGUGAUGUGGACAUACAAGAGUUGAUCAAGAAGAAGCCAACGUUCGAGGACGUUGAGGACGAAGAAGAAGAUGACACCGUGGGAAAUUACGAUUCAGACUGAUACACAUGGCGAAGAUGUUGACGCUGCUGCUGCGGAUGAUGAUUACAUUGCUUUUGUGGUAUUUGCCUGUCAGAAGAUGUUUUUUAUCUACUAUGUGAAAUUGUGUUUGCUAUGACAACUGAAACUUGAUGAACAUGUUGUUUAGUAUUUUGCUGUGAGGAACAUCACUUGUUAUGUAUGCUGAUUUGUGUUUGGUGAUUGUAUGACAACUAAAACAUGAUGACAUUGUUGUUUAGUUGUACUCAUAUUUGGCUGUGAAACUUGAAUUUGAUGACAUAGUUUGCUGUUGGACUGCAAUUUGCUCGACGUCUUUGAAUGAGAACAAAGAUGACCCGACAGGGCCUCUGCUAUCUAUUUAUUUAUAUGAGCAAAAGGGGAUACCCCCUUAUUUCCGUUAAUAGAAAUCAUUAGAUGUUCACAACACUAUGCCUAGCCUGCUACACAUGUUUCAUUCAUUACUAGUUUCAGCAAAGUGCUCAUGUCGUAGCCACUGAAUACAUCACGAGUGCUACAUACACUGCAAAUAAAGAGACAAUCAUCCUACAGAGCACAUCGAUUUUGGCAAUUAUCUUCACAAGCUCUUUCAUCUCCUUAUUGCUGUCAAGGCCGUUCAGCAGCUGUUGCUUGGCCAUGAUCAGAGGAACUGCAUCUUUAACCUUCUGCUUUGCAUCUUCCUCUUCUGUCGUUCCUUCAGUUACUUGUCCAACACCCCAACCUGCUGGUAUUGGGAUUCCUCGGCUAACCAAAUAAUCAGCAUAGUUGCAUUACCCCACACCAGCAACUUCCCAGAAAUACAAAUCACACGAAUCUUCCCUUUUCUGCACGAAUCAAAUUGGAAGAUCAUCAACCAAACUAUUAAAAAAAUCAGAAACUAAAAGCAGCAGAACAACACUUAAACAUAUUAUUACCCCAUGAUUCGGGCAUUCGUAGAAGACUCGGCCAGGGUUGCGGAUUGUGGUUGAGACGCGACGGAUGACUCUACGUGAUUUGCAGCAGUGGCACCACACCAACGGCAGCGGGUUGCGAUGAGUAAUCAGCUGCGGUGCGCGUGCCGGCGGGGGUGUGAUGAGACCCACAGGCGAUGGUAUGGGUGGUGACUUGGCGCAUAUCUGGUUGUUGCCUGCUAAGAGCAGGUGGACGAGUAGCCAGCAGACAUGGUUGCUGCGGCCAGAGCUUCUGAUGCUAGGCAGAGUAAGUAGAGAAGAGGAUAAGCGAACGUUGGAUAUGUCAGUUUCAUUACUUGUAGAGUAGCAUAGCACCAUAUAUGGUAAUAGUCUAGGUUUGGAUUCGAACCAGCCACAGGAGCACGUCUUUCUUUUUUCUAAAACUCGGCAAUGUCUCUUUACUGGUACACUAGCUUGUUAUGUACGCCUUCCCAAGUCUUUGAUUUUCUUUCCCUUUUUUGCGAGGAAGGAAGCGGGACAAAAUUGAGAGUUCCUUGGACUCGAACCCAAGACAUCUCGGUUGAAAACCAAGGGUGCUAGUCACUUAUGUGGAGAACAUUCCCUGUGAGGAGGAUGGCAGACGAACGCAUUUUCCUCGCAGUUUUCUUCCUAUAUAUAAAAAAGUAUGAUAGUUGGUGUCCGCUUAGUCAAAAAACGAUUGUGCCAACCUUGACCGUUUGAUUGACAUUCAACGUCUGUCGCGUUUCUUCAGUCUCUUCUUCCUCGAGCCGCCAAAGCCAAACCAGCGCCGGCGGGACCGCCUGCUCCCGCCUCCCACGGCUGGCUGAGAUCUUCCCCGGCUCCUGUUCGUUCCCGUCCGAGGCCUCACCAUCGUCCUCCAUGCUCGCCGCGGCGCCGCCCUCUGGUGUUGUCAACAUGGUCAACAACCGAGAGGAAUAAGGAGAUGACUGUACAUGGUGAGGAUGACAGUAGGGACCCAGCAGCGCGCUCAGUAAUUUUGUUUUUUCGGGACGGAGAAGGGUAUCAAGUGGGUUGUGCGGGACCCGUGGCCCGUCUAGCCCAGGCUUUUAUUUCAUAUGUUUAGCACCUGACCAGCCCAGUUUGUUUUUUUCCUUUCUGAAAAAUGGCUAGCCGGCUAUUUUCUUUUUUGCAGAAUAACCAAUAGAGGCCUACUUGCUUUUCUACGCCCUGCUUGGCCGGAAAUCUUUCAAGACGAGGAGGGAUGCAUUUUUCCCAGAAAAUGGGCUAUAAGUAAUAAGAAAUGUGCUAUAAGUAAUAAUAAAUGGGCUAUAAAAUGAAAAAAAUACAGCAAACAGGCAAUUAGUUCCCAAAUAUUGUUUUCUUUCGGAUUUUGAUAUUUUAAAUUUCAUUGUUUCUGUGCAGGUAAAAUUUCAUUGAAUUUAAAUUAAGGUAUAUUUAGAUUUAAAAUUAAUUUGAAUCUGGCUAGAAAUUUCGGGUUGUAUGCUGGUUGGGACAGAUUUGGAGGCUGACUUGUGGGUCUACUACGUUGACGUGUACUUUGGCUUUGUCAACUUAGUCCACAAACAAUUCUAGCAGUAGUGACCGUUGGAUGUUAAUGCAACGGCCGUGUUGCUUCUUCAAUAUCUGAUCUUCUUGAUCCAGCUGCCCAAACCAGCUCCGGUGGGACUGCCUGCUCCCGCCUCCCGUGGCCGGCUGUGCUGCCGCACAGGCCGCACCGCCCCACCCUACUUCAUUGCUGGCCAGGCCAUUCCUCUACUCACCCACACCUCCUGUUAUUUUCCAGCGACGACAGCCGGACCAGUAAACCAUCGUACUCCCCACCGCGUCGGCAACCAUUGCCGAGUAUUCCCCGGCUCCAUGUUGUUCCCUUCCUAGGCCUCGCCGUCGUCCAUCGCCAUGGUGCUCUCGGCGCGGCCUGGUCAACAUGGUCAACGAACGACAUCCAUCGGCCGUGGACUGUACACGCAAAAUAAUGAUUCCUCCACCUGACAGCUGGGACCCACUUGAAGGGCCUCUGUAUUUCGCGAAAAAAUGUUCCCCCCGCUGACAUGUCGGACCCACCAGCUAUAUCUUCGCACGCAAGGAAGUGCCUCCUUAUUACGCACAAAACAAUGAAUACCCACCCUUCUAGAUGGGACCCACCAUAGUGGGAGAAUGACUUGUGGGCCAACUAAGUUGACGGGGACGGAGGCCUUUGUCAACUUAGUCAAUAGGAACGAUUCUAGCUCCAAUGACCAUACGAUGUCCAUCCAACGGCCAUAGUGCUUCUUCAACCUCCGGUCUUCUUGCUCCAGCCGCCCAAAGCAGUGUCGGUCGUGCCGCGUGCUCCGGCCUCUCGUGGCCGGUUGUGAUGCCGUGGAGGCCUCACCGCCCCCUAUUACUCCCACCGCUAGCCCAGGGUAUCCCUCUACUCACCCACACCCCCUGUUAUUCUGCGGCGACGGCAGCCUCACGCCGCAGCCGAACCAGUGAACCCUCGUACUCCUCUCCGCGCGGGAUACCACUGCUGCGUCUUCCCCGGCUCCGCCUCAUCCCCUUCCUAGGCUUCGCCGUCGUCCAAACCACUGCCCUGGUGCUCUUGGUGUGGCGUGGUCAACGUGGUCAACGACCGACUACCAUCAAAAGAGUAUUGUACGUGGAGAGGCUGACAGCUGGGUCCAGGCGGCCGCAAGGAAGUCCCUCCUUAUUACGCGCAAAAUAAUUAUUCCUCCACCUGACAGCAGGGACCCACCAGACGGGCCACCUUAUUUCGCGAAAAAAACGUUUCCCCCUGACUACUGGGAUCCACCGGACGGGCCAGCGUAUUUCGUGAAAAAAACGUUCCCCGCGCUGUCAGCUCGGACCCACCAGAAGUGCCUCCUUAUUAUGCACAAAAAAAUGAAUACUCCCCUUGCUAGCUGGGACCCACCAUGGUGGGAGGCUGACUUGUGGGCCUACUAAGUUGACUGGGACGGGGGCCUUUGUCAACUUUAGUCAAUAUGAACGAUUCUAGCUCCAGUGACCGUACGAUGUCCAUCCAACGGCCGUAGUGCUUCUUCAACCUAUGGACUUCUUGCUCCAGCUGCCCAAAGCAGCACCGGUCGUGCCGCAUGCUCCUGCCUCCCGUGGCCGGCUGUGCUGCCGCGAAGACCUCACCGCUCCCUACUAUUCCCACCACUGGCCAGGCCCUGCGGCGACGGCAGCCUCACACCGGAGCCGAACCAGUGCACCCUCGUAAUCCUCUCCGCGCAGGCUUCCACUGCCGCGUCUUCCCCGGCUCCCCGUCGUCCCCUUCCUAGGCCUCGCCGUCGUCCACCGCCCUGGUGCUCUCAGUGCGGCGUGGUCAACGUGGUCAAGGAACGACUUCCAUUGGAUGUGGACUGUACAUGGAGAGGCUGACAGGUGGGUCCACGGCCGCAGCAAGGAAGUGCCUCCUUACUAUGCGGAAAAUAAUGAUUCCUCCACCUGACAGCUGGGACCCACCGGACGGGCCACUGUAUUUCGCGAAAAAAACGUUUCCCCCUGACUGCUGGGACCCACCAACUACAUCUCCGCACGCAAGGAAGUGCGUCCGGGCAAAAAAAAACAAUUCGCCCCCCUGACCGCUGGGACCCACCAGCGACACCUUCGCAUGCAAGGAAGUGCGUCCGGGCAAAAAAAAAACGAUUCGCUCCCCUGACUGCUGGGACCCACCAGCUACAUCUUCGCACGCAAGGAAGUGCGUCCAUGAAAAAAAAUGAUUCGCCCCCUGGCUGCUGGAACCCACCAGCUACAUCUUCGCAGGCAAGGAAGUGCCUGACAGUCGGGACCCACCUGGUGGAAGCGUACGUAGCAUUGUCAUUCUGGUCGCGAACGUGUACAUACAUACUGGUCGUUGUAGAGGCGCGCACGUGUUGUAGUAGAGGCGCGCACGUAGCAUGUACACGUACGUACAGCGGCCAGGGUGCAAGAAAGAAAAUACGGCCACGUAUGUGUACAUACGGGCGGGGUCUCGAACGCCUACUUGCGCAUACGUACAUGGCUGGGUCAGAACGGAGAAACAGCGUCGUCGUCGUGUUCAUGGGGAGGCAACGGAAUGCGUCGUGUUCAUGGGGAGGCAACAGAAUGCGUCGUGUUCAUCGGGAGGCAACGGAACGCGUGGGAGCCAACCGGCUGGGUCGGAACGGAAUGCGUGAUCAUGUUCAUCGGGAGGGCUUGGACGGAACAGGCGAUGGAAAUGAGGCCUGGCGUAAUGCACAACGGAGGAAAUGGACCUCCUACGUUCGGAACGGGGUCCUGUUGAUCGAGAGGGGUGUGGUGUACCGCAAAACGGAGGAAACGGACCUCGUACGGUCUAAACGGGGGUCCUGUUGAUCAAGAGGGGUGUGGCAUACUGCAAAACGGACGAAACGGACCUCCUACGGUCAAAACGGGGGUCCUGUUGAUCGGGAGGGGUGUGCGUACCGCAAAACGGAGGAAACGGACCUCCUACGGUCGAAAUGNNNNNNNNNNNNNNNNNNNNNNNNNNNNNNNNNNNNNNNNNNNNNNNNNNNNNNNNNNNNNNNNNNNNNNNNNNNNNNNNNNNNNNNNNNNNNNNNNNNNNNNNNNNNNNNNNNNNNNNNNNNNNNNNNNNNNNNNNNNNNNNNNNNNNNNNNNNNNNNNNNNNNNNNNNNNNNNNNNNNNNNNNNNNNNNNNNNNNNNNNNNNNNNNNNNNNNNNNNNNNNNNNNNNNNNNNNNNNNNNNNNNNNNNNNNNNNNNNNNNNNNNNNNNNNNNNNNNNNNNNNNNNNNNNNNNNNNNNNNNNNNNNNNNNNNNNNNNNNNNNNNNNNNNNNNNNNNNNNNNNNNNNNNNNNNNNNNNNNNNNNNNNNNNNNNNNNNNNNNNNNNNNNNNNNNNNNNNNNNNNNNNNNNNNNNNNNNNNNNNNNNNNNNNNNNNNNNNNNNNNNNNNNNNNNNNNNNNNNNNNNNNNNNNNNNNNNNNNNNNNNNNNNNNNNNNNNNNNNNNNNNNNNNNNNNNNNNNNNNNNNNNNNNNNNNNNNNNNNNNNNNNNNNNNNNNNNNNNNNNNNNNNNNNNNNNNNNNNNNNNNNNNNNNNNNNNNNNNNNNNNNNNNNNNNNNNNNNNNNNNNNNNNNNNNNNNNNNNNNNNNNNNNNNNNNNNNNNNNNNNNNNNNNNNNNNNNNNNNNNNNNNNNNNNNNNNNNNNNNNNNNNNNNNNNNNNNNNNNNNNNNNNNNNNNNNNNNNNNNNNNNNNNNNNNNNNNNNNNNNNNNNNNNNNNNNNNNNNNNNNNNNNNNNNNNNNNNNNNNNNNNNNNNNNAGCAGUAGCGAAGGAAUCACUCCAUCGGGUUCAGUUAACAGCCAUCGAUCGCUCGGGUUCAGUAACGCGUAGCCUGCAGUGCAAUCGCUCGGGUUCAGUUAGAGCCCAACGCCUCGCUCGGGUUCAGUUAGAGCCAACGCCUUGCACACAUGCGCGUACCUGUACGAGAGAAACGUGCAUCGCUCUCCCACCAUAACCGGCAACUCCCCGAAAUUUUCCUCCCCCUCGCUUCUACCAUGCUUUUUUCCGUCAUAGACGGCCCAAAGAAUGUCAUGCAGCUGCGUCUCCGGCCCGCCCAGGACAAAAGCCCAUUUUCUGUCAUGAUUUUUUGUCAUAGAAGUAGGAGCCCACCACAUCUAUGAUGAUACCGGGUUUUGUCACAAUUAUCGUCAUAGAAGUGCCAUAUGUAUGACAGAAAAAAAUUUGUUCGGCCCAAAAUGUCAUGGAUGUGUCUUUUUUUGUAGUGGUAUGUGUGAAUUAAUGGUGGUUGUGAGAUAUUUGAUGAUAUAUAUAUAUAUAUAUAUGACCGGUUCUACUAGAAAUUCUAUUUAUGUAUAUGCAUAACGUUUACAAUAUGUAGUAUCGUAAAAUACCAGCAAACGAAAAAGAAUUAGAUGGAAAACACAAAAUUAAAUGAAAAAGAAAUCGUAAACCCAAAACCCCCGAACCUUUUAAUACCGGUUGGUGUCACCAACCGGUACUAAAGGGCUCCCUGCCCCCGGAGCUGGGUCGUGCCACGUGGUAGCCCUUUAGCACCGGUUCGUGUGGAACCGGUACUAAAGGUGGGGGACCUUUAGUCCCCACACUUUAGUGCCGGUUACCGAACCGGCACUAAAGGGCCUUACGAACCGGUGUUAUAGCCCGGUUUUGCACUAGUGUAUGCUGGCAAUAUAACACAGUAGAGUAAUGAAUAGAUAAAUGCUAUCACUACAUGCAUAUAUGGCUGGUGGAGGCUAUUUGGUUAUAUGGUUUUUGCGAAAAGCCAAUUUUUCCCUACAACAAAGGAAUAAAUUUUAUUUUAACUAUCAUGGUAGUUGAAACAUCAUUGAGAAGGUACCUCCAACUCAAUCCCAAUUAAAAGUAAUUAUCAACCCAACAAAUUAAAUUAGAGUGAUGAGAUAUAGUAGGAUAAUCCAAGUACUAGAUACUCAAGACGUCCAUAACUGGGGACAUGGCUAACCAUGAUUAGUUUGUACACUCUGCAGAGGUUUGCGCACUUUUCCCCACAAGACUCGAUCACCUCCGUUGGAUUUCUCGCACUACAUGGUGUUUGAGAAACGGAUGACCGAGACGCAGUUUUUCAGAAGCAUUAACUCUUUACUCCGGGUGGAUAGUUACACAUACUUUCCCUCUACAUCUGCUAGCCCACCACUGAAAGAGGUCACACAACAUACUCAACUAUGCCAGAGCCUAUAAUGGCUUGUGGCUGCACACGGAAGUUUCUAGCAUGAAUUAUCUUAUGAUCCCUUUGAGCCUGGGUGGCAGACCAUAGGAGGAUCACACGGUAUAUCCCCGGGAUCUGCUAGGACAACACUAGAUUCCCAAGGUGCCAAAACAAGCAAUCCACCUAGAUGUGUAUUAAAGUUGACACCUUAAGUUGAACCAUUAAUUAACAACUCACAUCUGUCAUGGAUACACUCAAACCUAAUCCACGUCUAUGAGCAUAGCAUAGCAAUAUAAGCAUAACAUAGAAGUAACUCCCAAGGGUUUGAUAUUGAAAUAGGGUAAUAGGUUCUACCUCAUCAUCUACUUCCCAAACCCAUAAGUUAAAUACAUCCUAUUAAUGCAAUGUUUGGGGAUUGUAACUAAUGCAUAAAAUCUGGGUAUGAAAAGAGUAUGAUCAAUGUGUUACUUGCCUUGCUGACGAUCCGCAAAACCUAAGGACUCGUAGUAGCACGCUUCACACUCCGGGAAUUCUAUCGCAACAAUAACACACAUAAAAAAUCAAACAAAGAUGCAUGGGUAAAAAUAAAAUAAGAAGAAUCUAACCAGAAAGUUUAACUUAAGAACUCCGGUUUGUAAAAAGAAUCAAAUCAAACGGAGCAACGAAACUCAAACUGUGAAAUAAACAAGAUCCACUUAUUAAUCUGGACUAAAGUCAAAUUUUACAGUACCAAAAUCUUGUUCAAGUUGUUUAAACAGAAAGAGGGCUUCGAGACGUAGAUCUAGGCGCUUGAAUCGCCUCAUUCCGAUAAACGAGCAAAAAGAUAAACUAAAACUAAAAUCGGGUCAGAAAUCGUGAUCGAGAAUAAUCGCGAAAAACCCUGGAAAAAAGAAAAACUGACGAACAGGCUAACAAACAAACAUUCACUGUCUGUGACUAACUGGUGAACGGUGUUCGUUAAAACGAACGUACGGACGAACGUCCGCUAAAUAAGUAAACCGACAAAAAACCGAUCUAAAAAAUAAACCGGAAACUAAAAAAACGGGAUCUAGAUCUAGGGUUUACCGAAAUAAACCGACGGAAAAAAACGGCGGCUGACUCCGGCGAAGUCGGAUGCCGCGGCGGCUUGCGCGACGGCACGGCGAAGCGGCGCGGCGGCGACGGUGUGGCGUACGACUCGAGGCGGCGGCGGCUAGGGUUCGGGAGACGCGGGCGGGCUGGCGGCUGGGNNNNNNNNNNNNNNNNNNNNNNNNNNNNNNNNNNNNNNNNNNNNNNNNNNNNNNNNNNNNNNNNNNNNNNNNNNNNNNNNNNNNNNNNNNNNNNNNNNNNNNNNNNNNNNNNNNNNNNNNNNNNNNNNNNNNNNNNNNNNNNNNNNNNNNNNNNNNNNNNNNNNNNNNNNNNNNNNNNNNNNNNNNNNNNNNNNNNNNNNNNNNNNNNNNNNNNNNNNNNNNNNNNNNNNNNNNNNNNNNNNNNNNNNNNNNNNNNNNNNNNNNNNNNNNNNNNNNNNNNNNNNNNNNNNNNNNNNNNNNNNNNNNNNNNNNNNNNNNNNNNNNNNNNNNNNNNNNNNNNNNNNNNNNNNNNNNNNNNNNNNNNNNNNNNNNNNNNNNNNNNNNNNNNNNNNNNNNNNNNNNNNNNNNNNNNNNNNNNNNNNNNNNNNNNNNNNNNNNNNNGGCAGCGCGGUGCGCGGCUCGAGGCGGCGGCAGCUAGGGCUCGGGAGACGCGGGCGGGUUGGCGGCUGGGGGUGGGCUGCGGGGGCGGCUCGGGCGGCUUAUAUAGGCGGCCUGGCCUGGGGAGUCCGGGCCGGUUACGGCCCGUAGGUCAGUUUGCCUUUUGUUUUAAUAAAUUCUGACGCGCAGAAAAAGAAACAAAAGGAAUACUAAACGGACUCCCAAAAUCUCGAAAUAAAUUUUCCCCAUCCUCUAAAAAUAUGCCGGACAAGGUGAACAUUUAUUUGGGCCUAAUAUGCAAUUUUGAAAAACGAGUAUUUUUCCUAAUUCAAACAAAAUAGCGAUAAAAUCCAAAAAUAUUUAAUAAUUGAUUUUAAUAUUUUUCCUCCAAUAUUUCAUUAAUUUUGGAGAAGUCAUAUUAUCUCCCCUCAUAUAUUUUUAAUAUGAAAUAUUUUCGGAGAGAAAAAUCAUUAAACCCAAAAUGAUCCUUGUUUUCAACAUUUGAUAAAAUUCAAAUUUGAAAACGGUGAAAUCCCCAACUCUCUCCGUGGGUCCUUGAGUUGCUUAGAAUUUCGAGGAUCGUGAAACUAAAUGCAAUAAAAAUAUGGUAUGCAAGAAUGACCUAUGUAUAACAUUCCAAAUUGAAAAUUUGGGAUGUUACACUAACUAAGCAAUUAUGUCUUCUCAAAAUAACAUAGCCAAAGAAAGCUCAUCCCUACAAAAUCAUAUAGUUUGCCCAUGCUUCAUUUUCGUCACACAAAAUGCUCUCAUCAUGCACAACCUUGAUGACAAUCCAAGCAAUUGUUUCAUACUUUAGUAUUCUCAAACUUUUUCAACUUUCACGCAAUACAUGAGCGCGAGCCAUGGACAUAGCACUAUGGGUGGAAUAGAAUAUGAUGAUGGAGGUUGUGUGGAGAAGACAAAAAAGGAGAAACUCUCACAUCGACGCGGAUAAUCAACGGGCUAUGGAGAUGCCCAUCAAUUGAUGUCAAUGCAAGGAGUAGGGAUUGCCAUGCAACGGAUGCACUAGAGCUAUAAAUGUAUGAAAGCUCAAGAAAAGAAACUAAGUGGGUGUGCAUCCAACUUGCUUGCUCACGAAGACCUAGGGCAUUUGAGGAAGCCCAUUGUUGGAAUAUACAAGCCAAGUUCUAUAAUGAAAAAUUCCCACUAGUAUAUGAAAGUGACAAAAUAAGAAACUCUCUAUCAUGAAGAUCAUGGUGCUACUUUGAAGCACAAGUGUGGAAAAUGGAUUAGCAUUGUCCCUUCUCUCUUUUUCUCUUUUUUUAUUUGUCCUUUCUCUUUUUUUGGCCUUUCGUGUUUUUAUUUCCUCACACGGGACAAUGCUCUAAUAAUGAUGAUCAUCACACUUCUAUUUAUUUACAACUCAAGGAUUACAACUCGAUACUAGAACAAAAUAUGACUCUAUAUGCGUGCCUCCGGCGGUGUACCGGGAUGAGCAAUGAAUCAAGAGUGACAUGUAUGAAAGAUUAUGCAUGGUGGCCUUGCCACAAAUACUAUGUCAACUACAUGAUCAUGCAAGGCAAUAUGACAAUGAUGAAGCGUGUCAUAAUAAACGAAACGGUGGAAAGUUUCAUGGCAAUAUAUCUCAGAAUGGCUACGGAAAUGCCAUAAUAGGUAGGUAUGGUGGCUGUUUUGAAGAAGAUAUAAAGAGGUUUAUGUGUGAUAGAGUGUAUCAUAUCACGGGGUUUGGAUGCCCCGAUGAAGUUUGCACCAACUCUCGAGGUGAGAAAGGGCAAUGCAUGGUACCAAAGAGGCUAGCAAUGGUGGAAGGGUGAGAGUGUGUAUAAUCCAUGGACUCAACAUUAGUCAUAAAAAACUCACAUACUUAUUGCAAAAAUCUACAAGUCAUCAAAACCAAGCACUACACGCAUGCUCCUAGGGGGACAGAUUGGUAGGAAAAGACCAUCGCUCAUCCCCGACCGCCACUCCUAAGGAGGACAAUCAAAGAAACACCUCAUGCUUCAAAUUUGUUACACAACGGUUACCAUACGUGCAUGCUAUGGAACUUGCAAACUCCAACACAAGUAUUUCUCAAAUUCAUAGUUACUCAACUAGCACGAUUAUAAUAUUACAUCUUCAUAUCUCAAAACAAUCAUCAAGUAUCAAACUUUUCAUAGUAUUCAAUGCACUUUAUAUGAAAAUUUUUAUUAUACCCAUCUUGGAUGCCCAUCAUAUUAGGACUAAUUUUAUAGCCAUAGCAAAUUAUCAUGCUGUUCUAAAGGACUCUCAAAAUAAUAUAAGUGAAGCAUGAGAGAUCAAUAAUUCCUAUAAAAUAAAACCACCACCGUGCUCUAAAAGAUAUAAGUGAAGCACUAGAGCAAAAUUAUCUAGCUCAAAAGAUAUAAGUGAAGCACAUAGAGUAUUCUAAUAAAUUCCGAUUCAUGUGUGUCUCUCCAAAAGGUUUGUACAGCAAGAAUGAAUGUGGUAAACUACAAAUUAAGGACUCAAAUCAUACAAGACGCUCCAAGCAAAACACAUAUCAUGUGGUGAAUAAAAAUAUAGCCUCAAGUAAAGUUACCGAUAGACGAAGACGAAAGAGGGGAUGCCUUCCGGGGCAUCCCCAAGAUUAGGCUUUUAGUUGUCUUUGAAUUUUACCUUGGGGCGCCUUGGGCAUCCCCAAGCUUAGGCUCUUGCCACUCCUUAUUCCGAAAUCCAUCAAAUCUUUACCCAAAAAGUUGAAAACUUCACAACACAAAACUUAAACAGAAAAUCUCAUUAGCUCCGUUAGUAUAAGAAAACAAACCACCACUUUAAGGUACUGUAAUGAACUCAUUCUUUAUUUAUAUUUUUGUUAAACCUAUUGUAUUCCAACUUCUCUAUGGUUUGUACCCCCCGAUACUAGCCAUAGAUUCAUCAAAAUAAGAAAACAACACACAAAAAAUAGAAUCUGUCAAAAAAACAAAACAGUCUGUAGUAAUCUGUAUCAAACGUAUGAUUCUGGAACUCCAAAAAUUCUGAAAUAAACUGGUGGACGUGGGAAAUUUAUCUAUCAAUCAUAUGCAAAAAGAAUCAACCUAAUAGCACUUUCCAGUAAAAAAUGGAAGCUAAUCUCAUGAGCGCUAAAGUUUCUGUUUUUUAUAGCAAGAUCACAAAGACUUCACUCAAGUCUUCCCAAAGGUUCUACUUGGCACAAACACUAAUCAAAACAUAAAACCAUAUGUAAACAGAGUAUAGAUGAAUUAUUUAUUACUAAAUAGGAAAAAAUCAAGGAACAAAAAUGAAAUUGGGUUGCCUCCCAACAAGCGCUAUAGUUUAACGCCCCUAGCUAGGCAUAAGAUUUCAACGAUGCUCACAUGAAAGAUAAGAAUUGACGCACAAAGGGAGCGCCAUAUAGCAUAUGGAAAACACAUCUAAGUCUAAGAUACUUCCUAUGCGUAGGCAUCUUAUAGGAAAAUAAAUUAUCAAGACAAGAAAAAACUAGCAUAUGCAAGAAAGAAGUGAGAAAUAAUAACAAUCUCAACAUAACGAGAGGUAAUUUAGUAACAUGAAAAUUUCUACAACCAUAUUUUCCUCUCUCAUAAUAAUUACAUGUGGGAUCAUAUUCAAAUUCAACAAUAUAUCUCUCACAUAAAAUUUUCUCUACAUGAUCCACAUGCAUGCAAAGUUGACACUCUUCCAAAAUAGUGGGAAUAUCAUUAACUAAAGUCAUGACCUCUCCAAACCCACUUUUAUCAAAAACUUCAUAAGAUUGAACAUUAUCCAAAUAUGUGGGAUCUAAAGUUGACACUCUUCCAAACCCACUUUCAGUAUUACUACAAACAUUAUUAUCAAUCUCAUAUUCAUCAUGGGGCUUAAAUAAAUUUUCAAGAUUGCAAGAAGAAUCACCCCAAUCAUGAUCAUUGCAACAAGUAGUGCACAUAGCAAAACUAGCAUCCCCAAGCUUAGGGUUUUGCAUAUCAUUAAGACAAUUGACAUUAAUAGAAUUUAUAAUAAUAUCAUUGCAAUCAUGAUUUUCAUUCAAGGAGCUAUCGUGAAUCACUUCAUAAGUUUCUUAUUUCAACACUCAUCAAAAUUUUCAGAUUCACAGAUUUCAAGCAAAACCUUAUCAAGAUAAUCUAGUGCACACACUCAUUAGCAAUUGGUUCAUCAUAAUUGGAUCUUUUAAAAAGAUUAGCAAGAGGAUGAGGAUCCAUAACAAUAGAUUUUUAGCAAGCGAAGAUGCAAGCAAAUAGAAGGCACAUGGUAACACGAGCAAACAGAAGGACGAACAGAAGUGAGGCAAAGAAAAGGCAAAGGUGAAGUGGGGGAGAGGAAAACGAGAAGCAAAUGGCAAAUAAUGUAAUGCGAGGGAUAAGAGUUUAUGAUGGGUACUUGGUAUGUCUUGACUUGAGCAUAGAUCUCCCCAUCAACGGCGCCAGAAAUCCUUCUUGCUACCUCUUGAGCAUGCGUUUGUUUUCCCUUGAAGAGGAAAGGGUGAUGCAGCAAAGUAGCGUAAGUAUUUCCCUCAAUUUUUUAGAACCAAGGUUUCAAUCCAGUAGGAGAUUAUACGCAAGUCGCCUAGUACCUGCACAAACAAUCAAGAACCUUGCAACCAAUCCGAUAAAGGGGUUGUCAAUUCCUUCACGGCCACUUGCAAAAGUGAGAUCUGAAAAAGAUAAUAAGAUAAAUAUUUUUUGUAUUUUUGUUGUAUAGAUUGGAAAGUAAAGAUUGCAAAAUAAAGUGCGACAGAAAUAGCUAGUUGGCGAGAAACUAAUAUGACGUAAAAUAGACCCGGGGGCCAUAGGUUUCACUAGUGGCUUCUCUCAUGAUAGCAAAUAUUAUGGCGGGUGAACAAAUUACUAACGAGCAAUUGAUACAAAAGCACAUAGUUAUGAGAAUAUCUAGGCAUGAUCAUGAACAUAGGCAUCACUUCCGUGUCAAGUAGACCAAAACGAUUCUACAUCUACUACUAUUACUCCACACAUAGACCGCUAUCCAUCAUGCAUCUAGAGUAUUAAGUUCAUACGAACAGAGUAACGCAUUAGGCAAGAUGACAUGAUGUAGAGGGAUAAACUCAAGCAAUAUGAUAUAAACCCCAUCUUUUUAUCCUCGAUAGCAUCAAUACAAUACGUGUCGAUUCCCUUUCUGUCACUGGGAUCGAGCACCGCAAGAUUGAACCCAAAGCUAAGCACUUCUCCCAUUGCAAGAAAUAUCAAUCUAGUAGGCCAAACUAAACCGAUAAUUCGAAGAGACUUGCAAAGAUAUCAAAUCAUGCAUAUAAGAAUUCAGAGAAGAAUAGAAUAUUUGUUCAUAGAUAAUCUUGAUCAUAAACCCACAAUUCAUCGGAUCUUGACAAACACACCGCAAAAAGUAUUACAAAGAAUAGAUCUCCAAAACAUCGAGGAGAACUUUGUAUUGAGAACCAAAGAGAGAGAAGAAGCCAUCUAGCUAAUAACUAUGGACCCGAAGGUCUAUGAUAAACUACUCACACAUCAUCAGAGAGGCUAUGGUGUUAAUGUAGAAGUCCUCCGUGAUCGAAUGUCCCUCUGGCAGAUCACCGGAAAAGGCCCCAAGAUGGGAUCUCAUGGGUAAAGAAGGUUGCGGCGGUGGAAAAGUGGUUUCAUGGCUCCCCUGGAUGUUUUCAGGGUAUAAGAGUAUAUAUAGGCGAAAGAAGUAGGUUAGUGGAGCUAUGAGGGGCCCAUGAGGGUGGGGGCGCGCCUACCCCCUGGGCCUGCCCUCCGGCCUCGUGUCCGCCUUGUUGUGUCUCUGACUUCCACUCCAAGUAUCCUGGAUUGCAUUUGCUCCAAGAAAAAUCCUCACGAAGGUUUCGUUCCGUUUGGAUCCGUUUGAUAUUCCUUUUCCGCGAAACACUAAAAUAGGCAAAAAAAAUAGCAACUGGCACUGGGCCUCCGGUUAAUAGGUUAGUCUCAAAAAUAAUAUAAAAGAGCAUAUUAAAGCUCAUUAAGCAUCCAAAAUAGGUAAUAUAAUAGCAUGGAACAAUCAAAAAUUAUAGAUACGAUGGAGAUGUAUCAGGCCCCUCCUCAGCAACUCUGACUUCAGAAAAACAAAGUGAGGCACGAUGAUCCCUCGAACACGCCAGAAGAGACCAACUACCAAGACCCAUCUCCAAACCAACUCCACCCGAAGCCGCCAUCGUUGUCACACAACACUAGUGCAGAACGGGCCUUUAGUGCCGGUUCGUGACGGCCUUUAGUGCCGGUUCGCCAACCGGCACUAAAGAGUGCGGACUAAAGCUCCCUCCCAUUUAGUACCGGUUCGUCAUGAACCGGCGCUAAAGAGCCACCACGUGGCACGAGCCAGGCCUGGGUGCGUGUAGGACAUUAGUACCAGUUGGUAACACCAACCCGUACUAAAUGUUUGUGUUUUUUUUUAAUUUUUGCUUUAAUUUUGUGCUUUCAAUUUAAUUUAGUGAUUGUUUUACAUUAUAAUGAGUUGUUAAAUCAUUAGGUGCAAGUACCGCGGAUUAGUUUCGACUGGAUGCAUUGGAUCUAUAGCUACUAGCUAAGUGAUCAAGUAUAUGCCAUAUCCAUAUUAUACUUGAUCACCUAAUUAGGUGAUCAAGUAUAAUAUAUAUGGAUAUGGCAUAUAUAUACUUGAUCACUUAGGUAGGAUCCAUCCAGCUGAAACUAAUCUGCGGUUUCUUUCAUUAAAUGAUAUAAUAACUCAUCAUCAUCAUAUAAAAACUCUUGCAUCAUAUCAUCGACAUGAGUAUAUAUACUCUAGCUAGCUAGCUAAUCAUCAUAGUCGUCAUUAUCACUAUUUAAUCAUCAUAGUCAUUACCGCUAUCUAAUCACCACCAACAGUAGCUUAAAGAAGAAACAUUCACUUGUACCAGAAGCAAAAAUAUCAUCGAGUUCAACAUGAUUGUCAUGAUAUAUUAUAAGCGUUCAUAUAUAACAUCACAAAAGAAAAUCACUCUUUGAGAUUAAGUUCAGAACGAAGAACACGGACAUGAAAGGACAAGUACUAAGAGCAUGAACUAGCUAAAUCACUCCUGCUACUCUCUCUUAGGUAAAAUAGCAUAGAACAUGUAUAGCUCUCCUGAUUCAUCAUACUGGAGCAUGCAAAUGAACCUGUCUCCUAAUCGUGGGCUGCACUUCUCAUUGCUGCCCCUAGUACUUCUCUCCGAUCGUUAACAAUUUUCCUCCAAUCUUUCACUAUUAAGCAUUCAUCGCUUCUAGAAAUCCUGAAUGCACUCAUGUGCAAUGCAGGAUAUCUUGACCGUAAGCUAACAAUUGACAUGCGACCUUUAGUCUCGAUCCCCUGAGGCACAACUGUCAUCGGGAGUCUCUGUUGAAGAACAUCAUAUAGUACUUAAUUAAUAUACUUAGCAAUAGAAGUUUAGCAAAAAAAAUAUGUAUGUAAAAUAUGCACUGAGGACAAAUAGUAAAAAUCUUACCAUCAUUCCUAAAUAUAUGUGAUCGUAGUUCAAUACGAUCACUAUUGGUCGCACGUUUUGAGUACUAACAUUUCUAAGUGCAGGAAGAAAAUUUGUCUUGACAGUAUGAAGAUCCUCAAGCCAUGAAACAUAAUGACUUAUCUCCUCACAGUUUAGUUCAGCUCCGGGACAGUAGUAGGUCAUGUCUACCAAGCGCCGAACAUGUUUGCUUUAAUGGAAAUAAGCUGUCAAUAGAAAUUAGUUGUCAAUUUUUUUUUGAAUAAGCAAUAUCGAAGACAAAAAUAUAGUUGAGAAGAACUCACAUAAUGGUAGAACUGGAGGCGUCUGCACAUUGACCCAUAUGUCUCUAUUACCUUCAAUAUCAUCUUCCGGACGAAUAUCAAAGGUGAUAACCAUACCAGGCUCAAAUGCAUAAGCCUUGCAUAGUGCUUGCCAAGUUUUGCAUUCGAAAUAGGUGUACGUGUUUGCAUUGUAUACUUUGACGUUGAAAGUAUAACCAUGCUCAGUUUUCAAGUAAACUCUCUUUACCUCCAUAGUUCCCAUAUCAUUGAAACCUAUCUUAUCCAAGACAAAAAUUAUUGCAUGGCAGGGGAUGCGCUUGUAGAAUAGUGAAAAUUAAAAAUUAUAAGUCAGGCAAAUGAAGCAUAUAUAAGUCAUCCUUAAUUACGAAAACAGACUUGUCGUUAUGACUUACUGUAUCGAAAUCGAAGGUCUCAUCCAGCUUGAUGCUGAAUCACCUAUCAUCAACAAGGAAAUUUCUGUCACACAAGCCGCGCUGGUCUUCACAGUAUUCGCACAUAAUGAAAUUUUUUCCGUCGUCAGACGACAUUUCCUAUGUUCAUAUAGGUGAAACAUUAAACACUUACUAAUUCAAUUAAUUCAACUAAUUCAACUAAGCAUUUACUAAAAAUAAACUAGUUAUAUUAAUUCAAAUAAUCUCAUAUACCUAAAUUUUAAUUAGCUCAAAUAAUCUCAUAUACCUAAAUUUUAAUUAGUUCAAAUAAUCUCAUAUACCUAAAUUUUCUUGCUAAAAAUAAACUAGUUCUAUUAAUUCAACUAGUUCAACUAAGCAUUUACUAAAAAUAAACUAGUUAUAUUAAUUCAACUAGUUCAAAUAAUCUCAUAUACCUAAAUUUUCUUACUAAAAAUAAACUAGUUAUAUUNNNNNNNNNNNNNNNNNNNNNNNNNNNNNNNNNNNNNNNNNNNNNNNNNNNNNNNNNNNNNNNNNNNNNNNNNNNNNNNNNNNNNNNNNNNNNNNNNNNNNNNNNNNNNNNNNNNNNNNNNNNNNNNNNNNNNNNNNNNNNNNNNNNNNNNNNNNNNNNNNNNNNNNNNNNNNNNNNNNNNNNNNNNNNNNNNNNNNNNNNNNNNNNNNNNNNNNNNNNNNNNNNNNNNNNNNNNNNNNNNNNNNNNNNNNNNNNNNNNNNNNNNNNNNNNNNNNNNNNNNNNNNNNNNNNNNNNNNNNNNNNNNNNNNNNNNNNNNNNNNNNNNNNNNNNNNNNNNNNNNNNNNNNNNNNNNNNNNNNNNNNNNNNNNNNNNNNNNNNNNNNNNNNNNNNNNNNNNNNNNNNNNNNNNNNNNNNNNNNNNNNNNNNNNNNNNNNNNNNNNNNNNNNNNNNNNNNNNNNNNNNNNNNNNNNNNNNNNNNNNNNNNNNNNNNNNNNNNNNNNNNNNNNNNNNNNNNNNNNNNNNNNNNNNNNNNNNNNNNNNNNNNNNNNNNNNNNNNNNNNNNNNNNNNNNNNNNNNNNNNNNNNNNNNNNNNNNNNNNNNNNNNNNNNNNNNNNNNNNNNNNNNNNNNNNNNNNNNNNNNNNNNNNNNNNNNNNNNNNNNNNNNNNNNNNNNNNNNNNNNNNNNNNNNNNNNNNNNNNNNNNNNNNNNNNNNNNNNNNNNNNNNNNNNNNNNNNNNNNNNNNNNNNNNNNNNNNNNNNNNNNNNNNNNNNNNNNNNNNNNNNNNNNNNNNNNNNNNNNNNNNNNNNNNNNNNNNNNNNNNNNNNNNNNNNNNNNNNNNNNNNNNNNNNNNNNNNNNNNNNNNNNNNNNNNNNNGGGGGCCACGGCACGGCGGCUCGGCGGCGUCGACGUCGGCGCGAUAGAUCGAUGUCGCGCGAGAAGUGGUCGGGGGCCACGACACGGCGUCUCAGCGGCGUCGGCAUCGGCGUGAUAGAUCGAUGUCGCGCGAGAAGUGGUCGACGAUAACUGAUUUUUGGUAAAUGUAGUAUAUAUAGGAGGGGCCUUUAGUACCGGUUGGAGGCUCCAAGCGGUACUAAAGGGCAACACAUUAGUAACGGUUGGAGCCACCAACCGGUACUAAUGGUCGUGCGCUGCCACCCGCAAUGCACUAUUUUUAGUCCCACCUCGCCGAGCGAAGGGCAGCCGCACUGGUUUAUAAACCCAGCCGCGGCUGCCCUUUUCAACUCCUCUAUAUAGCAGGCUUCUGGGCCUAACUAGCGCACGCUGCCCUUCUGGCCCUUCUGGGACUGAAUUUACACACCCUAUGUCUGGCAGGCCCACCGGGCAGCGCCCAACAAUUAUUUAUAUAAUUCUUUUCUUUUCUACAUUAUUUAUUUUCUUCUAUUUAUUUUUGAGUAAUUUGUUUAUAUAGUUUUUUCUUUUCUGCUUUAUUUUUUUCUUCUAUUUAUUUCUGACUAGUUUUUUUUGCUGUAUUUAGUUUCUUUGUGAAUAUUUUGCUUUAUAUAUUUUUUUCUUUUCUGCAUUAUUUGUUUUCUUCUAUUUAUUUUUGAGUAAUUUUGUUAUAUAGUUUUUUCUUUUCUGCUUUAUUUUUUUCUUCUAUUUAUUUCUAAUUAGUUUUUUUGUUGUAUUUAAUUUCUUUGUGAAUAUUUUUGCUUUAUAUAGUUUUUUUCUUUUCUGCAUUAUUUAUUUUCUGCUAUUUCUUUUGAAGUAAAUUUUUUAUAUAGUUUUUUUCUUUUCUGCUUUUUCAGAGUUCGUUUUGUUGUGAUUUACUAUUUAACGGUCAUUUAGCUCUCUAAACAAAUUGGUAAAUGACUGAAAAACAGAAGUGCCCGUGUAAUUGAUGAGUUCUCGUCCGAAACCCUGAUACUCUGAAAGAGAUUGUCCAGUUUGUACAUGAAGUUCGUCCAGUUUUUGCCAUGACCCUCUCUACUCUUUCGCACAUGCUAUGCGGGUGAAAUGAUGAUACCUUCAACAUUUUCAGAGUUUGUUUUGUAGUGAUAUUCAUUUUCACGGUCAUUUAGCUUUGAUCUAAAUAAAUCAAUGACUGAAAAACAGCAAAUGAUGUCAGAACGUGUUGGAAAUUGAUGACGACCCUUCGAAUGCUGCAUAAUGUCGGCUCAAAAAAAGUCUGGACUUCAAAUAAGAUAAAAAAAUGAAGUGCCCGUGUAACUGAUGAGUUCCCGUUCGAAACCCUUAUACUCUGAAAGAGAUUGUCCAGUUUGUACAUGAAGUUCGUCCAGUUUUUGCCGUGACCCGCUCUACUCUUUCGCACAUGCUAUGCGGGUGAAAUGAUGAUACCUUCAACAUUUUCAGAGUUUGUUUUGUUUUGAUUUCAUUUUCACGGUCAUUUAGCUCUGAUCUAAACAAAUCGGUGACUGAAAAACAGCAAAUNNNNNNNNNNNNNNNNNNNNNNNNNNNNNNNNNNNNNNNNNNNNNNNNNNNNNNNNNNNNNNNNNNNNNNNNNNNNNNNNNNNNNNNNNNNNNNNNNNNNNNNNNNNNNNNNNNNNNNNNNNNNNNNNNNNNNNNNNNNNNNNNNNNNNNNNNNNNNNNNNNNNNNNNNNNNNNNNNNNNNNNNNNNNNNNNNNNNNNNNNNNNNNNNNNNNNNNNNNNNNNNNNNNNNNNNNNNNNNNNNNNNNNNNNNNNNNNNNNNNNNNNNNNNNNNNNNNNNNNNNNNNNNNNNNNNNNNNNNNNNNNNNNNNNNNNNNNNNNNNNNNNNNNNNNNNNNNNNNNNNNNNNNNNNNNNNNNNNNNNNNNNNNNNNNNNNNNNNNNNNNNNNNNNNNNNNNNNNNNNNNNNNNNNNNNNNNNNNNNNNNNNNNNNNNNNNNNNNNNNNNNNNNNNNNNNNNNNNNNNNNNNNNNNNNNNNNNNNNNNNNNNNNNNNNNNNNNNNNNNNNNNNNNNNNNNNNNNNNNNNNNNNNNNNNNNNNNNNNNNNNNNNNNNNNNNNNNNNNNNNNNNNNNNNNNNNNNNNNNNNNNNNNNNNNNNNNNNNNNNNNNNNNNNNNNNNNNNNNNNNNNNNNNNNNNNNNNNNNNNNNNNNNNNNNNNNNNNNNNNNNNNNNNNNNNNNNNNNNNNNNNNNNNNNNNNNNNNNNNNNNNNNNNNNNNNNNNNNNNNNNNNNNNNNNNNNNNNNNNNNNNNNNNNNNNNNNNNNNNNNNNNNNNNNNNNNNNNNNNNNNNNNNNNNNNNNNNNNNNNNNNNNNNNNNNNNNNNNNNNNNNNNNNNNNNNNNNNNNNNNNNNNNNNNNNNNNNNNNNNNNNNNNNNNNNNNNNNNNNNNNNNNNNNNNNNNNNNNNNNNNNNNNNNNNNNNNNNNNNNNNNNNNNNNNNNNNNNNNNNNNNNNNNNNNNNNNNNNNNNNNNNNNNNNNNNNNNNNNNNNNNNNNNNNNNNNNNNNNNNNNNNNNNNNNNNNNNNNNNNNNNNNNNNNNNNNNNNNNNNNNNNNNNNNNNNNNNNNNNNNNNNNNNNNNNNNNNNNNNNNNNNNNNNNNNNNNNNNNNNNNNNNNNNNNNNNNNNNNNNNNNNNNNNNNNNNNNNNNNNNNNNNNNNNNNNNNNNNNNNNNNNNNNNNNNNNNNNNNNNNNNNNNNNNNNNNNNNNNNNNNNNNNNNNNNNNNNNNNNNNNNNNNNNNNNNNNNNNNNNNNNNNNNNNNNNNNNNNNNNNNNNNNNNNNNNNNNNNNNNNNNNNNNNNNNNNNNNNNNNNNNNNNNNNNNNNNNNNNNNNNNNNNNNNNNNNNNNNNNNNNNNNNNNNNNNNNNNNNNNNNNNNNNNNNNNNNNNNNNNNNNNNNNNNNNNNNNNNNNNNNNNNNNNNNNNNNNNNNNNNNNNNNNNNNNNNNNNNNNNNNNNNNNNNNNNNNNNNNNNNNNNNNNNNNNNNNNNNNNNNNNNNNNNNNNNNNNNNNNNNNNNNNNNNNNNNNNNNNNNNNNNNNNNNNNNNNNNNNNNNNNNNNNNNNNNNNNNNNNNNNNNNNNNNNNNNNNNNNNNNNNNNNNNNNNNNNNNNNNNNNNNNNNNNNNNNNNNNNNNNNNNNNNNNNNNNNNNNNNNNNNNNNNNNNNNNNNNNNNNNNNNNNNNNNNNNNNNNNNNNNNNNNNNNNNNNNNNNNNNNNNNNNNNNNNNNNNNNNNNNNNNNNNNNNNNNNNNNNNNNNNNNNNNNNNNNNNNNNNNNNNNNNNNNNNNNNNNNNNNNNNNNNNNNNNNNNNNNNNNNNNNNNNNNNNNNNNNNNNNNNNNNNNNNNNNNNNNNNNNNNNNNNNNNNNNNNNNNNNNNNNNNNNNNAAGUUCAUCCAGUUUUUGUCGUGACCCUCUCUACUCUUUCGCACAUGCUAUGCGGGUGAAAUGAUGAUACCUUCAACAUUUUCAGAGUUUGUUUUGUAGUGAUUUUCAUUUUCACGGUCAUUUAGCUCUAAUCUAAACAAAUCGGUGAUUGAAAAACAACAAAUGAUGUCAGAACGUGUUGUAAAUUGAUGACGUCGCUUCGAAUGUUGCAUAAUGCUGGCUCAAAAAAAGUCUGGAGUUCAAAUAAGUUAAAAAAAUGAAGUGCCCGUGUAACUGAUGAGUUCUCGUCUGAAGCCCUAAUACUUCGAAAGAGAUUGUCCAGUUUGUACAUGAAGUUCGUCCAGUUUUUGCCGUGACCCUCUCUACUCUUUCGCACAUGCUAUGCGGGUGAAAUGAUGAUACCUUCAACAUUUUCAGAGUUUGUUUUGUAGUGAUUUUCAUUUUCACAGUCAUUUAGCUCUGAUCUAAACAAAUCGAUGAUUGAAAAACAGCAAAUGAUGUCAAAACAUGUUGGAAAUUGAUGACGUCGCUUCGAAUGCUGCAUAAUGCCGGCUCAAAAAAAGUCUAGAGUUCAAAUAAGUUAAAAAAUGAAGUGCCCAUGUAACUAGUGAGUUCUCGUCCGGAACCAGUGAAGACUCAUAUUGAGUCCACAAAUUAUACACAUAGAGUUCAAUGAAUACCAAAUGCUUGUGAUAGUUUGAGAAGUAACAUAUUUAAAUUGUGCAUCUGAACACAGAAAAAAUACAUUGAUCAGUACCGCCUUUCAGCCAAAACGCGCUACUGCUACAGAGAAGUACAUAUAAAAAAUACAUUGAUCAUCAAUGAUCUUUUUGUAUAGAAUCUAAAUUGUCAAUAGGAAUCUACCACCGAUUUAAGAACCGGCGAAGACUCCUAUUGCAGCAACAGAUCCUACACAUGGAUUUCAAUGAAGACCAACUGCUUAUGAUAGUUUGAGAAGUAACAUAUUUAAGGUGGUCAAAAUCUUGCUAGGGGAGCAAGGUGGGACUAAAAAUAGCCCUGCCACAAGCUCUUUUGUACUGGUUCGUGCCACGAACCGGUACUAAAGGUGCUGGCCAGGAACCAGCAUCUUUAGUACCGGUUCGUGGCACGAACCAGUACUAAAGACUCGCAAUGAACCAGUACUAAAGAUCUCCUCCCACCUAGUCAUUUGAACCGGCUCUAAUGGACACAUUAGUGCCGGCUCAUAUGCAAACCAGUACUAAUGUUUCUCAGAUUUGACCCUUUUUCUACUAGUGCAAGAAGCCGCCCAGAACUACCACAUCACCAGAUGGAGACCUGCCGACCGCAAUGUCGAGAGCGUCCAGCACAUGGAGCACGUGAACGGGAUCCAAAGCCCUUCAAGACGAUGGAAGUGAUAAUCCCCAUGUCGUUGCUUGAUAAUCUCCAAGUGUAGGGAAUCAUUGUAGCAAUUUCCAAAGGUGGAAGUGAUAACUAUGGAAUGUCGAACCCACAAGGAGCUAAAGGUAAGAUCAAUAUUCUCUCAAGCCCUAUCUGCCACUGAUACGACUCUACGUACACCGAACGUUUGCUUCCAACUAGAAACGAGAAAUAAAACUACGUUCUGGGUAUGAAGAGGAUAACUUUGUAUGAUAUCGGAGAGCUAAGAUAUAAAAGUAUGUGUUGUUAUCAUAAAGUUAGAAUAUAUUACUAAAUAUUAUAAAUAGCGAGUGUGGAAUAAUGGUGGAUUGGUGUGCGAAAUUGUCCUAGGCAAUCGUUAACAAGACCGAUAAUCACUAUUGCAGUUUCAUAUGAGGGAGAGGCAUAAGCUAACAUACUUUCUCUAGUUGGAUCAUAUGCACUUAUGAUUGGAACUCUAGCAAGCAUGUGCAACUACUAAAGAUCAUUAAGGUAAAACCCAACCAUAGCAUUAAAGCAUCAAGUUCUCUUUAUUCCCAUAAGCAACAACCCCCUUACUCGGGUUUGUGCUUCAGUCACCCGCCAACCCACUAUAAGCGAAUCAUGAACGUAUUGCAACACCCUACAGGGGGAACCCCUCAUACUUGCGCAGCACGGAGGGCACCAUAGGACAUCAUCAAAGUAAAACAUACAACUCAUACCAAUCUAGAUAAUCAAUCAACCCAAAGACAAAAGAAAUCUACUCAAAACAUCAUAGGAUGGCAACACAUCAUUGGAUCAUAAUAUGUGGGAUCAGGGUCGGGCCUAUAGUUGUGCAAAACAUGCAGCCCGCAUAGGGCCCACGAAUUUUGCGGGCCCCAAUUUUUUUCUAUAGGCCUAGUUAAGCCAGCAGGCCGAAUGGCCCGGAUACCGAUGGCCUGAAACAAUAUCGAUCAUUCGCACGAUCUACAGUUGUGAGCAUAGGAGCAGAACCCCGAUCUACGAUACUAACCCUAACGGUGCAGUAGCCAGAUCGCAGCUGCAGGCUAACAACGCAGCACAAGACCAGCGGCAAGGCCCGCAACCCUGGGAGGCAUGGCAACAACAACAGCAGGUGAGUAGGAUAGGCACACGGCUGGUUUCCGGCUAUGCGCGCCCUAAAUCAGCUUAACCAAAUGAAUCUUCAAAUUAAAUAUUCAGGAGCACUGACUACAUCCUUCAUGAUAGAUGCUAGAUCGCUCGUUGCCACUUUCCCUCUUCUUUUUUAAAUCAUAGUAAUACUAAUCAAGGUGCAUCGUCUUCGUCAAUCAAUCUCGGCGUGAUGGCGUCUCGCCUCCGGGCUGCUCUCCACUCCUUGAGCCCCUCUUGCCUCGUCCAGGAACAAUUCAACCAGGCAAGUUUCACGUAUGUGAAUUCUGCUGUCUUAGUUCAAUGAAUAGUUUGCUCCUAGAUCUCAAAAAAAUAGUUUGCUGCUAACUGUUUGAUGUGUAUCCCUUUAAUUUUUCCAUCAUUUGGAUAGUUUUAUAUUAAUUGGUCUAGUCGUCUUGCGUUUCAAAAGCCAAGUUAUAUCCUCUAAAAAUCUAUCUAGGGAAUAUGAAUCUGGUUACCAGAAACAUAAGAAAAGAAAACAAUUAGAGGAUUUAAUUCAAUAUCGUAAAGGAGUUGUAGAUAAAUUGAUUAUAGUUUUAUUUUUCUAAGAAAGUAGGCCUCAUUUUAGAGUUUGGCACAGGGCCUCAAAUUUUUUCGGCCCGGCCCUCUGUGGCAUAAAGUACCAUGUUCAAGUGGGGAUUACAGCGGGGUGCGGGAGAGUGGACCGCGAAAAAGAGAUGAGGAUGGUGAUGAUGAUGGUGAUGUUGAUGAAGACAAUCACCGCGGCGAUGAUUCCCCUCCCGAUGGCACUCUGGUGCCAUCGGAAGAGAGGAGGAGAGGUUCUCCCCCUUGUGCUUCCUCCUCCAUGGCCUCCCCCCUCUGGUCCUUGGCCUUCAUCGUGAUGAUGGCCCCUCCGGGAUCCUCCUCCAUGGCCACCCGUGAUGAUGGCCUCCUACGGCAGGGUGCUGGAGAGGGCCUAGAUUGAUUUCUCGUGGCUACAGAGGCUUGCGGUGGUGGAACUUCCGAUCUAGGUUUCUUUCUGGAAGUUUGGAUAUAUAGAAGAGUUUGGCGUUGAUUUCACGUCAGGGGCGUCACCGAGGCGUCCACGAGGCAGGGGGCACGCCCUACCCCCUGGGCAUGCCCCCCACCCUCGUGGGUGCCUCGGGACACUCCUGGUCCACCUCCGGUGCUCCGUGGGCUUCUUCUGGUCCAAAAAUAGGCUCCGUGGAGUUUCAGGUCAAUUGGACUCCGUUUGGUUUUCAUUUUCUGCGAUACUGUAACAUCCCAAAUUUUCAAUUUGGAAUGUUAUACAAUAGAUCAUAAUUGCACAUCAUAUUUAUUGCAUUUUGCCUCGAUCCUAGAAAUUCUACGCAACUCAAGGACCCACGAAGAGAGUUGGGGAUUUCAUAAAUUUCAUAUUUGAGUUUUCUCAAAUUUUGGAAAUAGGAUCAUUUGAUUUUAUUUAUUUUAUCUUCAAUUAUUUCAGUUAUAAAAAUAUGAGAGAGGGAAUAAAAUGACUUUCCCAAAAUAAAGAAAUAUUGAGGAUUUAAUAAAAAAAUCAAAUAAGAUUUUAUUUUGGAUUUUAUUGCUAUUUUAUUUGAAUUUAGGAAAAAUGCGUGUUUUUCAAAGUUGCAUUUAGGCCCCAAAUAAAUGUUCAUCUAAACCGGCUUGAUUUUAGAAGUCGGGGAAAAUUUAUUCGGGAUUUUUGGAGCCCGUUUAGUAUUUCUUUCGUUUGUUUUUCUGCGCGAAAUUUUUUUUUUUUAAAAGUCCGAACCGACCUUGGGCCGUAACCGGCCAGGACUCCGCCUGGCCGGGGUAUUUAUAUACCGCGCCAGGGACGACCCCCAGCCCAAGCCGCACCGCGCCCCCAGCCCACCUGAGUCGCGUUGCCGCCCCAAACCCUAACCCUAGCCGCUGCCAGCUCGCGCCGCCGCCGCCGCUGCUGCCGCCGCCGCCGCCGACCCGCAUGCCGAGGUUGACCCCGCCGCCGCCGACGUUUUUUUAGAAAAACCGUUCGGUUUUUCCGUCGGUUUUUUUAGAUCUGUUUUUUUAUUAGAUCAUUUUUUUGGUUUAGGAUAAUUAGCGAGCGUUCGCUCGUUCGUUCGAUUUAACAAACACGUUCUUUCUUUAGAUCCAGAUAACGAACGUUCGUUCGUUAAUUGGUUCAUCAUUUUUCUUUUUCUCGGAUUUAUUCCGCGAUUUUUGUGAUCGCGAUUUCUGAUCCGAUUUUCAUUUUAGUAUAACUUUUCGCUCGUUUAUCGGAAUCAGGCGACUCAAGCGCCUAGAGUUUCGUCUCAAAACCCUCUUUCUUAAUAAUCUACUCAAACAAGUUUUUGCUUCUGUAAAAUUUGACUUAGGUCCAGAUUAGUAAAUGAAGCUUGUUUCUUUCGCCGUUUGACUUUCGUUGCUUUGUUUGGAUUGAUUCUUUUGCAAACCGGAGUUCUUAAGUUGAAAUUUCUGCUUAGAUCUCUUAUUUGAGUUUUACCUAUGCAUUAGAUGAGUACCUAUUGUAUGCUUGUUUGUUUGUUUGCGAUAGAGUACCCGGAUUGCGCCGCUUGCUACUUCGAAUCCCUAGGUUUCGUGGAUCAUCAGCAAGGCAAGUAACACUUUGAUGAUACUUCUUUAUUACCCUGUUUUAUUGCAUUAGAUCAAUCCUCAAACAAUUGCAUGAUUAGGAUUUGAUUUAAUAUGUGGGUUUCGGGAAGUAGAUGAGGUAGUACCUAUUACCUGUUUUAUUAUCAAACCCUUGGGAGUUACUCUACGUUUGCUUAUUAUGCCAUGCUAUGCUAGUAGACGUGGAUUGGGUGAGUGUAUCCAUGACAGAUGGGAGAUUGUUAAUUUAAUGGUUUAUUUAAGGUGGCAACUUUAAUACACAUCUGGGUGGAUUAAGGCACCUGGGUAUUCCAGUGAUUGCCUGUUUUUCUUUUGGACCGCCACCCAGGCUCAAAGGGAUCAUGAGAUUAUUCAUGCUAGAAACUUCCGUGUGCAGCCACAAGCUACUAUGGGCUCUAGCAUAGUUAACUAAGUCGUGCGAACUCUUACAGUGGUAGACUAGCAGCGGAUGUAGGGGAUGUAGGUUGGUACUGUCUACCCGAUCGUAAGGCGCAAACGCUUCUGAAAGACUAUGUCUCUGUCAUCCGUUUCUCAUACACCACGUACUGCGAGAAUUCCAACGGAGGAGAUCGAGUCUUAUGGGGGAAAGUGCGCAAACCUCUGCAGAGUGUAUAAACUAAUCAUGGUUAGCCGUGUCCCCGGUUAUGGACAUCUUGAGUAUCUAGUACCUGGAUUAUCAUGUGAAUCUCAUCGUGUUACUUUAAUUAAUAUUGUUGGGUUUGUUUAAUGAUGAUGUUACUUAAUUGGGAUUGAGAAUGAUGUCAACCAUUCUCAAUGUUUAACAACCACCAUGAUAGUUAAAUAAAUUUAUUCCUUUGUAGUAGGGAAAAAUUGGCUUUAUGCAAAAACUGUAACCAUAGUGCUUUGCACCAGCCAUAUAUGCAUGUAGUAUAGCAUUAUUCUUCCAUUACUCUCUAUGUGUUACAUUGCUAGCAUAUUCCAUGUGCUGGCCCGUUUCGGGCUGCAACGUUCAUGUUGCAGAGUUUUUAGACGACGAGUAAGAUGCUUUAGGAUCGUGGUUCUAUACUCAGUGAUGCCGUUGGAGUUGAUGGACUCACUUAUCUUCCAAGCCUUCCGCUGUUAUCGUUAUUAGAUGGCCUUAAGCCAUAUUUAUUGUAAUAAGUUAUCUUUGGAGACAUUCAAUGUAAUAAGUGUGUGAUUGCUACUCUGUUAUAAAUCCUUCAAGUACUAUGCGUCUCAGCAUUACUGAUCCAGGGAUGACACUGAUGCACAGAGAUCAGACUGUUUGAGGUCUGGUUGCUACAAGAUGGUAUCAGAGCACACGCUGACUGUAGGACACGACCACUAAGCUAAAACCCUAGAUCACUACUCUCUCUUCUCAUUUUUGACUCCUCAUCUUUUCUACUAUUUUAGGAUGGCGGAUGCAAGGAACAAGUUCACGCAAACGGGUGAAGAUACACCCUUUGGACGACACCUGAAGGAAGUCACUAGAUACCUGAACAUCGGAGUACCAAGCUUCACCGGGACCUAUAACGCCACUUUACCUGAAGAGGAGCGCUGGAUGAUUCAAGUUCAAGUUCCAGGAAGGACGUUCAUGCCGGUCACUGAACCCAUAGAGUUUUCCUUUGAUGCACCAACCUGGAGUUUAGAAAAGAGCAUGGCAGCCCACAUCACCAUGGGACGUAUUGGAGAAGUUUACCACAAGGAGCUUAAGGAUACUAUCUACCAGAUUUGUGGGUGCCGAGAUGAUCAAUGGGAGACGAUCAGCACCAGGAAGGACAUAUCAAUUUCAUCUUUCAUCCAGGAGUUAAACCAGCACAUUUGACGCCAGGAGAACCAGAUGUGCGCAUGCAUGAUGGAUCGGAAGAAGGCCAUGACCAAGAUCACUGAACUGGAAGAAGAACUCAAGUCUACACGCGAUGGAUAUGAGGAGGAAAUAGCAACGCUAGUAGAGAAGAAUGAUGAUCUGAAGAAGAAGCUAAGAGUGUUUAUGGGAUUUCUCGCAACUGGAGAAGACGAAGAUUGCACUUGUCCAGAGAACUACAUCAUCAUCGACGACACUGACUCGGACCCAGACGAUAGUGAUAAUGACUAUGUUGACGAAGCUGGAGCAGAUACCAUGGAGUCUUCAUCGGAGCAGUUUUUCUAGUAGACCACCAUAAUAGUAGUAGUAUUUUCCCUCCAUGUAUCUAGUAUAGUUUGAGCACUUUUGUAACGAUAGAUCGACCAUUGUAUGACCUUGCUUGUUUGAAUGAAGUGUUUUGAUUGAAAUUUGUCUCAUGUGCAUAUGGGUAGUGUUUUCCCUCUAGACCUCAUUCUAUUUUGUAUUCUCAUCUUUUCUAAACCCUAAGAUGCCUCCGAGACAUGACAAUGGAUUUGCUUUUCCAUCGGAGCUCACUCAGUUGAUCCAGCGGCAGAAUGCAUUGAUGCAGAUACUAGUUCAGAAUCAGAAUCAGGGGAACAACAACAACAACAACAACAACCCACCACCACCACCACAUGUUGAUCACUUAACCCGUUUUCUUAGGCUAAAUCCGCCGGUGUUCUCCAGUAGCACCGAGCCGAUUGUUGCAGAUGAUUGGCUUCGCAAGACAGCUAGGGAGUUGGCCACUGCAGGAUGCACAGAUGCGGAGAAGGUGCGAUUUGGCGCACACCAGCUUGAAGGACCCGCAGCAUCAUGGUGGGAGAAUUUCAUAGCCACCUAUCCAGUAGACACUGUCACAUGGGACUAGUUUUAGCAGGCUUUCUGUACUGCCCAUGUUUCAGCAGGAGCAAUGUCCAUGAAGAAGUGUGAGUUUCGCAACUUACGCCAAGGAGGACGUACAGUUGGCCAGUAUGUGGAUGACUUUAGUAAGCUAGCACGUUAUGCCCCUGAUGACGUUGCUACGGAUGCAACCAAGCAAGAGAAGUUUCUGGAAGGACUGAAUAAUGAGCUAAGCAUGCAGUUGAUGGUAGCAAGUUUCAAUAACUACCAGGAGUUGGUAGAUAAAGCUCUCAUGAUUGAAGGGAAGUAGCAGCAGAUUGCAAACCGCAAGAGGAAGUAUGGACAAGGGAAGUACAAUUCUGGAGCUCAGCAGAAGCCACGUUAUACCCCGAAAUCGGGAGGACAGUUCCAGCAUACCCAUGGAGGUGGUAGUUCGCACAACCAUAAUGGUUCCAAGAAUGGUAAAGGGAAUGGAGGAAGUAAUGGCCAGAACUGUACCAACCCCUCAACACCAGCCAAGAGAGAUUUGAGUCAAGUCACUUGCUUUAAGUGCCAAAAGACCGGACAUUACGCCAAUGAAUGUCCUGAAGGCCAGAAUGGAAAUAGCAAUGGAAGCUCUGGGAAGAAGCCAAACCCUUUCAACAGAGGACAGGUGAACCACGUUAGCGUGGAGGAGGUUGAAGCCCAGCCCUAUGAAGUAAUAGGUAAGUUUUUGGUUAAGUCAUUUACUGCACUCGUUCUUUUUUAUACUGGUGCAUCGCAUUCAUACAUAUCAAGGGGAUUUGUGGAUAAGUACAAACUGCCAACCCAAGCCCUUAGGUCACCCAUGUUAGUGACCUCGCCUGAAGAAUAUAUGGCUAGACUAUGGUUUUAUCGGUUACCAUUAAGGAUUGGUAACUACUUGUUUCCCUCAGACCUAAUAGUACUGGAAUCACAAGGAUUAGACAUGAUAUUAGGCAUGGAUUGGUUAUCGAAGUAUGGAGGGAACAUUGAAUGCACCAGUAAGACAAUUUUGCUUACAAUGCCAGAAGGAAAGAGGAUCAAGUAUGUAUCAAGACAUGAGCUGAAGAGGAUGCACGCAAAUUUCUUAUCAGGAGUUGUGCAGGAGGAAGUACCAGUGGUGAAGGAUUUUCCGGAUGUAUUUCCAGAAGAGUUGCCAGGCAUGCCACUGGAUAGAGACAUCGAGUUUUUGAUUGAGCUUUUGCCAGACACAGGGCCGAUAUCCAAGAGACCAUACAGGAUGCCUGCAAAAGAUUUGGAGGAGAUUAAGAAUUGGAUUAAGGAGUUACUGGAUAAAGGCUAUAUUCGCCUAAGUUCUUUGCCUUGGGGAUCGGCAGUACUUCUAGUGGAGAAGAAGGACGGAUCAUUGAGGAUGGUUGUUCAUUAUCGUGGAUUGAAUGCAGUAACAAUCAAGAACAAGUACCCACUGCUGAUGAUCAAUGAUUUGUUUGACCGAUUGCAAGGAGCAAAGGUAUUUUCCAAGAUUGAUUUGCGAUCAGGAUACCAUCAGUUGAAGAUUCAAGAGCAGGAUAUACCUAAUAUGGCUUUUACCACCAGGUACGGGCUGUACGAAUACACCGUUAUGUCAUUUGGUCUGACUAACGCACCUGCCUACUUCAUGAACAUGAUGAACAAGGUAUUUAUGGAGUUUCUGGAUAAGUUCAUCGUGGUGUUCAUUAAUGAUAUUUUGGUCUACUCAAAGAACGAAGAAGAGCAUAAGGAGCAUUUGCGUUUGGUAUUGGAGGAGCUCAGAGAACACCAGUUAUACGCCAAGUUCAGCAAGUGUGAAUUUUGGUUGAAGGAAGUUGGAUUCCUCAGACAUGUUAUAUCUGGAGAAGGUAUAGCAGUAGACCCCGCCAAGGUUGUCACUGUGACAAAUUGGGUAGCACCAACGAUAGUUGGAGAGGUCCAGAGUUUUCUUGGACUGGCAGGAUACUACUGGAGAUUCAUUGAGAAUUUCUCAAAGAUUGCGAAGCCCAUGACGGAGUUGUUGAAGAAGGAUACCAAAUUCAAUUGGACUGAGGAAUGUGAGGCCAGUUUCCAGGAGUUGAAGGAAUGUCUAGUUACCUCGUCAGUGUUGAUUCUGCCAGAUCAGAGCAAGGAUUACGAGGUGUAUUGCGACGCUUCACGUCGACGACUUGGAGCAGUGCUUAUGCAGGAGGGAGAGUUGUUUCGUAUGCUUCACGACAACUUAAACCUCAUGAGUUGAAUUAUGCCACGCAUGAUUUGGAGUUAGCUGCCGUAGUGCAUGCGUUGAAGACUUGGAGACAUUUUCUCAUCGGAAACCAUUGUGAGGUCUACACGGAUCACAAGAGUUUGAAGUACAUUUUCACGUAGAAGGAGUUGAAUCUCAGGCAAAGGAAAUGGUUGGAGCUCAUCAAAGAUUUUGAUAUGAGGUUGCAGUAUCACCCCGGAAAGGCUAACAUAGUAGAUGAUGUGUUGAGCCGUAAGAGCCAUGUCAAUACACUCAUGACCAGAGGGUUGCCAAAGGAGUUAGCCGAGGAUCUUUGUGAACUAUGUUUGGAGAUAGUUCCAAGAGGCUAUGUAGCAGCAUUGGAAAUUCAGUCGACUUUGAUGUAUAAGAUCAGAGAAGAUCAGAAGGCCGACAAGGAAAUUGCCGAGAUAAAGGAGAAGAUGAGCAAAGGUAAAGCUAAGGGAUUUCGUGAGGAUGAGCAUGAUACCUUAUGGUUUGAAGACUAUGUUUAUGUGCCUAAUGACCCAAAGAUCCGGAAGUUGAUUUUGCAAGAGGCCCAUGAUUCGCUGUAUUCGAUUCACCCAGGAAAUACCAAGAUGUAUUUGGAUUUGAAGGACACUUUCUGGUGGACUGGAAUGAAGAAGGAUAUUGCAGAGUAUGUAGCGGUUUGUGAGGUAUGUCAGAGAGAAAAGGCAGAGCAUCAGAAGCCAGCAGGAUUGUUACAACCAUUGCCGAUACCCGAAUGGAAGUGGGAUAAACUAGGCAUGGAUUUUAUCAUGGGAUUGCCCAUGACUCGUUCAGGCUAUGACUCGAUUUGGGUUGUAGUCGAUCGUUUGACGAAGGUAGCACAUUUCAUCCCAGUAAGACCACUUACACCAGUGCUAAGUUGGCCAAGAUAUACAUGACCAGGAUUGUAUGUCUGCAUGGAGUUCCGAGGAGCAUUGUAUCAGAGAGAGGAACCCAGUUUACCUCAAAGUUCUGGAAUCAGUUGCACGAAACUUUGGGUUCCAGGCUAGAGUUCAGUACAGCCUUUCAUCCGCAGACAGAUGGACAGACCGAGAGAGUCAAUCAGAUUUUGGAGGAUAUGUUGAGAUCUUGUGCGCUAGAUUACGGAUCUAGUUGGGACGACAAUUUGCCAUAUGCAGAGUUCUCUUACAACAACAGUUACCAAUCCAGUUUGAAGAUGGCCCCUUUCAAAGCCUUAUAUGGAAGAAGGUGCAGGACCCCGUUGUCAUGGGAUGAAGUUGGAGACCGCCAGUUGUUUGGACCCGAUUUGAUUAAGGAGUCUGAACGGAAAGUGAAGUUGAUUCGCGAUAGGCUCAAGGUAGCCAAGACCAGGCAGAAAAGCUAUGCAUAUUCAAAACGCAAGGAGACAGUUUACGAAGUCGGAGAUAGAGUCUAUCUUCGUGUAUCACCACUUCGAGGAGUUAAGCGUUUUGGAGUCAAGGGAAAGUUAGCACCGUGUUUUGUAGGACCAUACAAAGUUUUGGAGCAUAUAGGAGAGGUUGCCUACAAGUUGGAAUUGCCCGAAGGAUUGUCAGGAGUUCAUGAUGUGUUCCACGUUUCCCAGUUGAAGAAGUGCCAUGCGGAGAUGGCUGAUAUACCGCUGAGAGAUACAGUGCCGCUUGAGGCGAUUCAGUUGGACAGUAAUUUGACCUAUGAGGAGAAACCAGUUAAGAUUCUUGAGUAUGCCAGCCGAGUCACCCGCAGCAAGGUUAUCAAGUUUUGCAAAGUUCAGUGGAGCCACCACACCGAAGAUGAAGCCACCUGGGAGCAAGAGGAAGAUCUGCUGAAGGACCAUCCUCACCUAUUUUCUAGCCAACCCGAAUCUCGAGGGCGAGAUUCAUAUUAAGGGGGGUAGGUUUGUAACAUCCCAAAUUUCCAAUUUGGAAUGUUAUACAAUAGAUCAUAAUUGCACAUCAUAUUUAUUGCAUUUUGCCUCGAUCCUAGAAAUUCUACGCAACUCAAGGACCCACGGAGAGAGUCGGGGAUUCCAUAAAUUUCUUAUUUGAGUUUUCUCAAAUUUUGGUAAUAGGAUCAUUCGAUUUUAUUUAUUUUAUCUUCAAUUAUUUCAGUUAUAAAAAUAUGAGAGAGGGAAUAAAAUGACUUUCCCAAAAUAAAGAAAUAUUGAGGAUUUAAUAAAAAAAUCAAAUAAGAUUUUAUUGCUAUUUUAUUUGAAUUUAGGAAAAAUGCGUGUUUUUCAAAAUUGCAUUUAGACCCCAAAUAAAUGUUCAUCUAAACCGGCUUGAUUUUAGAAGCGGGGGAAAUUUUAUUUCGGGAUUUUUGGAGUCCGUUUAGUAUUUCAUUCGUUUGAUUUUCUGCGCGUAUUUUUUUUUAAAAAAUGUGUCUGAACCGACCUUGGGCCGUAACCGGCCAGGACUCCGCCUGGCCGCGGUCUUUAUAUACCGCGCCCGGGCCGACCCCCAGCCCAAGCAGCACUGCGCACCCAACCCACCCGAGCCGCGUCGCCGCCCCAAACCCUCACCCUUGCCGCCGCCAGCCCGCGCCACUGCCGCCGCCUGCCGCCGCCGCCGACCCGGACGCCGAGGUUGACCCCGCCGCCGCCGCCGUUUUUUUAGAAAAACCGUUCGGUUUUUCCGUCAGUUUUUCGUUGGUUUUUUAGAUCCAUUUUUUUAUUAGAUCGGUUUUUUCGGUUUAGGUUAAUUAGCGAGUGUUCGCUCGUUCGUUCGUUUUAACGAACCCAUUCAUUGUUUAGAUCCAGAUAACGAACGUUCGUUCAUUAAUCUGUUCAUCGUUUUUCUUUUUCUCAGAUUUAUUCCGCGAUUUUUCUGAUCGUGAUUUCUGAUCCGAUUUUCGUUUUAGUAUAACUUUUCGCUCUUUUAUCGGAAUCAGGCGAUUCAAGCGCCUAGAGUUUCGUCUCGAUACCCUAUUUCCGAAUAAUCUACUCAAACAAGUUUUUGCUUCUGUAAAAUUUGACUUAGGUCCAGAUUAGUAAACGAAGCUUGUUUCUUUCGUCGUUUGACUUUCGUUGCUUCGUUUGGAUUGAUUCUUUUGCAAACCGGAGUUCUUAAGUUGAACUUUCUGGUUAAAUCUCAUAUUUGAGUUUUACCUGUGCAUUAGAUGAGUACUUAUUGUAUGCUUGUUUGUUUGUUUGCGAUAGAGUACCCGGAUUGCGCCGCUUGCUACUUCGAAUCCCUAGGUUUCGCACAUCAUCAUCAAGGCAAGUAACCCUUUGAUCAUACUUCUUUAUUACCCAGUUUUAUUGCAUUAGAUCAAUCCUCAAACAAUUGCAUGAUUAGGAUUUGAUUUAAUAUGUGGGUUUCGGGAAGUAGACGAGGUAGUACCUAUUACCUGUUUUAUUAUCAAACCCUUGGGAGUUACUCUAUGUUUGCUUAUUAUGCCAUGCUAUGCUAGUAGAUGUGGAUUGGGUGAGUGUAUCCAUGACAGAUGUGAGAUUGUUAAAUUUAAUGGUUUAUUUAAGGUGGCAACUUUAAUAUACAUCUGGGUGGAUUGAGGCACCUGGGUAUUCCAGCGAUUGCCUGUUUUUAUUUUGGACCGCCACCCAGGCUCAAAGGGAUCAUGAGAUUAUUCAUGCUAGAAACUUCCGUGUGCAGCCACAAGCUACUAUGGGCUCUAGCAUAGUUGACUAAGUCGUGCGAACUCUUACAGUGGUAGACUAGCAGAUGUAGGGGAUGUAGGUUGGUACUGUCUACCCGAUCGUAAGGUGCAAACGCUUCUGAAAGACUAUGUCUCGGUCAUCCGUUUCUCAAACACCAUGUAGUGCGAGAAUUCCAACGGAGGAGAUCGAGUCUUGUGGGGAAAAGUGCAAACCUCUGUAGAGUGUAUAAACUAAUCAUGAUUAGCCGUGUCCCCGGUUAUGGACAUCUUGAGUAUCUAGUACCUGGAUUAUCAUGUGAAUCUCAUCAUGUUACUUUAAUUAAUAUUGUUGGGUUUGUUUAAUGAUGAUGUUACUUAAUUGGGAUUGAGAAUGCUAUCAACCAUUCUCAAUGUUUAACAACCACCAUGAUAGUUAAAUAAAUUUAUUCUUUUGCAGUAGGGAAAAUUGGCUUUAAUGUAAAAACUGUAACCAUAGAGCUUUCCACCAGCCAUAUAUGCAUGUAGUAUAGCAUUAUUCUUCCAUUACUCUCUAUGUGUUACAUUGCCAGCAUAUUCCAUGUGCUGACCCGUUUCGGGCUGCAACGUUCAUGUUGCAGACUUAACAGACGAUGAGUAAGAUGCUUUAGGAUCGUGGUUCUAUACUCAGUGAUGUCGUUGGAGUUGAUGGACUCACUUAUCUUCCAAGCCUUCCGCUGUUAUCGUUAUUAGAUGGCCUUAAGUCAUAUUUAUUGUAAUAAGUUCUCUUUGGAGACAUUCGAUGUAAUAAGUGUGUGAUUGCUACUCUGUUAUAAAUCCUUCAAGUACUGUGUGUGUCAGCAUUACUGAUCCAGGGAUGACACUGAUGCACAGAGAUCAGACUAUUUGAGGUCUGGUCGCUACAGAUACUCAAAAACAAGGAAAAACAGAAACUGGCACUGGGCUCUAGGUUAAUAGGUUAGUCCCAAAAAUCAUAUAAAACAACAUAUAAAAGCCCAUUAAACAUCCAAGAUAGAUAAUGUAACAGCAUGAAUACUUCAUAAAUUAUAGACACGUGGGAGACGUAUCAGCAUCCCCAAGCUUAAUUCAUGCUCGUCCUCGAGUAGGUAAAUGAUAAAAGAAAUAAUAUAUGAAGUGUGAAUGCUAGCAAGUGCAUAAGUUUGAUCAAUGAUAAUUCCAAUCACUUUUUCUAGCAUCAUUAUAUGUCAUAACAGUAGCUCAUCUCAUAAGACUUUUCAUGAUGAAGUAACAAGCUAUUCACAUGUUAAAGUAUAGAUCGUAAACUUUCUUGAAAAAUAACAAACAAUAUUCUUAGUCAUCAAACAAUUGCUAUUCAUCUUAUUUUCAAGAAGGGUCUAUGUCAGAGCUUUGAUUCAGCAAACUCCAGAUACUCAACUAUCAUUUAACCUUUCACAAUUGCUAACACUCACGCGAUAUUUAUGGGUUCAAAGUUUUAAUCAGACACAGAGAAAGAUAGGGGCUUAUAGAUUCGCCUCCCAACCUUUUACCUCAAGGGUAAUGUCAACAAUAAUAGUUCAUGAUGCCUUACAUCCAAAUGGAUAUAUAUAUCAGAAUCUUUCAACACAAUGUGCUUGCCAAAGGAUAAAAUGUAAAAAGGAAAUGUGAAAAUCACCCUGACUCUUGCAUAAGGGUAAGAGAUAAAAGUAAAAGAUAGGCCCUUUGCAGAGGGAAGCAGAGGUUGCCAUGCGCUUUCAAGGUUGGAUGCACAAAAUCUUAAUGCGACAGAACAUCACUUUAUAUUGCCACCUGUGAUAUGGACCUUUAUUAUGCAGUCCAUCGCUUUUAUUUCUUCCAUAUCACAAGAUCGUAUAAAGCUUAUUUCCUCCACACUAAUCAUUCAUACAUAUUUAGAGAGCAAUUUUUAUUGCUUUCACCGAUGACAACUUACUUGAAGGAUCUUACUCAAUCCAUAGGUAGGUAUGGUGGACUCUCAUGGCAAAACCGGGUUUAAGGGUAUUUGGAAGCACAAGUAGUAUCUCUACUUAGUGCAAAGAAUUUGGCUAGCAUGAGGGGGGAAGACAAUCUCAACGUGCUGGGCGGUCCAUGACAAUAUACUUUAUUUCAGAUAUAAGAAAACAUAACCCAUUACGUUGUCUUCCUUGUCCAACAUCAAUCUUUUAGCAUGUCAUAUUUUAAUGAGUGCUCACAAUUACAAAAGAUGUCCAAGAUAGUAUAUUUAUAUGUGAAAUCCCUCUUCUUCCAAUAUUCUUUCAUGCAUUGUUCAAGUGACCAAUUCUACGUUUGCUAACUUUCAAUAAGUUUACUACCUAUACUUAUUAUGUGUGAAGUCAUUAAUCCCCAUGCUAUAAGCAUAUGAAAUAUAUAUAAAUUCAGAUUUAUGACAUUCAAUUUAUUCAACUAUUUACUCAUAGGAUAUACGUGAAGCACAUGAGUAAAUGACAAACUACUCAAGAAGAUAUGAGUGAAGAACACUGAGUAGUCAAAUAAUUAACUAGCCAUGUGAGGAUUCUUUUUCAUUCAAUAUUUCAGAUCCAAUGAUUUUAUUCAAACAGCAAGUAAAAUUGAAAAUACGCUCCAAGCAAAACACAUAUCAUGUGACGAAUAAAAAUAUAGCUCCGAGUGAGGUAUACCAAUAGUUUUGAAGACGAAAGAGGGGAUGCCUUCCGGGGCAUCCCCAAGCUUAGGCGCUUGAGUCUUCCUUGAAUAUUACCUUGGGGUGCCUUGGGCAUCCCCAAGCUUAGGUUCUUUCCACUCCUUAUUCUCCUCAUAUUGAUAUCUCACCCAAAGCUUGAAAACUUCAAUCACACAAAACUUAACGAAACUUCGUGAGAUAGGUUAGUAUGAUAAAGAGUAAACCAUUCACUUUGUUACUGUCAAAGAAAAGGUUCAUAAUUGUUCUCACACAAUUCCUAUUGUACCAUAUCAUUUCUACGAUUUAUAUUAAGAAAUAUAAGUCAUAGAAAGAAGAAAACAAGCAAACUAUGCAAUGAAAACAGAAUCUGUCAGAAACAGAACAGUCUGUAAUGAUCUGAACGUAAACCAUACUUAUGCUACUCCAAAAAUUAUGAAAUAAAUUUUUGGACGUGAAGAAUUUGUCUAUUAAUCUCCUGCAAAAUGAAUCAACUCAAAAGCACUCUUCUGUAAAAAAUGGCAGCUAAUCUCGUGAGCGCAAAGUUUCUGUUUUUACAGCAAGAUCACAUUAACUUUCUCCCAAGUCUUCCCAAAGGUCUUACUUGGCACUUUAUUGAAACAUAAGCUAUAAAACAUGAUUAAUAUAGUAGAUUAAUCAUGUAAACACACAAAAAAUAGUAAGGGUAAAUAUUGGGUUGUCUCCCAACAAGCGAUUUUCUUUAAUGCCUUUUAGCUAGGCAUGAUGAUUUCAAUGAUGCUCACAUAAAAGAUAGGAAUUGAAGCACAAGGAGAGCAUCUUGAAUAAUAUGACUAGCACAUUUAAAUACAACCCACUUCCUAUGCCUAGGGAUUUCGUGAGCGCACAAUUUAUAAGAACAACAAUCAACUAGCAUAGGAAGGCAAAACAAGUAUAACUUCAAAACUUUAAGCACUUAGAGAGGAAACUUGAUAUUAUUGUAACUCCUACAAGCAUGUAUUCCUCCCUCAUAAUAAUUUUCAGUAGCAUCAUGGAUAGCAACUUUGUUCUCAUACUCAAUUGGAACCUCUUCCGAAAUAGUGGAAUCAUUACUAACUAAAGUUGACACUCUUCCAAAUUCACUUUCAUAAACAUCAUACUAAGAUUCAACACCCUCCAAAAUAGUGGGAUCACUAAUUCCUAAAGUUGACACUCUUCCAAACCCACUUUAAGUGAUGGUAUUAUUCAUACUCCAAAAGAUAUAAGUGAAGUUCAUGGAGCUUUCUACAAUUAAUAUAGACUAACCAAUAUCCAAGCUCAAAAUAUAUAAGUGAAGCACACGAAGCAUUCUAUAAAACCAUACUCAAAAGAUUUAAGUGAGGCACAAAGAGCAAUUCUAUAAGAUCAUACUUAAAAGAUAUAAGUAGAUGAAGUAUUAUAUCAAUUGAUGAAGGGAUAUCUCACACUAGCAUGGUUCUUGAAGAAAUAGAAAAACACAAAGGACACAAAUAAUGUGAACAAAACAAAAACCGAGGUAUACCGAUAUUUGUUGAAGAAGAAAGAUGGGAUGCCAACCGGGGCAUCCCCAAGCUUAGAUGCUUGAGUAUCCUUUGGAAUAUUUACUUGGGGUGCCUUGGGCAUCCCCAAUCUUUAACUCUUGCCUCUCUUUAUUCUUCUCAUAUUGAUAGCUCCUCGACCUUCGGACACUUCAUCCACACAAAACUUUAACAAAAACUUGUGUGAGCCGUUAGCGUAAUAAAGCAAAUCACUACCUUUAGGUAUUGUAAUGAACUCAUUAUUUAUUUAUAUUGGUGUUAAACCUACUGUAUUCCAACUUCUUUAUGGUUCAUACCCCCCGAUACUAGCCAUAGAUUCAUCUAAAUAAGCAAACAACACACGCAAAACAGAAUCUGUUAAAAACAGAACAGUCUGUAGUAAUCUGGAAGUUUGGAAACUUCUGUAACUCCUAAAAUUAUGAAAUAAAUUUGAAAAUUAGAAAAAUUUGUACAGAAGUAAUGUGAAAAAAGUUUCAGACCUAUUUGACUUUCCAGUUAAAAAUGUAAAUUCAUGCGCUACAGCCAAAGUUUCUGCUUUUGUUCUGCACAUAGUAAACAAGCAAUCUAAUCAUCCUAAAACCCAAGCUUAGCACAUUAUUUUAUAAUACAAUGAAUAUAUACAAGGGCAUAAUUAUUUACAGAGAAACUUCCAUGAAAAAUUCUACAUUGUUUCUGUGAGCAUGAACACAAGUGCUCAAGGUCGACCCUCACUUCUUCAAUGCAUAACUUUUCAAUCACUUCUCUUUUUGAAAACCUUUUUAGGCAUGAGAGGCAAGUAAUAUUUUUUUGUAUUUUCAUUCUUUAAAAAAAUUGUAUGUUUCACCCACGACUAAACAGAAACAAAAAGCAAAAACAAAAUCUACUUAGUGAAGAAAGCAAACAAGCACACACGAGAAUAUCAACCCCACGCUAUUGCUCCCCCGCAACGGCGCCAGAAAAGAGCUUGAUAAUCCCCAAGUGCAGGGAAUCAUCGUAGCAAUUUACAAAGGUGGAAGUGAUAAGUAUGGAGUGUCGAACUCACAAGGAGCUAAAGGUAAGAUCGAUAUUCUCUCAAGCCAUAUCUGUCACUGAUAAGACUCUACGUACACCAAACGUUUGCUUCCAACUAGAAACGAGAAAUAAAACUACGUUGUGGGUAUGAAGAGGAUAACUUUGUAUGAUAUCGGAGAGCUAAAAUAUAAAAGUAGGUGCUGAUAUCAUAAAGUUAGAAUAUAUUACUAAAUAUUAUAAAUAGCGAGUGUGGAAUAAUGGUGGAUCGAUGUGCGAAAUUGUCCUAGGCAAUCGUUAACAAGAACGAUAAUCACUAUUGCAAUUUCAUAUGAGGGAGAGGCAUAAUCUAACAUACUUUCUCUACUUGGAUCAUAUGCACAUAUGAUUGGAACUCUAGCAAGCAUCAGCAACUACUAAAGAUCAUUAAGGUAAAACCCAACCAUAGCAUUAAAGUAUCAAAUCCUCUUUAUUUUCAUACGCAACAACCCCCUUACUCGGGUUUGUGUUUCAGUCACUCAUCAACCCACUAUAAGCGAAUCAUGAACGUAUUGCAACACCCUACAGCAGGAACCCCUCACGCUUGCGCGACACGGAGGGCACCAUAGGAUAGCAUCAAAGUAAAACAUAUAACUCAUACCAAUCUAGAUCACCAAUCAACUCAAAGACAAAAGAUAUCUACUCAAAACAUUAUAGGAUGGCAACACAUCAUUGGAUCAUAAUAUGUGGCAUAAAAUUCCAUGUUCAAGUAGGGAUUACAGCGGGGUGCGGGAGUGUGGACCGUGUAAAAGAGAUGAGGAUGGUGAUGAUGAUGGUGAUGUUGAUGAAGACGAUCACCGCGGCGAUGAUUCCACUCCCGAUGGCACUCCGGCGCCAUGGGAAGAGAGGAGAAGAGGUUCUCCCCCUUGUGCUUCCUCGUCCAUGGCCUCCCCCCUCUGAUCCUUGGCCUUCAUGGUGAUGAUGGCCCCUCCGGCAUCCUCCUCCAUGACCACCGGUGAUGAUGGCCCCACCCGGCAGGGUGCCGGAGAGGGCCUAGAUGGAUUUCUCAUGGCUACAGAGGCUUGUGGCGGCGGAACUUCCGAUCUAGGUUUCUUUCUGGAAGUUUGGAUAUAUAUAAAAGAGUUUGGUGUUGAUUUCACGUCAGUGGGGUCACCGAGGCGUCCAUGAGGCAGGGGGCACGCCCUACCCCCUGGGCGCGCCCCCACCCUCGUGGGUGCCGGGACUCCCCUGGUCCACCUUCGGUGCUCUGUGGGCUUCUUCUGGUCCAAAAAUAGGCUCCAUGAAGUUUCAGGUCAAUUGGACUCCGUUUGGUUUUCCUUUUCUGCGAUACUCAAAACCAAAGAAAAACAGAAACUAACACUGGGCUCUGGGUUAAUAUGUUAGUCCCAAAAAUCAUAUAAAACAACAUAUAAAAUCCCAUUAAACAUCCAAGAUAGAUAAUAUAACAGCAUGAAUACUUCAUAAAUUAUAGAUACGUUGGAGAAGUAUCAUCGCCCGACCCCGACCGGGCCAGGCUUUCACCUGAAGAACAGGCUCCGGGCAGGGGGUGGACUCCACGGCGACGCCUCCAAGGAGGUGAAAUGACGUUCACGGACACCUAUGCCGUCGGCCGACAAAAGCCUGACAAGCUUUCGCCUGGAGCACCGCCCAACACCACACCCUCAUGCAAAGCACCUCCGCUGGCCCGCACGCCCCCAGCGUUGUGGCAGCGCCACCACCACGCCGAAGCUAUCCACCUCAUCGCCGGCACACUAACGAGCCAGAACUGGCGCCCAUCCACAAGCACCGCAUGAAGGAGGCAGCACUCACCGCACCGUCGAUCCGCAACCAGCCCGCACAGGGAGGAGGGGCCGCCACCCCACUCCAUCUCGCUGGAUUGAGACGCCACAUCCAAAUCCCGCUGCAUCCCCGGCAUCGGCCGCCGGCGCCACGUGGCCGGACCGGAGAGGCACCGCACGGGCCGCCAUGACGAGGUCACCGGGAGGCCUCCAACAGACUCGUGCAACACUAGUAGAAAAGCCGAGCCUCCCACAGCCGAGGACGCCCGCCGCAGCUACCCAAGCGCACAUCACCUCCGAGCUAGAAGCGCCAGAUCCAUGCCGCUUGGGCACCACUACGCCUACACGCCCACCACCCCGCGCCAACCGAGCAUCGAGGCACCACUACAGCCUUCCACCGCCGGAGAGAGAGCCCGGGGACCGCCUCCCCGGCGUCAAGUCACGCAUCGCAAACCACGCCGUCUAGGGUCAGCCGCCGCGCGCUACAGGGCGAGGGAGUCCCGGCACCGCCGGCUGCUGCCUGGUGACGUCACCCGAUAGCGGCGAGGGGGACAGGGGGUGAGCGGGGGGUUGCGGCGGCGGCGCGGUAGGUUUCGCCCGAGCUGCCCCCUUGGAGAGCGACUGUCGUUAAAUUCCCAUUUCUGAAUAGUACCCUAUCUGACGGUGCAUUGACUGCAACUUUGGAACCUGUUGUUACCCAAAAUACUAAACAAAAGUUUAAAUUGCGAUUUCCUGAUACACAUGGUGAGGUUUAUUUACACAUUCCCCUAUCAAAAUGCUAGAACCUUCUGCUCUUGCAUAGAAUUAAACUCUGCAAGCGAUGGAACUAUUAGUUAUUAAGGAUUUAGUGUGGCAGAAUCUGAUUGUGGAAGUCGCUGGCACUUGUCAGGUUGGAAUGAUAAGAUGUUGGGGGGGGGGGGGCACUUAAGAGUGUUGCUACACGUACGGUGACAUUCAUCCAAAGUUGUGUCCGAUAAGACUGAUCUGGGCUUGUGGGCCACAUCAGAUUGAAUCAAGCAUGUCUCUGGUCGUACAGAAUCGGAUGAGAAAAGAUCGUAUGCAAGGCAAUUCCGGGCACUUAAACAUGAAUUAGCAAGCCGAGUGUGCAUGAUUUCUUUGAUCAACCAUGGAUAUGCAACAAGAGCCUCUUAAUAAGUUGAGAAAGUAUCAUUUUAAACAGGACACAGUAAGACAGAGUGCCAAGCAAUUGGAAGAUUACGUGAUCAAAAUUAAAGCCUAGCUGAUGAAACAUGUGACCUUGUACGUACAAAAGGCAAACAAUAUGCAUUGCAAUAGGAAAAAUAGGGUGUCAUCUUCCUAUUUAUGACAAUGUAUGUGCAUCGCCUAUAUUUUGAAGUUGUAUACACAAGAACAAAUGUUGUCUUUUAUUUCUUGUGCAUUUUACAGGUGAUUUUUUUUGCCUGGUAUAGUUUCAGUGCUGAACCCGCAAAAAAAAUUCAGUGCUGAAUUGUUGGUUCUGUUGUUUUUGGCACAUUCUGGUAGUAUAGUCCUUCUUUGCCUUUGAGCCAGUGUCGCUACUAAACUUUAUUCUGUAGUUUCUGUCUUGCACAUUCCAGAGUCUCAUAUAAUAAACUGUUUAUUCUGCUGUUCAUUAUAGGAUUUGAUAUUACAUGCUAAAAUUUUGAAGAGAAGAACAAGCAGUGGGAUGGUGACAAGUGCAUCAUUUUGACCUGUCGGUGAACAUCUUCGGUCAGUGGUUAUGUUUGCGGGAACAAAAAAACCUAUCGUGGUCAGUGGUCAUCGCUUGUCAAACUUCGUUAUCGUCGAGUGGAUGUUUUGCUUGGUGUUAUCAUCCUUGCCACAUUGAUGCUUUGUGAUUUGAGCUUCUUUGUUGAAGCAUCUGGUUGCUCUUGUUCUAAAGAUUGGACUCCUUGCAGAUUUAUGUUGCUAGAUGGAUUACUUGCAGAUCUUUUAGAGCAAAUCAAUUGUUCUGGGUCUGGUCAAUCCUUUAUUGCUUGAGCCAGUUCUUGGAUGGUGACGCCUUGAAGAAUGUGGUCAAAGCGAGCCAGGACAUCACCUUCAUGGAUACAUAAUCACCACCUCCACGCCCAUCAUUUCAUCAUCAAUAGAACACCGCAGCAUCAGCAUUACUUUUAACCAUCUUGGCACUGACGAUGAUGCCUCACACCUAGAGAUAGCCACAUGGCAAUAAGACCGCUGUUGGAUCAUAUCAAUAUGAGCCUCCUUCAACCUUCUUGAACUUAUGCACAAUCCUUCACAGUACAGGACUGCCUUUGUUGAUCUGAGCCUCGUUGCGUGCGUGCGUCCCAUGGAAACCGACACCUGACAGCAGUAACAGUUGUUUUCACAGUAACUUGGAUUAUGACUUAUGAGGCAACAAGUUAUAAUCCAACUUGGUUUUUAAGCUAAGUUAUUUGUGUGACAUACUGACAUCAAGCCUUAGCAGCACAUCUCUACUGCUGUUUUGGCCUGAAUCAUCAAUUCUUUCGUACGUACUUGCAGUAUUUGUGUGGGAUUAUAAUAUCUGAAGAUCUGGACAUUUUUAGGACAGUAAAACUGCACCAAAUCCCUGCCCUCUCAUGCCAUCAGUCCUCUCAGCCAUUCGAUUCGCUUCUGGAUGAUCUAUGUCCGUCAGAUCUGCUCUCAUGGCACGAUUUGCGGGCUGUCCUAAGUGGACGCUACUUCAGGAGAAAAAAAAACAGAGCAAUAUGGUUGAUUGGGCCUCCCGGCCCGAAGGCCAGCUCAUCGAGAAACAAUACGCGACUCCGCGGUCCGCAUCAAAACUCUGGGUGAAGAGUUGGUCGUUCAUGUGAUUAGAUCUAUGCCGUUUGAGUAGUCCCGUAUUGGAAUUCUAUUAUAUAUUUUUGGCGUAUACAACUUUCAGGACUUUGGAUGUAGAAUUCUGGGUUAUUGUUGAGCUUAAGUAGAAAAUGGGACUCUGGGUAUCUUGCGUAGGCGUCUACAUGUGAUUCGCGUGUGUGGGGAAACCGCUUAGGCAGCAGCACCGCUUUUGGCACAUAUUGGACCUAACCAAUAAAUAUUUCAGAAAUUCAUAAUAAAUCUUAGAGGCCGAUUUGGCCCAUUCACGCAUGUCAAGAGGUGGGAUUAAAGUUUAGUCCCACAUUGCUAGUUGAGAGAGUUACACCUCCUCAUAAGGUGAGCUCUUUCCCCAUUUGUAUGAGCAUGAUAAGAUGAGAGGUUCUCACACGCUCCUCCUCUAACGCCCGCCCCGCCACGUCUUGCCUCGCCUCAUCACGACACACCGUGUCGCGCCACGGGCUGCGGGAAUGCCUAGAUCAUGCAUGGAGCUGAAGCUUUUUGCUACUGCUGUUAGUGGAGAUUGGUUACGAGGUUUGUUCGGCUUUGGCUGCCACCUCUUCGUCUCCCGUCUCUUCGUUUCAUUUCCCAUCGCAGCCUAUUUGCCUCCUCUUUCCGUGCUUAUAAAAUAGAGGUCUCUAUUCUCCAUAGACACACAGAAACAGAGCACCACUUGCCUCCUGCUACCAAGUUCCAGUGCACUGCGCUACCAAGUUCUUCCCCAUCCCGGCUUACGGCGUGCACGGCCGACAAGGACAGUAGGCCUCCGGAACCACGCGACAUUGAGUCAUUUACAGGUGAAGGGAAAUAAGGUGUUUGGGGAGCGCUCUGUGCGACUACUGGCUUCUCCACCCCAGAUGUUGCUACGGACGUCGAAGACACUUUCCCCAACGAUGACUUCUUCCAGGACAUAGGAAACCUCUUCGGUAACAAGGGUGAUAGCAUCGCGAAUGGCGCCGCCCUGCUCCUGUCAAGGAUAUGUUCACGUCUCCUCCAUUUAAUGUGUUUUUCCCUGAUUUUAGUUCAAUUUCUUUUUCUAGCAAUUGGACUAGAUAUGCCAUGUUCAAAUUCACUACUACAUAUGUUAUUUUCUCACUCUCUGAUAGACUACGUGACUAGUUUAAUCUUUACUAUUAUGGUCAUAUUUUAUAUAUUAUUUUUAUGGAUUAAAUCAUAUGGUAAACUGCUCAUAUUUCCAACACGCCCCAUGUACAUGUAUGGGUGUAACAAACACAUCCUAUGUGGUUAGUCUUCCUUCAUCAAAAUGUUCCAUGGCAAUCCAAUGAGAUCGAUGCCUCUAAUACCUAUGUUUAUCAGAAAAUAUAAGUUUAUUCAAUUAUUGGCAUCAGUAUACAGCAUUGCAUUGCAUAAGCUGAGAAACUUUGUGGCUCUCAUUUUAAUAUGGAACCGAACUGUCUACAGCAGCACUGAAGAUGAUGGUGGUUGGUUUCACAUUCCAAUUGAUAAGGUGGGCGAAAGCCUCUUUCUAAGCAGUCACACUGGCACGACACAUCAGUGCAACCCGCUAAAUCUCUGCAUAAGCGUCGUUGAACUACAAUGCAAUACAU